rnacentral:lncRNA from 1 species
GAAAAGAAAAAGUGUUUUGCCUAAAAAGUAAUAGAUUUUUUAUGAAAGUGAGAGGAAAAAGUUCAGAACGUUGAAGCAACGGUUCCUUACUAAUCUAUGAUAAUUUUUGCUAAGAGUAGGAGGUGAGCUGACUGCUCUUUUAUUGAAUUCGCGUGGUUGUGAGUUGUGAUGUAUUCGUAAGGCUGAAUGCUAGUGAAGAUCCCAGGUAACUCACGUGAUAUUGAUGAGUGCGAAUCCCAAGUCUAGGUGAGGGGAGAGUCCCAGGUCUCAAAGUUGAACCGUUGUUCAUUAGAGGAGCACUGAUAUUUAAAGACUAGAAGUUACCUAGAAGUAAAAUGAUAAUUUGACCCAGCUAGUGUUAUGAACACUCGCGAAGGACUAACUUAUUGUUAUUGGUCUAUAUCUGUGGACACAAAAAUAUAUCUACAGUGAGAAUAGUUCAACUGAGUCUUUAGUAGAGUGUACACACAGUUAACGAAUAUUGAUUAAUGUGGUUAAUGAAUUUAGCCAAUUAAUUUCAUAUCGUUGUAGCUUCUGAUAUGUAGGUCCAUUAGGUUCACUUCCUAGCUCGUAAAGGAUAAUGACAUUUAUUUCUAUUGGUUGUAAUUUGAAAUGUUUAUAUCUUAAUUAAACUUUACUAUAUAGAUAUGAUUUUAGAUAUGAUUCAAAAUUAAUUUAUGAGAGAUAAAAUAUUUGAAUGAGUUCAAAUAUUAGUUUAAUGUGAAUUAUAUUCAUAUUAAAACUAUAGGUUAAAAUUUAAUAUGUAUAUGAUACACACUAAAACUAUAGCUUAUGAGAGAAAUUUAUAUUUGAAUAUGAUUCAAAUUUAGAUUGAACUAAAUAUCUAGAUUUAAUUUAGUAAUUAACUAACUAGAGAAUUAAUUAAUAAGAAGUCUCCUAAUUGCAUAAAGAGGUGAGUUCUCUCCCUGUACAUUGCAGAUGAUCAAUAACAAGUCCUUGAUAUAUGUUAUAAUAAUAAGAGGUACAUGGAAGAGAUACAUAAUAUGUACGAUCUACCUAUUGUAUCUCCACUAGUUCAUAGGGGACGUGUCUGAGUGAAAGAAGCUGAACUCGAUAAAGUUUACCAUAAUGUGGAAGAAGUGCCUCACAUGACAGAAACUGGUUAUGGUAGCCCGAUGAUGAUGAUGCAAACAUUUGAAACAGGAUAUGGUGAUUCUGAAGUCGGUACAUGAUAUUAUGAUUAAGAAAUCGGUACAUUGUCUUCAUACAUGAAUGCCGAUCCAUCAACUUCUUACAUGCAUGGCACAUACAUGGCUAUUGAGAACUUAACGAAUAUUUAUACUAUGAAGCACCUAUAGAGAUAUCAGAUCGACAUAGUACCAACAAAAAUUAGACAACCAAGAGGAGCCAGAACAACAUAGAUUUCAGAGUCGACGACAACAACUAGCUCGAAAUCGACGACGUUUGGAUUGUGGAACACAUUAUUGAUUUUCUUUUAUCUUUUAAUUGAAUGUAACUUGGUUAUUAAAAGAUGCUUUUAAUUUACAUUUAAUUUUUUCAAUUAUAAGUCAUUAUUAAAAAAAAGGUUCAACAAUCAUAUGUUUCAAUAACUAAAAGAAAAUACAAUUAUAAAUUUUGAUAAAGUUACUGACAAAUGAAUGAAAGAAUUAGUGACAAAUUUUCAAUAACAAAUACAAUUCUAGAAUCUUGAGCUUCCUACUAACUUUCUCACGAGUUUGAAUAAUAAACAUUAUUUGAACCCACGAGUUACUGUUUACUUUUUUCCUAAUUUAAUUUAGAAAGUUCGUCCAUCAACUUUCAGAUGCCACAUCUAGUGACCGUUGCAGGCCAACCUUCGUUUGUCAUUUUCGAUAAUUUCGUCAGUGACCACCUUGAUCAGCAUGCAACCCUAUUCCACUACUAAUAUUAUUCUUCCUCUCGCAUUACCCUAAGUUGCUGCCACCGUCCCUCGUCGUUGAUCGUCCAACAUUCACCGAUUUCUUCAUUGUUCACCGCUUGCUCAGAUGAAGUCAAAGACCUCCAUCCAGUCAAGUGAGCUUCGUCCCAUGUUGCCCAUUUUUUCCAAGCUGUUGCUGUUCGUCCCAUGCUGUCCGUUUUUUCCAAACUGUUGCUCUUCGUUAUUUUUGGUAAGCCUAUUAGUCGUAGCUUGCUACAAGCCGCAUAACGUCGUUGAUUGUCAUGUAAUGAUCCAACUCUUUAUACGAAGAUGAGCUCAUUACCUUAAGAUAAAUAACAAAUUUUUCAAUUUUUUGAAAAGAAGAAAACUAAAUUUUCAUUAAAAAUACUAUGAAAACAUGUUGCAGCUCAUUUUACAAAUUUUAAAGAUAAUAAAAAUAUGUAGAUAAAAUGUGUAAGAUCAAAACACUGGAAAUGAACAAAAUGAAAAGUGGAAGCAAAACUAAGUCCACAUAUGGCAUGUCACGAGCCCUUUUUGUUGCUUGCCAGAUUUUCUCUACCUCUACAUUUUCCUGAAAUAUUAAAAAUAAAAAGAAUGUGAGUAUAAACGUAUAUUCAGUAAGGGACCCACUAGUAGUUUCGCUACGUGGUCUGUUAACUUCACAUUAGGAUCCCGUGAGACAGUAUCCAAAACUUUCCGUUGCCCGAUGGAACACACACAAUCUAAUGAUCCCGAAAUAAUAAAUUUAGUAACCUCGAACGAAUACUCUCAUCUAUCGGUGAAUCCGAAGGAACACCUAUGAUAUCAGGUUGUAAUUUCUUUUAUGUUUUUUUCAAAUUGUUAUUUGAUUCAAGAUCGUGUACAAAAUAUAAAAGGUCUAUUUAUUUCUUUUCAGAAUAUAUAUUUUUAUUUUAUGGGAAGAACCCCCUCCUAAUUUUUCAAACAAUAAAUUAUUGUUUUACUAAAGAAGUCCCUUGAAAAAGUGGGGUUUUUGUAAGAGUCUAAUAGUAGUUUUUCAUUAAACUAUUUUAAUAUUCUUACAAAAGAAACUGUAUGACAAACAAAAAACAUAGCUACUCAAGAUUAUUUUUUUAUUUUUAUUGUAAAAUAAAAACGUAUAUGAAAAACUUUACCAACAAACUAAUCUCAUAACAAAUAUAAAUGAAGCUCUAAAUGUUACAAAAUAUCUCAUAUACAUAUAUCACAAUCAAACUCACAAUCCAACACAUACACCUUAUUAAAUACACUAUAAAACAUUUGAUGAACAACAAUCAACAUAUUUAGACAUCCAAAACCAAAGCUUUAUCAUAUAUUUGAUGAACUGUUUCUUGGCCUAGGAUGUUGUUUGCAAACAAACAAUACUAUAAACACACACAAUGCAAUUCAUAGUCUAGUUCAACUGACUUAGACAGGGGCUAAGAAGUCAGCAGUUCAAAUUCAUCUCCUAGAUUUGUUGCUAACCUAAAAGAAAAACUAUAGAUAUUGAGUUUUCUAGAUCUGUUUAGACCAUCUUUCAAAGUGUUUAUAAGGACUUUUUUUUUUUUUUUUUUUUGUUGCUUGUUGCAAUUAUAAACACUUAUAUAAACACCUAGAAAGCACUCCAAACACGCUCUUAGCCACCACCAUUAUCACUCCCACCAUAGUUGUUGAAAGCUUCUCUUGGGAUAAAGUGAUGGUUCUUUGAACCACCAUCUUCUGGAUAAUGACGAGCAAUAACAUAAGGCUUCCCAUCUUCGUUCAAUUGAUUUCUUUGAGCUUCUUCCAUGGCCUCAAAUUGCUUUGCAUCAGCUGAAGGAAAGCAAGAGCAGCUCAAAAGCAAUAACAAAAACAACCCAAUUUGCAAUAACAAUGGGUUGUUUCUAAUUUUUCUCAUUUUUCUUUUUUAUGCAAAAAUGAAAUUAGAAAGAAAAUUUUGUCAGGGCUAUAAAUAAUAUAGAUGGUUGGGGUUUGAAGAAGAGAGUUAUUGGGUUGUUAUUGUAGAGAGAGAUGAGGAAGAUGGUGGCUAAGGUUUUGAAAUUAUGGAGAUGGUGAUUUCCACCAAGUGAGACAAACUUAAGUGCUUAGCCCAUAUAGCAAAAAAGGUGGUUUUCCAUUUUAAUUAUGAUGGAGAUCGUGGAAAUUUAUUUGACAUUUUGGAGGUUAAAUAGAAAAGUUCCACUAAUAAGUGCCAAAUGUUAUAAAGGGGAAAACUCCAAAGGUUGUUAUAUAUAUGUAUAUAAUUUGAAAUAUAUUGUGUAAUAUAAAAGGAUUGAGAUUCUAUUUUCAAAUUACCCUAAAAAUAACAGAAAUUAAAUUAUCAACCUUUGAUCUUUUAGAUAAUUUUAAACCCAUGUCUUCGAACUAUAAUCAUUUUGAUUGGAUAGUGUCUAUUAACUGUUGAGUUUAGCUCCUUCUUUAUGUAAACAUAUGCUAAAAAAAUUUAGGAACAAAAUUUAUUACUUAAAUGUUGAAUCUUGCUUGUUUCAAAUUCACAUUUUUUUUUUUAUUAUCUAGCUAUUAUCUAGCUCACAAUUGAUAUCUUUCUAUAGUGAUUGUCUAGUGAAAUCUAAUCAUAGAAUAAUGAGGAUACUAAAAGUAUGUCAAUUUAGCUCAGAUAUAUAUUUGGUGCUUCUUGUUCUCUCUUUUAUCUAUAUUUUGUUGAAAACAAAAAUUGAAGGUAACUGAAAACAAAAGAAUUAUAUAUAACAAGUUGACCUCUAAAUUUUGCAAAAUUGGAUCCAUCUGUUUUCUUUUUUAUGCUACAAUACAAUAGUGGUCUAGAAAUUAAGUUAUUUAAUUACUUUUUGUUAGAUUAAUGAUAUAUAGGUGAAAUGUCAAUCGUAGCAACAGGUCAAUGCAUAAAACAUCAAUUAUUAUUAUAAUCCAUUAAAAAAGGUACCCAAAUUGUUUAAGUUUUCAAAGAUUUUUAGGUCGCUUUGAAAAGUGAGUUUUCCUUUGUUGGAUAGACAAAGUUUGAGGGCAUAUGAAUUGGAUCUUAACAAAUGAUAAUAUAAUAGUUACUCAAGGUUUUGAGAACCAAUUUUUAAUAAAAUUUUAAUUAACUAAAUAUACUAAAAGUAAAUUUGAAAAUUUGAAAAUUCAUUAAGGAUAGAACUGAAAAAUAAAACAAAAGAUUACCCAUUUUCUCCUUUUUGAAUUUCAAAAUAUGUGUUGAGGAUGAAGUUUGAACAUUUGGCAUGCUUUAUCUAAUCCAAACCAUGCAUGUUUAAAUUGGCUACAUUGGCUGUAGUUUUUCUUCAAUUAAAUUUUUAUGACCUAGUUACUGUUAAUGAAGUCAUAAAUCCACAAAACUUUGAAGUAUGAAUUUAUAAUAGUUAAAUAUAUAUGUUCCUAAACCCAGAAAUCAAAACAUCAAAACAAAGUUAAUUUAAUCUUCAUACUUGAACCCCUUUCUUUGAAUUGCAAUGUAACGUCUCAAAUUUGAGAUAAUUUUAUCUUAAUUAUAUUUAAUUAAUUAAAUGAUAAGUGAGUUUAUUCAAAAUUAAUUUGAUUAAGGAUGUUAAUUAUUUAAUUUAAUUGAAAGUUUAGGAAAAAUGUGUGAUUUGGUGGAGUAUGGAUUAAGUAAUUAAAUAUAUGUAUAAAUCUGAGAAAAUGUGAGAAUUUAUGAGUAAUGAUUUAUAAAUUAUACAUAUAAUUAAUUGGGAAAAGAUGGUAUUUAAUGUGUGGAGUGUGAAGAUUUGAAUUUUGUAUGGAUAUAUUGAUUACUUAGAAAGAGUGGAUUUAAAAAAAUAUAUAAUUAGUAUAUAUACUUUUGAUUUGGAGAGAUUAAAAAGGUUAAAUUGGAGUUUUUAAAGUAAAUAUAUAUAUAUAUAUAUAAUUAUCAGGGUUGCCUUGUUUUGCAUGCAAGUAUUAAGAAAAAGAAAUCAAAUUAAAUGUAAUUUUUCCUUUCUUCUUCCAUUCGAUCACAUGCGACCCCUCUUCACUUUCUUUGGUUGGCCACCGGCUAGCCGAUGACCGCAUGCAGGCUUCCGUCUGCCCUAACCCCCGUCGACGACUGACAGACGCUGUAAGCCUUUGCGAUCGUGCUGUUCUCCGAGAGCUGCCGUUGGUCUGCGCUGUCGCUUCUAGAGCCGUUCUCCCAUUAUUUCUUAGAAAUAUAAGUGUCACAUGUCGCCUUAAAAACAAGGAACACCACUUAAUAAAACAAUUGAACUUGAAUUAGUGUAAGAUUCAACUACUCAUAGAAACAUUAGUCAAUAAUUGCUUAGACCUCCUAUAUCGAACAAGUGUAGAUUUUUGUUCAUGUGUAACUCAUGUUUUGAUAUGAUGCAGUCACUUCAUUAUAGGCGUAACUUCAGAAAGAUUGAAACAUUUUGCUUACCCCUGUAAAACUUCUACAUUCCUUUGUCUCAUUAUAAAUUUUCGUUGGGUUACCUUGGUUUCAUUGGUUUAUUGUUCAUAAUCAAUUUGAAAUUCAAACUAAUCUUGUGGGAUUCAACACUUGAAAUUGCUUGCACUGAUACCUAUGUUAUUUACACUUCUAUCAAUCAUACACAUCUAGUCGAUAAGUCAUCUCAUUAAUAUGAUAUGUAACUUUAAAACCUCAUCAAAAUGAGAAUAGUUUAUUUUGAUAGGCAAACCUGACCAAUAUACAUUUUUGAUGGGAAAUUUUGGUCAAGUGAAUUCACUUGACUAUCACGUGUUGCCAACAAUAAAUUUGUAAGUUGGAGAACAUGUUAUAUGCAAAAAAGUAAAAAAUAACAUACUGAUGUGAUACUUGUCACAUGCAUUUUGAUGUUUAAGUGAUAUCUUAGCACAAAUCUUACAUCAUAGUAAGUAGUUUGGAGAGAGAUUGAAAUUACCUUUUGCACGACAAUCAUGCUUUACUUAUAAUAGAGUUUAUGUAUUUUUCUCGAGGGACUUUUGUAAAAAUGACAAAAAAAUUUAUGAUAAUAGAACUUAUGUUACAACAUUUUCUAAAUUUGUAAAAGUAACAAAUUUAAAAGUGAUGACCAUCUGAUAGCUCUAUGAUUAUCGUUUGAUAGUGCUCUGAUAACUUAUGAUUACCAUCUCAUAAUCGUUUGGUAUUAUUAAUUUUGCCAUAUUCGUAAUAUACAAAAAAUUGAUACCAUGAGUUGUUUUUUCUAAAUGUUUUGGCCGAUCUAAUUUCCCUUUUCUUAAUCCGGUGCAGUUAAGAUUUUACUUCCUUUCCCUUUUGAAAAAUGGAAUGCUCAAGGGUAGGAUUGGCCACUAGAGAUGUUCCAUACCAGAGUACCGGUGGGUUGAGGUCAAGGCAUGUCAAUUAGUUUUUGGUCCAAUUAUUUUUUCUCGUUAUUUGUUAAGAGCUCUCGUAGGCUCACUUCUUAGCAGUUCUUGUCUAUUUCCAACAUUAGACAAUUUUCCCAUUUUUAUUUUUCACCGAUUAAGAAUUUUCCAUAACAUAUAUUAUUAUGAUAAAAAAAGAACUUCGAGGAGACAUUUGUUUCCGUACGUAAUUUAUUCUCAUAACAUGCACAUCUAUCAACCACACGAAGUAAUAUUGAUUAUUAGACUAUAAGAUUCUUAUUUUACUUUUUGAUUUAUUGGUCGAAAUUUAUAUUUUAAUUGAUUGAAACAUACUUAGGUUGAGACUAAUUUUAAUAAACUCUGAAUCCACCAAUUGAUUAUUGAAAUUCCAUGCACAUGCAUUAUAUAUUAUACCAUAAAUAAGUACGCCUCCUAGCUCUCAUACAUCAUUUUUAGCCAAACAUAAUAUUGCAUACAAAAUAUCUUCUUUUGUUAUCAUCUUUCUAGCCGACCCUAGCUCGAAAAAUGAAUACUCAUCUUAUACAAAACACAAACUCAGACAAAUAUAUCUCUCGGUGUGUAUGUUUGUAUUUCCAAAUCCAUUAUUCCUUCGCGUAUUUCCAAAUCCAUUAUUCCUUCGUCUCCUUAUUACUCCAACAAUUAUAGUCACUUCUAUAGCAUCCAUGGUGAUUAUAUUCACUUGUUUCAUAUUGUUUUCUACCUGUUAACUUUUGAUUCUCAAUAGGAUUCUUCUCUUCCUCUUCGUCUUGCAACUUCAAAUGCCUUCCAUCAACAAGGAAGAAAGUGUUCAUAAUCAUCAACGCCAACAUGAUGAUUACGGCAACCGCUACUCUUUGUCUCAUCUUCUCAGCUGCAAAAAGAAGCAAAGAAAGUUUUGUGAUUUCAAGUUUUAGAACUUUUAUGGAUUCUGCAUGAAAUGUAAUGAAAAGGAUUUGAUGGGGGAAAAAGAAUGAAUAUAUAAUUUACUAUUUUGACUUCUUUUGAGGGAGAAUGUUUGUAUAAGUGGUUUUGUGGCUCUAUUAUAUGAAGGAGGAAGUGUUUAUUUAUAUGGUUAUUUUAGUGGGAUUUUUCAUCUCCACCAAACAAGGCAAAGUUUAAGUGGGUUAGCCACAAAUCGUAGAAAUUGUUUUUUAAAAUCCAUUGGAAUAUAAUGAUUGAGAUGAGAAAAUCUGUGUAUAAAUAGGAAAACUUGCUUUCAUGUAUUAUUGAGAGAAACUGUGUUUUUCAUCGGCAUUAAUGAUUUAGUUUCCUGUGAAAUUACCCCUAGAAAGAUGAAAUAUUAUACAUAGGUUUGACGUAUACAUUCACGAUUGGGCUUGCUCAUAGCAAAAAUAAUGUUCUUGAAUUUUCUAUAAGAAAUUUUACAAUAAGAAAAAUAAAAAGACACCAUGGAUAUUUAACAAAAUGAAGCUAAAAUAUUACAGAAAUUGUAGAACUUAAACUAAUUUCCAUUUCUCUAAAAAAAGAAAAAAAAAAAGAAAGAAAAAAAAAAAAAACUAAUUGCCAUUUCAGCAAACCUUACUUUCAACCCGUGAACAUGUCCAAAAAGCUCACUGAUGUAACAACACAGUCAUAGGCACAAAAUUAAUUUCUUAUUUCACGACAUAUCUCUAUCACUGUUAUUUGAUAUACUUUGAUAUACUUUAAUAUACUCUUUAUAGAUUUUCACUACAACAAUUAUGGCUUUAGAUGUUGGUUGACAGUUUCGAAACAACAAGGGUGUUGAGGUUAUUGUUGCACUUCGGUGCAGCUAAGCGUUGUCGUAGUAAGAAAGCAUGCAAAAUAGAAGCGCAUUAAUAAACUGUAUGAGUUGCAAAUUCACUUUUUCUAAGACGUUUCGCGACUAUGCUAGGAUGUACAAAUAGAUAUCAAGUGCCCCGUCGUUCCUAGGAUAAAAUAGUCUCUAAUUUCAUCGAUAGGAACUGCACUGGAACUAACCAAUAUACUAACACUUAAUAUUGCUCGGAAAACUAAAAGAUAAUAGAAUUUACUCAAGAAACUAAAAGAAAACAUAUGCGAAAAAGGAGUACUUGAGAGAGAAAUAAGAGAGAGCUUGAAGUUUUUUUUGGUUAUGUAUCAAAUGAGAAGAGAGGUGGCUAUAUAUAGUGGAUGAGAGGGCUACCAAUGGUCGGGUAUUAAUGAUGGUAAAAAACAGUCUGUCUGAUAUUAUGUCGAUAAAAAAUGGUCCAAUGGUUGGGUAUUUAUGAUGGUCAAAAUGAAACGGUUGGGAAAUUAUAUAAGGAUACGAUCCAACGGUUGAAAACGGUCCAACGGUUCAACGAAAUUAAAUCAAUGGUUGGGAAUGAUUUAACAAAAAUUAAAUAUGUAAUUAAAUUUGAAAAAAUUUAAAAUAAAUUUUUAGCAAAAAUAUUAUUUUAUUCCUCGCCUUGCCACCCCAACCAACUGAUCGCACAACGCCUAUCUCCCCUCCCCUUCCAAAACUUGGGUGCCCCAACCCAAAAGUGAAAGUGUGAGUAUUAAAAUGGGCUUCCACAUUGCUAUAGCAACUUGAGAAUGCUACUUUUGAAUAAAAUAAUAUUAUAAUUUAUUAUUGCUAAAAAUUUUCAUUAAAAAUCCCCUACUUAAAUUUUUUUUACUAACAACCCCUCACUGGAAAAUUUUUAUAAACAUUUUAAUCGACCAAUAUCUAUAUGUGUAAUACUGAGCUUAAGCAAAAAUGUCUUAUGACUCUGAACUUUUACGUAGUGACAAAAAUUUAGAAUCUUGUCAAGUAACAAUUGGUUUUGAACUUUACCUCGUCUAACAACGAUACACACAAAGUAUUAUUCGAGUGAAGUUCUAAAUAGCUGUGCUUUAAGCCUUGCACAUAUAUCCUAGUUCAGUGGAUGCUCUAGAGUAUUUGCCUAGAAUUUCAUAGCAAGUUGUCUUCACUUCCACAUCCACAAAGGUGAAUCUCUCAAGAGUACUCCUGUAGCUAGGUACCCUACUUGACAUCAAGUAUAGAAUUCAUUAAUAACUAAGUUUAGCCUUUUCACUUAUUUUAGGAUAUAUCAUGCUAAUCACUUAAUCAUAAGAAUGAAACUCCUAGGUGUUUUAGCAUAAUUCUCUUCAUAUCACUUGUGGUCAGUUAUUACCCAUUGAACUUGUUUCUUGGGAUCUCGAAUCUUUAAAGUUGGGUUUACCUUACAGACGAUUCAAUUUUCUAUAGACUUGAGUCCCAUUCUUUUUGAGGUUUUGAAAAACUCUCUCUAGCUAGACCUUUGGUCAAAUGAUUAGCCAAGUUAUCAUCAGUCCAUACGUGAUCCGCUAUUACUGCACCAAUAGUGAGAAACUCUCUAAUGGUACUGUGCUCACUACGUAUCUGUUGUCUCUUGCCAUUGUAAUAAGAUUUUUUUGAACUUUUGCGAUAGCUGCAGUAUUAUCGCAAUGGAUUAAUAUGGUUAGUAUCGAUCUUUGAAGCCAACUUGCUUCUUUACUAGCAGUAACUAGUCCUAUCAUUUAUGAGUCCAUCGUUGGCUUGGCUAAAAUAACCUGUUUUUUGGAUUUCCAAGCAACAACCUUUCCUACUAAAAAUAUAGCCACUUGUAACAUUUGAGUCAUCCAAGAUGAAGUUCCAAUCAACAUCAUAGUAACUUUCUAGAACAAUAGGAAACUUUUGAUAAUGUAAUCCUAUCUUCUGGGUUUUCUUAAGGUAUCUCAUUACUCUUUUUACAGGAUUCCAGUGUUCUAGGCUAAGUUUACUAGUAAACCUACAACAUAAGUUAUAUCUGGCCUAGUAUAGUCAACAAUAUAUCUCAAAUUUCUUAUCAUACUCACAUACUCGAAUUGAUUAGCAAUGUCACCAGUGUUAUUAAACAACUUAACACUAGGAUGAUAAGGUGGCAAACUGGUUUACUAUCAAAGAAGUUAUAUUUCUUUAGAAUCUUCUCUAUGUAAUGGGAUUGAUCUAAAGAAAUUCCCUUUUCAGUUCUAAUGAUUUUUAAACCUAGGAUUGUAUUAUCUUCUUCUAAGUUUUUCAUGUUAGAAUUUGAACUCAGCAUUGAUUUUACAUCAUUUAUGACGUCAAGUUUAAUCAAACGAUUAACAUGUCACCUACAUAUAAGCAUAUGGUAGUGCAUAAGUCAAUCUCAUACUUAUAGUAGAUGCAUUUAUCACUCUCUCAUUACUUUAGACCCUUUAAACAUGAUUAGAUUAUCAAACUUUUCAUUCAUUGCUUAAGAGCUUGUUUUAGGCCAUAGAGUGAUUUAUUUUGCUUACAGACUUUAGAUUCUUGACCAUGAACUAUGAAACCUUCAGGUUGUUCCAUAUAGAUCUCUUAUUUUAAAUCACCAUCAAUCUAAAUAUCCAUAUGAUGUAGUAAGAAUUUUUUUAGGACAACUAUAAAAAUCAACACUCUAAUUGAGACAAAUUCUAGUCACUUGGGAGAAGGUGUAAAAAAAAAAUAUUUUUCCUCUUUGUCUAAAACCUUUUCCUACUAGUCUAGCCUUAUACUUAUGUACUGAUCCAUCAGGUUUGAGUUUCUUCCUCAAAAUUCAUUUACAACCUAUUACUUUGCAGCCGGGGGUAUGUUAACUAGGUAUCGAGUUCUAUUUGAUUCAAGAGAAUCCAUUUCAUCAUUGAUAGCUUCUUGCCAGAAGUUGACAUCUACUGGGGAUAAGACUUCUGUUACAUCUUUAUGAUUUUCUUUUACAUUGUACAUUUUGAAGACUUCUCCAAAGUCUUUUAUGGUUCUCAUUCUCUUACAUUUUUUAGGUUCAUGAUCUACUUCCUUAUUUUAAGUUUGGAUCCUAAUUGAUGGUAAGCUACUAGAACUUGAGCCCCCACUAUUUAUAGACUUAAAGGAAAAUAUAUCUUGAAAGAAGUUUGCAUAUCAUUUGGUUCUAUGAUUACCUUAUUUUCUAAGUCACAGAACCUAUAGGAUUUACUAUUUUUAGCAUAUCUUGUAAAGACACAAUCAUAGACUCUAUUGGCUAGUUUUCUUCUCUUAGGAUCAGAAAUUCUAACAUAGACUUUAAGCAAUCUCAAGUUUUGAGAUAAGACAAGUUUGAUGUUUUAUGCUUAAGAACUUUUUAAGGUGAAGUUGUGGUGUUUGAUUUAGGAAUCCUAUUAAGGACAUAAUUAAUUGUCUUACUUACUUCACCCCACCAAGAUGGUAAUGUCCAUAAAUCAAGCAAGAUAGCAAUUAUUAAUUUAGUUAGAGUUCUAUUCUUCCUUUCAACUUUUUCGUUCAUUUCAGAAGAAUAAGGUGCAAUUUUUUUUGUGUAUAAUUCCUUUUAAGUUAUAAAACUCAAUAAAAACAAUUGAAUCAUAUUAAAUUCCUCUACACUACAAAGUUUCUUAAUUAUUUUAUUAAUUUGAUUUUUUACUUUAAUUACAAACACCAACAUGUCAAAAGCAUCACUUUUAUUUCUAAGCAAGUAAAUAAAAGUAAAAUCAGAUUAAUCAUCUACAAAGGUUAUAAAAUAUCUUUUACUAUUCUAAUCAAUAUGCUAUCGAAUUCACAUAAAUCCAAAUGAAUUAAUUCUAGAGGACCUGAAUAUGCAACUAAAUAAUCACAAUGAAUUAGUUCUAUGACUCAGUUACCCUAGUUACAUAUUUAUGCGUAGUCUUAGUUAUCUUAGCUUGACUACAACAUACACAUAUUUCAAAUUCAUGCAAAGAUAACUUAUGAAUCAGGUUUAACCUACUCAUGUUGCGAAUUAAUCUUUUAUUUACGUAACAAAGCCUAGCAUAAAAAAUAUUAAAAGAAUGCAAGAUGUAAGUAGAAGACAUUUUCUUAUUCAUUUCUAAGUUCAGUUAAACAUGCCAUCAAUUGCAUAUCCAUUCCCCACAAAUACAUUAUUUUUAGUUAAGGUAAAGAGAUCUGAUCGUAUUUCCCGAGUGAAACUCAUUCUGCCGAGGAGAUAGCCUGAACUUGUUUCUUUUGAAUUUCACGAGUGUGCAGGACUUUCUUCAGGAUAAGUGUCUUGUUUGAUAUGACCUUUAGUUCUACUUCCCUAAUGCCAACUACUUUGGUCGUGUGGUGAUCCCUCAGAAGGAAGUUCUUAUCAUUAGUUUCAUUAUAUUUUCUAAACAGACUAAGAUCAUGACAGACAUGGCGUGAUGCACCAACGCCUUGUUGGAAUUUUUUGUCCUAAAACUCGUAGUUUGUAAAUCAUAUUCUAUUCAAUAAAGUUGUUAUUGAGAAAUUAAAUAUUAUAAUCUUAAAUCCAAUAAAUCAAAGUUCCAAGGCUAUUUUUUGAAUAAACUUGAACUUUAUGUGUAAACAUAAACGUGGAUCAAGUUCGAGUAUAUAGCCUAAAUAGUCUAUAGUAUAUGAAAUAAAGGUUGGGCGCCUUAUUUUGAGAGACUAUGGAUGCGGCCCACUUUGUAGUACAAACGAUGUGAUCCUAAUCGUUCAUGUAGAGACAUGAAAGUGGGGGCAUCCUAUGUAAAAUGUUUACAUAAGACUGAACCAUGAAUUAGUCAUUUUUACGUUAUAACACCGUUUACUGUUUAAAACUGACUAUCUCAAUUAUUGAUGACCUAGGUAACUUAGUCUUAAUCCUGAGUUAACUAUGAACUCCUGUUCAUACGAGAUUAUCCUUAGAUCUGCAUAGGUGAGGGCAGCUCAUCAGCGUUGGCCCAAUAAGCCUCCCAUUUCAGGGGUAAGAUCGGGUGGAUAGCUGGGAACAUAGGGUACAAGAUGGAAUUCACUCCUACCCGCUUUAGGGUUAGUAGAUAGGUUGCUCUCUUAAGCACUGAAUCCAAGUCUUGAACAAGGGGCCCCACCCUCUCAUUGGCCCGAGAGGGAUUAAGUUUAUAGGUUGAACCUUAAACCAAUUGUUCAAUAGUGGAUUAGUGGGACUUAAGGAGCAAGAUGUAAUCUUGGGGGUAAAACGGUAUUUUGACCCAGCUAAGGUUACGAGCAACCUGUGAAGGAUUAACUUACUGAUUAUGGUUUUAUCAAAUGGACACAAAUAUAUCUAUAGUGAGGGGAGUGCAACUACGGGACUUUAGUGGAAUGACCCGUUAGUUAACGAAUGUUGAUUAACUCGGUUUAAAAGAGUUUAGCUAGUUAAUCUUGAAUCGUUGGAGCCCAUGAUCUAUAGGUCCAUUAGGUUCCUCUGCUAGCUCAUAUGGAUUAAACUUAGAACAGUGUGAUGAAAUAAGUCGAAUUGUUCGAAUAGGGAGAAGAAAGGAAAACCGACAUAUACAGUGAUAUAAUCGUCGGUCUUCUAAUUAGAAAUAGAGCUUUAUGUUUUACAUACUAUAAGUAUGAAUGCGGAUUCAUACUAAGAAGCUCGGAAUUGGUCAAAAAUAGUAAAAAGUCAAAAUGUUGACUUUUGACUUUGAAAAGUCAAACUUUGACCGGCCUUAUAUUCAAAUGUGAUUUGAAUUUUGGAAAAAUGAACGCGGAUUCAUGCUCGGGAGGUUGGAAAAAUGAAUGCGGAUUCAUGCGGAUUCAUGCUCGGGGGACGAACAAAAUGGUAAAAAGUCAAAAUAUUGACUUUUGACUUAGAAAAGUCAAAGUUUGACUUUUGACUAGAAAAAUCUAAUGACCAUUUUACCCUUGGACUAAGUUAGUGGGAAAAUCCAACAUUUUGUUGGAUAAUCCCACUAACUCUUAGUGGGAUAUGUGGCUAUAUGAGAUAUAGACACCUAGCCCACUAAGUUCCACUAAUUGUUAGUGGAAUAUUAGGUGUUGAGAUUUGGCAAUUGAAUUGCAUGCAUUUUUGCAUGUAAUUAGGCUAUAAAUAGAGAUGUUUUCAAAUGUUGAAGGACUUUUUGCCUCUUUUAUCAUUUUCAUAAUCUCAACAAAAGAAAAAAGAAAGCUUCCAAUCUCAUUUUAUCUCCAUUACUUUCUACACCAAAAUUGGGUCCCACAACCCGGUUCUUUGUCUAGAGGAUAGCAGUUGAGUACUAGUGGUGGUCUCGGGUAGAAUUGGUAAGAAGACAUCAAACCUUUUGAAAGCUUCAAAGGUAAUACUUCUUAAAACCCUAAUUUGAUUAGUUUAUGGUUAGAUGUUAAUUGUGGCAAUUAGGGUAGAAAUUCGAUUCUUUUUCCGCUGUGCAUGACUUAGUUCUAUCACGCCUAGCUACCAACCUUCCGACCCCUUGAUCACAUUUAUCUCUGUGAUCACAACUACUAAAUCUUCUUCUAUCAGGUUUGCUUUUGUAGUAGGAUGAUUUCUGUUUCUACCGUUUUUAGCUAAGGUCUAAGUUUAUUAUAAUUGUAGUACAUAUAUGUAUUUUACUUAUAAACUGAGAUUUCUAAGAGUUCUUUUGGUUGUUGGUCUUCGAUUUUAAACCUUCAUUUUGUUUCCUUUCGGUUUCAGGUCUUGUUUAAAAAAAAGUUGUAGAUUUUUUCUUGGGAACAACAUUCACCUCCUCCAUUUGGUUAUGCUUACGGGUCUCCUCCUCAAUCCUCAAUCGGGUAACUAGACUCUCUAGUGAGAACUCCUUCUUGUGCCUUAGAGUAUUAUGGUAAAGUCCUAUAAUCAAGGUAACUUGUCAAUAAUAACAGCAACUUGAAACUACUAGUUAAGUGACAUGCCUUCAUUAAUUAUUUCAUUAGCAAUUUUCUGCAACUCGUAUGAUUGGGCCUCCAUAGAUCUAUCGUCAGUCAUUUGGUACCAUAAAUAUCGACUUGCUUCAUACUUCUUAGACUUGACCUCUUCUGUCGUAUUUCUGUUGCAAUGCAUCCUACAAUUUUUCGAGAUAAACGUGGUAUUGUAGUAAUCAUAAAGCUCAUCAGUAAGUGCAUUCAAAAUUAGAUUUACAUAUGAAGUCGGACUUUGUCCAUGCAUCAUUAUUUCAAAUCUCCAUCCAAGUUAGAGUUUUUGGCUGGAACUGUUGGUUCUUCUGUAGUGCAAGCAAUGACAAUCUUUUUCGAGGUUAGAAAGAACAUCUUUUGUUUCAAAGGCUUGAAAUGUGCUCUUUCAAAGCGGAAUGGCCAAUUAAGAUCUAAGAACAUUAUGUCGACUUGAAUUAUACUGACUAUCAGAGCAUAAGAAAUGUCUUAAAAUUAUUGUUGCACUUUGAUGGAUCUAAGCGUCCUAAGAAAACAUGCAAAAUAGAAGCAUGUUAAUAAACUGAUUGAGUUGCACAUCUGACUCUCUCUAAGAGGCUUCAUGACUCUACUCGAAUGUGCAAAUAGAUAUCAUAUGUCCCUUGUCGUCUCUAGGAUAAAACGACAUCUAAUUUCAUCGGUAUGAGCAACACUAGAACCAAUCAGUAUACUAACACUCAAUAGAUACUUGUUUGCUCGAAAAACUAAGAAAAAAAAUUUGCUCGAAAAACUAAAAGAAAAUAGAAUGGGAGAAAGGAUAACUCAAGAGAGAAAUAAGAGAGCUUGGAUUUUUUUGGUGGUACAUUAUUAAAUGAGAAGAGAGAUGAGUAUAUAUAGAUGAGGGAGGCUACCAAUUGUUGAGUAUUAAUGACAGUAAAAAAUGGUUUGGACGAUUUAGCGACAAUAAAAAAUGGUCCAACAAAAUUAAAUCCAUGGUUGCAAACGAUUCAAUGAAAAUUAAUUAUGUAAUUGAAUCGAUUUGAGAAAAUUUAAAGUAAUUUUUAUCAAAAAAUAUUAUAUUAUUUCUCACCUUACUAUGCUCGAUCAACUAGAGGAACGACGCAUGUCUCAUCUCAUUUUCCAAAACUUGGAUGACCCUUGGGACCCAAAACUACAAGUAAAGGUGUGAGUAUUUAAAGGGUCUUUCACAUUGCUAAGAAAGCAAUGUGGGAAUGCCAACUUUCAAUAAAAUAAUCUUAAAGACUAAGACAAUACUUGUUGUAUUACACGACUAGGUUUAUGCGUCUAAAAAAUGGAUCUAAAAGUACAUUUUCAAUAAGUUGUCUUUGUUUGGACGAAUAGCUAAAUGAAAUGUAUUGCUAUCAAAGUAUGCUAUUGUCUAUGUUAAUAGAAAAACCAUAAAAAGGAAGUGGAAUCGCGAAUUGUUUAGCUGAUUUCCAGUUGGAGACAACAAACAAAUGAAAUUGAAUUUUCCAAAUUUAGGAUAUCAUGACAGUAUCAGACAUAUCGCAUGAUACAAAAACAUGGUCAAUUUUGUUUGAUGGAACCACAAAUGAAGUAGGACUAUUAUGAUGGUGUGAGGGCUAUUAUGAUGUCUCCUAAAUGGAAAAUCUUAUGCAAGAAAAUGUCACAAAUACCAAAUAUAUGUUGAUAAAAUGCAUGGUCCUACUUUUCCCUUACACGUAUUAACCUUACCGUGACCUUUCUCUAUGUGAGAAAUGGAUGUAAUUUAGAACCAAAGACAUCAAAUUGUCACUGAUUCAUUUCGGUAUCCAUAUAUUAUUUUACUAAAUGGGUGGAGGUUGCCUCAUAUGAGAGUGUCACCAAACAAGCGUUUGUCAAAAUUUAUACAAACGCAUCAUGACCAAUAACACAAAGAACUUAAACAAUAAGUUGAUGGAAGAAUUAUGCAAUCGAUUUAAAAUUAAACACUCCAAGUCUACCCCUUGCCACCAUAAGAUGAAUGGACCAGUGGAGGAGGUAAAUAAAAAUAUCAUAAGAGUUAUGAAGAAAAUGACUGUCACCUAUCAAUAUUGGCACGAGAUGUUACAAUUUGCAUUACAUGACUACCAAAUGUUAGUUCACACAUCAACUAAAGCAGCUCCAUUGUCUCAGGUGUAAAGUGUGGAAGUUGUUUUUCUCUUUGAGGUCAAACGACCAUACUUUAGGGUAAUUAAUUAAGUUAAACUAAAAGAAUAUGAGUGAGCACAUGCGAGGUAUGGGGAGUUAAAUCUCAUAGAAGAGAGAAGGAUGAUUGCGUUGUGUAUAGGACAACUUUAUUAGAAGAAAAUGACGCGUGUAUGUGAUAGAAAGAUUCAAAAACAUUGUUUCCAAGAGGGGGAUUUGUUCUUAAAAAAGCUCCUGCCAUUUCAAAAGGAUCAUAGAGGAAAGUAGACUCCUAAUUAUAAGGGACCAUAUGUAGUGAAAAAAUGAAUUCUCUAGUGGAGCUUUGAUCCUAACGAACAUGGAUGGGAGUGACCUGUCUAACCCGUUAAGUGUAGAUUUCGUAAAGAAGUAUUAAACAUAGAAGGAACAAUUUUUUGCUAGUGUUUUUAUUUAUUUAGUCUUUGAUUUUUUAUUUUUGGAGUGUCCUAAGGGUUGUAUUCAUAGUUCCAACAUAUAUCAAAUUUGUAGGGGACCUUUUCAAAGUCGGAACUAAUAUUACUCAUGCACUUAUAUGAGUUAGUACUUUAACAUUUUGAUAAUAUAAGAGAAAGUGAUGAUUUUGAUUACUGAGUGUACUACAAGUAUGUUCAUGCACUUGAGAUGGUAUAACUUUAAAUUAUAUUAAAUUAUAUUUGUUUGCAGUUGUGGUUGAGUAGCUUGAAAUUGUGUCUGUAACGUUUGUUUUAAUUAUUUUUUUGUGAUGACACUUCUUUAACCCUAACCUCCAACUCUUUUUACUUUUCACUUUUCACUUUUCAUCAAAAGGCACUUGUUUAUCCCUAUCCCUUGACAUAGUGUUGUGGUGGUGCUUAUUUAUCCCUAGUCUAUGACAUUUAUUUUUGCUGUGAUGAUGCUUUUUUAUCCCUUGCCUCCAUCUUGUCCAAGUCAGUUGUUUAUUCCUGGCCCUCAACAUCAUGAUAUGGUGGUGCUUGUUUAUCUUUGGCCUCCAAAGUUUAAUUUUCUUGCGAUGACAGUUGUUUAUCCUCGACCUCUAGCUCUCUUUUCAUCACAAGAUGCUUGUUAUCUUCGACUCUUGAUAUCGUGUUGUGGUGAUUGGUGAUGUUUGUUUAACCCUAACCUCAACUUUUAUUUUGUUGUGAUGAUGCUUGUUUAUCCUUGGCCUAUAGCUCUCUUUUUGUCAUGAGGUGCUUCUUUAUCUCUAGCCCUCGACAUUGUGCUAUGAGUGGUAUUUGUUUAUUAUAAUCUACGACAUUUAUUUGGUUUAUUUUGAAAAUCAUAAUUUAAUUUUCUUUGCUUGGGACUUCUUAGUUCUUUUAUGGGUUUAGCCAUCAUUUUGUAGAUGCAACCAAAUAAAAUAAUGUCUAUACCUUUGUCCACGUUAUAGGAUAGACAAAGGGGGCAUGUUAUAGCUACCUAUUUUGUCCGAUUUAAUUUUGAUACUAAUUAGUUAGUUAAUUAUUUAUUUAAUUUAAUUUAUCUUUAUCAUUACUCAUUUUUAUUUAAUGAAUGAGGGAGGGUUUGAAAUAACGAUAAAUAUUGAUCUAAUUUUGGUUUUUGGUAGUCGCGAUCGGUCUCUAAUAAUUAUUUUUAUAAAAACUUUAAUAUUAUCUUGUUUGUUUAAUUAAUUAAUUAUUAUAUUGGGGCAUUUUUAAAAAUACCAAAAUAAAUUAAAAUAUUUACAAGCUAUAGUAAAAUUUUGGAUUCUAUCACUGGUAGUCUUCUAUCACUAUAGCAUAUCAAUGACUAUCAGUGAUAAAAUUUGUUAUAGAUUGUAAGUAUUUUAUAAAUUCUACUAUUUUUAAAAAUUAUCCUAUUAUAUUUGCUCAAUUGUAUUUUUUUUUUAUAUUCAAUCUCCAAUUUAAAUUUGUAAACCCUAAACCUAACAUAUCUUAAGAAUUUUUUCAAUUAAAAGGAAUGCCAAAGUUUAGCUUUGAGUUGUUGUUCUGCUGCUUAGGUUGCCUUGUUGAAGGAAAAGUUAAAGCUAAAAUUUGCCUAAAAGUUGAGAACUUGAGGGAUUGGCGACCAAGUGAAGGAUAUAAAUGAAGAUUAAGUAGAUUUUGGCCAAGUGUUGAAAGACUAGGUGUUUUGGACAUUGCUAGGCGACUAAGAAGUGUUGAGAACUUCUUGAGGCAUGUCCUAUGCAAUCAAGGGCAUAUCUAGGUCAGAAGGUUAGAUGUCAAGUGACAAGCACGCUAGGCGAGGGGGACCUCCAAAGUUCCAAGCUAGGUGUUAUGGCAAGCCAAUAGCAUAGAAGGUGAGCUAUGUGACCAAGACUUUGUGAGGUUACACUACACGAAAUUAUGGAUCUUUGUUCCCUAAAUCAUGAAUGUUAUUUUCUAUCUUCAGCCACUCCAAACCCUAAUUUUUGCCUUCAAUCAUUUUGAUUUUGUAGUAACGGCUAGCCAACAGAAAGGUAACAUUUUGUUGCUAAUAAAAUGUGUGUACUCUCACGAACGACCGAUCAAAAUUAGGAUUGAAUGUUAUAUAACAUACAAACAUGAAUUUGUAUUGAUCCAUGGAUAUUGAUGGAAUUUCAGUGAAAUUAAAGAAAGGAUUAAGAAAACUAAGGAAGAGAACAAGGCCUAUAAGACAAAAGUGUUGGCCAAGUCACAGAAGGUUCCAAUUAAGGGAUGAUUUUCAUGCAUUAGUAAUUAUUAAAACUGGAAUUUUAGUGAAUUUCAUUUGAAGAACAAACUAUAACUUUGUUUAUGGAUCAAUUUUGAGUUUUAUACCAUAUAACUUUUAUUACUAAUGAAAAUCCAAACUUUUGUUGCUGAAUGUUGAGGUUUAGAGUUCAUAUUUGUGUAAUUUUUAUCCAAAAUUUUGGGCCCUAUUGUUGCUUUUGCUCUAUUUUAUGAGAUGAAGUUAACUAAGGAACUUUAAGCAGUUCAAUAUUUUAGUCAUUGUGAAUUUUUUUGUUGUGAUUUUGUGUUAACUUAAGCAUAUCUAGAUAGAAAAAAGUAAUAUCCAUAUCUCGAACUUUUUCCAUCCAACAUUUUUUUGGACACAUGGCUUUUAGAAAAGAUGAUUAGUCCAUAAAUUUAAAACAAUCUCAUUAUUGUUUCAUGUUGGUAGGUGUGAUGUAUUUUCGUAUUUUUGUAUUCUUGUUUUAUGAUAUUGACUUUUUGUUCCGAUCAUCUGAAAAAAAUAUGGCUUGUAUCCUAAUAACGGGUAGAAAUGAUCGUUAUUAUAUAACCAUUUUUACUAGAAUAAUAGAAGAUGAUCUGAGUAGAAACUUAUGUCGUAAAAGCAUAAAUACUUAGAAAUAAGGCUUACAUAAAUGUAGUUCAUGUUUUCCACGUUUAACAUGUCUAAAUGCAGGAUAAGUGUGUAAAAGAAAAAUGAGCAAUUCAUACGAGGCAUCUUGCACAAGGACAAUGAUAUGGAUUGUGCCCGACGACUACCAACCCAAGCGAUGAACCUAAACAUCACGCGAGGAAAGCUCUCAAAAAGAAAAAAUUAUAGUUGUAAUGAUGUGACUUCACAGGGGAUAGAUUACGAUGCUGAUACACUUAGAGGAACCAAGUUUUACCGUCGAAAAUGACCUUAUAACAAGCACUUCAUACUCAAAGAGAAAAUGGGGGGUGAGUGGCUUGAAAAGGCUUGGAGCUUGAAUAGGUCAGAGAGAAAGAAAGACUCAAGCGAUUGGAGAAAAACACAAAGAGAGAAAAAGUUCGAAAAAAGCACGGGGAGAUUAAACAACAAUGAUACUAGGAAAGAUUAGUUGUUGUUUAUCUCUUGACUUGUAAAAAUAUGUUCCAUUGUUUUGUCUUUCCAUUUUGUUAUUUCAUUGUAGAACAUGUAUCAUUUAUAUUGUAAAGUGGCUGAUAGAGAAAUUAUCAUAGAGACCCAAGCUUGAAACGAGUACCAUAGCCUCACAUCCACAUUUUGGGUGAUAAGGAGUUAUAAGACAUACACUAGUCAGAAGAGCUUCGAAAAUCAAGAGAAAUCAUGAUAUGCCUGUUGGAAAUUUGAGAUAAGAUGACCAGACGGAGGAGAAAUACUUAAGUAAAUUGCGAUGGGCUCGUGAUAAUGACAUGAAGUUUCUACUCAGAUCAUCUUCUGAGAGCCGCCCCACGACAUUAUAUUGUGUGAUAAAGGUAGCAAGUGCCUUACAGCUUCAUAUGUAAAUUCGCAAGAGUCGGUGCUCCUAACUUGUAGAGAACAAUAUAUAGUGAAAGCAUAAAUCAAGCAGUUGCCAUAUCGCUCAUCGCCGAGUUUUAUUUGUCAUUUAUCAGUAUGUUCUUGCUUGUCUUCAAAAACACGAAAUAAGAAAGAAUAAUUAUAAAAAUAUUCAGUAAGUAAUCCCCCUACCGGGGAGUUUUGGGUGUGUUGUUAAACUCAUUCCAACAUAAGCAUAAUGUACAGAUAAUAAUAUGACACAGAUAAUGACCUUGAAGGAUCACAAAUCAUGACAUAGGUAACUCAUUCAAUAUUUUCCCUUGGGUUCACUACCUAUGUUAUGAUUUGUUAUCCUUCAAGGUCUAUGCUAUGUUAUAUUCGCACAUUAUGUCUAUGUUGAAAUGAGUUUAAUAACUCAUUCAAAAGGCCACGGUAGAGGGAUUACUUACGAGGUAUAUUGUAUAUACUCACCAUUUUCAUGUUUAACUUUCUAAGCAAAUGUAAGGGAAAAGUUAAUUUGGCGAGCAACAAGGACCCGCGACCAACCAUAUGGAAACUUCUUGGUUUAUGCUUUCGCUAUUGUUUAUAGAAAGUUAAAAUAAUUACUUUAAUAACGAUCUCAGUUUGGUUUUAAAAUAUUCGUUUAUGUGAUUGAUGCAAAUUGACAUUGUAUUAACCUAAUUAAGCUUCAAAUUGACACCAACCUAUAGUUCUACCACUGAAUUGCUCGAAACUUACAAAAUAAAAAAACAGGAUCAUAAAAUUUUUUUGUUGCGUACAUUGAAGAAUCCUAUAAACUUCUCUUUCCACACACAUUCCGACAAAAAGUGUUGGUGAUCUAUACCACGAACAACUUUAUUUCAUGUUCACUUAUUAAGGUGAAAAAAAGUUUGUUAUGUUGCAUACUGUUGAGAUCAAAUUUUGGUAUGAGAAAACAUAGUUAACUUUGAAGGAAUAACGAUGGUAAAUUUCUCAUUUAAAAAAGAGAGGAAUUGUAAAAUUAAAAAAAAAAAAAACCAAAGAUACUUAAAUAAGCAAGACAGUUAUAUAGAAUUGAGACAAAGUUAGAAGUUCUUACUUAUGUCAAGUGAAGUUAUAAUUGUGUUAUUUUUGUAACAUGAAUUUCAUAAUCCUAUAUCAGUUAAUAUGAUCAAAUCUUAUUAUACCAUACUAUAUUGUAUUAUAUCUUGAUUUUUUGCUUAAUUUUCUAAACCAAAUUCCACCCCACAACGUAUACAUUAAAGAAUGCCAUAAAGUUGUCUUUACACAAACAUGCCAAUAAAUAGUCUUCAUGGUUUAUAUUGAUGAUCGCUAAAUUAUUUUCUAAAUUAAAAUAUAGUUGUGAAAAGGGUAAAUGCUUUUUAAUCUUUCUUAUUCUUUUUGUUAGUAGUUGGAUUUGACAUAAAAAAGGAAUUAGAGGCAAUCCAAAGUGGGGAACUUAAUCAUUUCUUUUGAGCCAAUUAACACUAAUGGGAUUGAUAUUGACGUCACUAUAAACAGGGAAAAUCAGGUAGAAAGCCAAAGUGCUUUACAUUUAAAAUAGUGAAAGUCAAUGUAUAAGGUGACAAUAAAUUGCUUCUUGGCUUUGCUUUGUGAACCCCAAACACUAAAUUAUUUUUCCUUGCUUUCUCAUUAAAUCACUUCUUUAUACAAAAAGUGAGAUUUUUGGGGAUUAAUUAUUUAAUCGAAAUCAUAUACAACAUUUUCUUCACCAAACAAUGAUCAAAUUCUAAUGAUUUUUUCUUUCUUUUUAUUUGGAUUUUUAAUGUAGUGUGAAUUACUAUUUUAAUAUUUUAACACACACAAUGAAAAAUGUUUGUUUGGUAAUAUUCGAUUUUACUUUUCUUUUUUUUUUGCUCAACAUUGGCUAAUGAGUGUUUUACACGAUGUACUUGAGUGUGCUUCUUAAAUUCUCUUUUAAGUUAUUUAAUGUUUCUCUUUUUACUAACUUUCUAAUUUUGAUUAAUACUUAUAUUUUAUAAGGGAAAUAUGGAAAUUGGCUUAAAAUUUGAAAUGGGAUUCUUCAACCAACUCCCUGUUCUAGUCUCUUAAUUUGAACUAUUUCUAAAACCGAAGAUUAUUUAUUUAUAUAUAGUUUAAUUAGAAUUUUGUUAUAUAAUAUAAAAGAAGGAAAUUUUAAAUAUAACAAUAUUGUUUAAAAUAUUUAAAAUAUAUAUAGUAAUAUUUUAAAGGAUUUUUUUUAAAAAAAUAUAAUAAAACAUUAAAAUAUUUACACUACAUAGAGAAAAAUUUUGAAAACAGAAAAAACUACGAACUUCAAUGAAAAAUAAAAGAAAAUGGUCCAAUCAACACGCGAUUAAUUGGUCACUCUCACACCUAAUAUAUUUAGUACAUGUACCAAGAUCGUUUAGAUUUGGCUACACGAUCGUUUAGAUUUGUCUACCUAAAUUUAAAUGAUUUUUUUUUCAAAAUGCUUUUGUACAUGAUUGUUUAGAUUUGACUAUCCAAAUCUAUAUGAUUUUUUUAAGAUUAUUUGAUACACGAUCGUUUAAAUUUGUUAGUCAAAUCUAAACGAUCGUGUACCAAAGAAUAUUGAAAGAAAAUGAUCGUGUUUUGAGCUCCAACGAUUUAUUUUCAAGAUUUUUUCUAUUUGGUCCACAAUCUCAAACCAAAUAACACUUUGAAAAAAAUAAUAUUAGAUUUAUGAUUGAUUGAAAAAAAAAAAUCAUUAUUUCAAAAAGAUAUAAAAGAAAAAUGACAAAGGAAAAAAGGAAAAAAGACAAUGGAAAGAAAAAAGAUUGCAAAAGAGGAAGAGAAGAAAGACGAUGAAAGAAAAUGACAAACUUGGAGUAUUUAAAAAAAUGACCAGCUUCGUGAGCUUUUUGAUUUUGAUACACGGGUCGUAAUAUUUUGUUGGUUUGUUAUAUUUAUGAAAAUUAACUUAUUUUAAAUCUAUCAAGAGUUUAUCAAUGAUGUAGAUAAAUACCGAUAGAAGUCUAUCAAUAUUUAUUAUUGAUAGAAUCUAAAAUUUUACUAUAUUUCCUAAAUAUUUGUAACAAUUUUGCAAUUUAUAAUAAUUUACAUGUAAAGUAGGGAAAUUUUUAUUGGUAUAACAAAACACCAAAAUAUUAACGCCUUUUGUAACAAAAUCUGUAACGACCCAACUUUUCAAAGUAAGUCGAGAUCGUUAGUUUUUAACAAAUAAAAGACUUUGAUUAAUAUAAAACAAAACGUAAGCAAUUUAAAAAAAAAAACAUCUUCAAGUCAGGCCUGAUUUUUAAACAUUCAAGAAAACAUAAAAUAAUACUGUUUGCAACAAACGUUUGUAAACUAAAUUUUUAUCUCAAUCUUAAAUAAGCGGAAGCAAUUACACGUUUCCUAUGGCAUCACGCUUCCUUCCUGCCCCUCGCCGGUUUGCCGCCUUUAUUACCUUUGCCUGAAAAUUAAACAUAAGAAGGGUGAGUAUUUUAAAUACUCAGUAAGAGACCCUCUACUGGUCUCGUCAGGGGAAAAAUAAAUUGUUAAAGUUCUAUUGGGACACCCUGUACAGUCGCAGUCUUGUGAUCCCGUAGGAUACACAUCUCAGUCUAACGCCCCGAAGGACGUACAUAUCAGUCUGACGCCCCGAGGGACGUACAUAUCAGUCAAGUGUUCUGCAGAACACAUAUCAGUCAAAUGCUCCCGAAGGUGCAAAAUAAAUUGGUGAUCCCGUGGGACACCUACAAGGUAAUCAUCCCAAUACAACCUAACAAUUUAUCCCCUCAUUCCAUUCAACCCAUCUUUCAGAUACUUCAAAACAUAGAGUUCUUUCUCUCAACGUCCUAACAGUCAACUUAUCUCACUUUAGUCAUAUGUCUGUCAAUAAUAUACUACUAUGUCAGUCAAUCAAACUAUACAGUCAAUACACCCCUCAGAUCACCAGCACACAGUCAUACUUUAGCGUAACGACACCCAAUCUAAACGACAAUCACAAGAUCGCAUCUGCAUCUCAUACAAGCAUAAUCUACAAUUUUCGUCCUGUCCACAUCCACCCACAUAUAUAUAUAUUCCAUGACAAUCACAAUAUGCAUUCAACAUUAAGUCUACUUCAAUUCAUAUGCAUAUAUAUAUAUUUUCAGUCAAUCCACAGUAUACAUUCAACACCGAAUCUACACCCAUACGUGUAUAUACAUAUGUAUCAUCUCAACAUCUUUACUCAGUCAGGGAUAAUCAUUCAGACAUACAAUUCACAAUCAUAAGUGAGUCCAGUAGAAAAUCCCUUACUUUCAAAUUUGUUAAGCUCCUUAACCACGUUGAAGUCUAUGAAGAACGAACCUAAACAUUAAGACAAUUUCUCAAUAAUUCCCUUCAACGCAUCAGUCAUUUAAAUUCAACCCAAUGUGAAUCUUUUUGCAACUUACCCAAAUCUUCGCGAAAGAAAUCGAGCAGUGGCUUUGCGAAGAGAUGACGUGCGACGGAGAGACCGUAUACAGAUGGUCGGAGAGUCGCGCGGCAGUGCAGACAACGGAGGAGAAGGGAUCGGCGGCGGCUGGCUUGGACGGCGGUUGUGAGUGGCGGACGUGGCGGUUACUGGUUCACAUGGCGGCUCGGGCUUCGACGAAGACAGAACCGGCUGAGACGGCUGGGCAGCGGCGGAAGGUCUUGCGGUACAGAUCUGGACGGUGGUCGCAAGGUGACGCGUACGGCGGCCGCAAGGUGACGCGUACGGCUGCCUCACGAACUGGCCGAUGGUUGCAGCGACGUCCGGCUGGGUUUGACGGAACGGAGAGGAAAAGAGAAGAUGGAGAUGGCCGACGGCGGUUGCUGUGCGAACGGAUGGGGCGGCUGCUAGGGUACCGGAAGGAGAAGAAAAGAAAAAUGAGGGAGGGGUUGUGUGCGGCGCUCGCGCGAGAGGAAGAAGGAAGGAAAGAUAUAUUCUUUUCUUUUCUUUUCUUUUUAUUUAAAUUAAGUAUAAAAAUAUAUAUAUAUAUAUAAUUAAAAACAAAAUAUAUAUAUAUACAUACCUUUGGGGCAUUACAUUCUUCCCUCCUUAAGAAACUUUCGUCCUCGAAAGUUUUACUCCUGAAAUAACUCUGGAUAACGAGUCCUCAUCUCUUCCUCUCGCUCCCAUGUCGCCUCUUCAAUUCGAUGAUUCCGCCACAAAACCUUUACUAAUGGAAUGCUUCUAUUACGAAGCAUCUUUACCUCUCUAGCCAGAAUCUCCACAGGUUGUUCUACAUAGCUCAAAUGCUCAUCAAUCUCCAAGGGUUCAUAGUCCACUACAUGAGACGUAUCGGCCACAUACUUCCUCAACAUCGAAACAUGAAAAACAUUAUGAACUGCAGAGAGAGAUGGUGGUAAUGCCAAGCGAUACGCCACAACACCAACCCUCUCUAAGAUCUCAAAUGGUCCAACAAAACGAGGACUUAACUUUCCUUUCUUCUCAAAACGCAUAACACCCUUCAUAGGUGCUACCUUCAAGAAUACCUUUUCUCCCACAUCGAACUUAAGGUCUUUUCGUCGUACAUCCGCAUAACUCUUCUGUCUACUCUGCGCUGUUUGCAUACGUGCUCUAAUCUUUUGAAUAGCCUCAUUAGUAGACCGAACCAAUUCAGGUCCCAUCAAUCUAUGUUCACCAACCUCACUCCAACAAACAGGGGUUCUACAACAUUUGCCAUAUAAAGCCUCAAAUGGUGCCAUACCGAUGGUAGCCUGGAAACUGUUGUUAUAAGCAAACUCCAUCAAAUGUAGAUGAGAGUCCCAACUACCUGGAAACUCUAUAACACAAGCUCGUAGCAUAUCCUCUAAAACUUGGUUCAAACGUUCAGUUUGACCAUCAGUCUGUGGAUGAAAGGCUGUACUGAAAUCCAAUCUCGUACCCAUAGCAGUCUGAAGUCCCUUCCAAAACUUGGAAGUAAACCGUGCAUCCCUAUCAGAAACAAUCGAUACAGGCACUCCAUGCAGUCUCACAAUCUCAGUUAAAUACAACUCUGCCCACUUACUAGCAGUAUAAGUGGAUUUUCCUGGUACAAAAUGUGCCGAUUUUGUAAGCCUGUCUAUGACAACCAGAAUCACUGUGAAACCCUUCAGGGUCUUAGGCAGCCCUGAAAUAAAAUCCAUCGACACAUUCUCUCACUUCCACUCUGGCACACUUAAAGGUUGUAAUAAACCUGCUGGUUUCUGUCUAGGUGCCUUAACUUGCUGACAUACUAGACACUUACUAACAAAUUCCGCCACUUCCCUUUUCAUAUUCCGCCACCAGUAAAAUCGUUUUAAAUCCUGAUACAUUUUCGUGCUACCAGGAUGCAUGGAAAAUGGGGAAUUAUGGGCUUCAUCUAGUAAGUCAAUCUUAACUGUACUGUUCGCUGGCACACAUAAACGUCUUUCAAACAUCAACCCACCAUCAGAGGAUAUGGAGAACUCAUCAGUCUGCCCUGUUUCAACAAGGCGACGUCUCUCCAUCAAAUAAGGAUCACUACUCUGAGCAUCAACAAUCUUGUGCCUCAGAGUCGGUUGCACCGUUAAUUGAGCUAGCUGUGAGGUGACUCUCCCCACAGACACUGCAAUCUCAGCUCUCUCCAAGUCUCGAUGCACUGGUACCUGUCUAGUAAUGAGUGCUGCCGAAUGUGAUACUUUUCUACUAAGAGCAUCAGCCACCACAUUCGCCUUACCAGGAUGGUACAAAAUCUCACAAUCAUAGUCAUUUACUAACUGAAACCAUCUUUGCUAUCUCAUACUCAACUUCUUUUGAGUGAAGAAGUAUUUUAUACUCUUUUGGUUAGAAAAUAUCUAUAUCUUUUCAUCAUACAAAUAGUGCCUUCAAAUCAUUAAUGUAAAAACCACAACUGUCAAUUCCAUAUCAUAAGUUGGAUAAUUUUCCUCAUGACUCUUCAACUGACGAGGAGCACAAGCAACUACUUUAACUUGUUGAAUCAGAAUACCUUUUAAAUUUUCCUAAAAGAAUCACUAUAAAUUACGAAACUUUCUGAACCAUCAUGUACGGUAAGCACGGGAGUUGUACAAGCUUCUACUUAAGAUCCUGAACACUAUCCUCAUAGGCUUUGUCCCAAACAAACAGAGUCCCUUUUCUUAGUUAACUGAGUCAAAGGAGUAGCUAUACGAGAAAAUUCUUAUACAAACCGUUAGUAAUAACCUGCUAACCCUAAAAGACUAUAAACCUCACUGACUAUGAAAAGUCGAGGCCAACUAGUAACAACUUCAAUCUUUUGUGAGAUCCACAUAAAUGUCACCUCUAGAUACCACAUGGCUUGGAAAGAUACUUGGCCUCAUCCAAAACUCACAUUUUGAAAACUUUGCAUACAAUUUGUUGACUCGAAGAGCCUCUAAAACCAUGUUAAAUGUUCCUCAUGCGCUGUCUCUAUUUUGGAAUAAAUUAAGAUAUCGUCAAUAGAUACAAUCACAAAAGUGUCUAAGAGAUCGUUAAACACUUUGUUCAUCAAGUCGUAAACAUUGUUUGAGCAUUUGCCAACUCAAAAGACAUCAUAAUGAACUCAUGAUGUCCAUAUCUCGAAAGAAAAUCUGCCUUAGGAAUGUCACUGUUCUCUAAUCCUCAACAAGUCAUAACCUGAAUGUAAUUCAAUCUUAAAGAACACGGACUUAUUGCAGUUGAUCAAACAAAUCCUCAUUCAUUGGUAAAAGAUAUUUAUUCUUAACCGACACCUUAUUCAACUUUCUACAAUCGAAACAUAAGUGCAUCGACCCAUCUUUCUUCUUAAUAAACAAAAAUUGGUGCACCCCAAGAUAACAUACUUCGUCGAAUGUAGUCCUUGUCAAACAUUUCUUUCAAUUGCACCUUCAAAUCUUUCAACUCUGUUGGGGCCAUUUUGUAUGAAGCUUUAGAUAUAGGAACGAGUCUAACUCUAUCUCAAUAGGAAGACCAAUUUCUGUUUAGCGCGGUAUUCUUAGAAACUCUUCUAGAAAAAUAUCAUAAUACUUUUUCACCACUGAUUCAAAUAACAAAGAAACAUCGACUUCUCUGAUGUCUACCACACUAGUCAAAUACAACAGGUACCCUGGUCAAGCAACUUACUAACCUUCAUAGCUGGGAUAACUUUUAGCGAAACGAUAGUUCCAACCUCUUUGUACUUGAAACUAGCCUCUGGAGAAGGAUUAGAAACUACAUUUUCGCUGAACAUUUUAUGUUUACAUGGUUAAACUACAUUCCAAUUUUCAAACUCCAAACUAGUAACUUUUCAUUCACGAGAAACUCAAAAUUGUUUCUUAAAGUCACAUCAAGACAACCAUGCUCAUCUUCCUUGUUUCUUUUCCAAUACCUCCAUUCUAAAACCAUUUAAUGUGUUUCGUAUAAACUUGACCGUGUAUUUAGUCCUCUUUAAAACCACCUACAUAACUUAUUUUUCUUAGAUUUCCAAUCACAAAACAGACAUUUUCGCUAACAACGUCUUACUUUUCUACUACUCGACCACUCCUUUGAACACCUCUACAUGACAACAUUUUUCCUAAAUUUCACCAUUAAAUCCUUCACCAUUAAAUCAUAACAUUCAUGUAAUUCUAGUUUAACUUAGGCAAGGUCAUAUACAUAAACCAUACAUAUAAGCAUAAAGCAUACCUGACGAGAGACGAAGGGUCGCGUUAGCCAUAGGAACACAAAAACAUAGACUUACAUCGUAAGUCAGUCUACAGAACCUAAAACUUAGGCUCUGAUACCAACUGUAACGACCCAACUUUUCAAAGUAAGUCGAGAUCGUUAGUUUUUAACAAAUAAAAGACUUUGAUUAAUAUAAAACAAAACGUAAGCAAUUUAAAAAAAAAACAUCUUCAAGUCAGGCCUGAUUUUUAAACAUUCAAGAAAACAUAAAAUAAUACUGUUUGCAACAAACGUUUGUAAACUAAAUUUUUAUCUCAAUCUUAAAUAAGCGGAAGCAAUUACACGUUUCCUAUGGCAUCACGCUUCCUUCCUGCCCCUCGCCGGUUUGCCGCCUUUAUUACCUUUGCCUGAAAAUUAAACAUAAGAAGGGUGAGUAUUUUAAAUACUCAGUAAGAGACCCUCUACUGGUCUCGUCAGGGGAAAAAUAAAUUGUUAAAGUUCUAUUGGGACACCCUGUACAGUCGCAGUCUUGUGAUCCCGUAGGAUACACAUCUCAGUCUAACGCCCCGAAGGACGUACAUAUCAGUCUGACGCCCCGAGGGACGUACAUAUCAGUCAAGUGUUCUGCAGAACACAUAUCAGUCAAAUGCUCCCGAAGGUGCAAAAUAAAUUGGUGAUCCCGUGGGACACCUACAAGGUAAUCAUCCAAUACAACCUAACAAUUUAUCCCCUCAUUCCAUUCAACCCAUCUUUCAGAUACUUCAAAACAUAGAGUUCUUUCUCUCAACGUCCUAACAGUCAACUUAUCUCACUUUAGUCAUAUGUCUGUCAAUAAUAUACUACUAUGUCAGUCAAUCAAACUAUACAGUCAAUACACCCCUCAGAUCACCAGCACACAGUCAUACUUUAGCGUAACGACACCCAAUCUAAACGACAAUCACAAGAUCGCAUCUGCAUCUCAUACAAGCAUAAUCUACAAUUUUCGUCCUGUCCACAUCCACCCACAUAUAUAUAUAUUCCAUGACAAUCACAAUAUGCAUUCAACAUUAAGUCUACUUCAAUUCAUAUGCAUAUAUAUAUAUUUUCAGUCAAUCCACAGUAUACAUUCAACACCGAAUCUACACCCAUACGUGUAUAUACAUAUGUAUCAUCUCAACAUCUUUACUCAGUCAGGGAUAAUCAUUCAGACAUACAAUUCACAAUCAUAAGUGAGUCCAGUAGAAAAUCCCUUACUUUCAAAUUUGUUAAGCUCCUUAACCACGUUGAAGUCUAUGAAGAACGAACCUAAACAUUAAGACAAUUUCUCAAUAAUUCCCUUCAACGCAUCAGUCAUUUAAAUUCAACCCAAUGUGAAUCUUUUUGCAACUUACCCAAAUCUUCGCGAAAGAAAUCGAGCAGUGGCUUUGCGAAGAGAUGACGUGCGACGGAGAGACCGUAUACAGAUGGUCGGAGAGUCGCGCGGCAGUGCAGACAACGGAGGAGAAGGGAUCGGCGGCGGCUGGCUUGGACGGCGGUUGUGAGUGGCGGACGUGGCGGUUACUGGUUCACAUGGCGGCUCGGGCUUCGACGAAGACAGAACCGGCUGAGACGGCUGGGCAGCGGCGGAAGGUCUUGCGGUACAGAUCUGGACGGUGGUCGCAAGGUGACGCGUACGGCGGCCGCAAGGUGACGCGUACGGCUGCCUCACGAACUGGCCGAUGGUUGCAGCGACGUCCGGCUGGGUUUGGACGGAACGGAGAGGAAAAGAGAAGAUGGAGAUGGCCGACGGCGGUUGCUGUGCGAACGGAUGGGGCGGCUGCUAGGGUACCGGAAGGAGAAGAAAAGAAAAAUGAGGGAGGGGUUGUGUGCGGCGCUCGCGCGAGAGGAAGAAGGAAGGAAAGAUAUAUUCUUUUCUUUUCUUUUCUUUUUAUUUAAAUUAAGUAUAAAAAUAUAUAUAUAUAUAUAAUUAAAAACAAAAUAUAUAUAUAUACAUACCUUUGGGGCAUUACAAAAUCAAAAAGCCCUGGAAGCACCCGUUGUUUUUUUACAUAUUUCAGGUUUGCCCUUCGUUUCCAUCUUCUUUCUUCUGCAACUUUUUUUCAAACUGUUAUUUAGUUCAAGAUAGUGUACCAAAUAUAAAAGAUAUAUUUUUCUUUUAUUUUAUUAAACUGUUAUUUGGUUGUUCAAGAUCGUGUACCAAAUAUAAAAGACCUUUGUACACAAUUUCGAAAAAAAAUCGUUGGAAAAUUUGUACAUGUUUAGAGUUGGCUACAACCAAAUCUAACAAAUAUAAAACAUCUUGAAUAGUUAAAUCUAAACGAUCAUGUACCAAAUAAUUUUGAAAAAGAUUAUUUAGUUUUAGAUACCAAAAUUCUAAACAAUCGUGUACCAAAGAAUAGCCAAAUCUAAAUGAUCAUGUACUAAAAAAUAGACAAAUCUAAACGGAUCUUGUACUAAAGAAUUUUGAAAAAAAUUGUUUACAUUUUGGUAGCCAAAUCUAAACGAUCUCACAUACAAGAUCAUGUAUCGAAAAUAUUAUGCAUACGCGCACAAGUGACCAAUUAAUCACUUGUUAACUGAGACAUUUUUUGAAUUUUUCAUCGCGAGUCUAUGAACUUUUUCCGUUUUCAAAAUUUUUCUAUAUUGUAAAUAAUUUUUGGCUUGUUAUAUUUUUGAAAAAAACACUAGAAGAAAUAUGGGCUUUGACGUCUAUUGAAAAAAAUAAAGACAGGUCUUUAAUGUCGCUUUUUAAAAUGCAAAUGUUUAAUGUCGGUUUUAAACCGACAUCCAAUAGGGAGCUUUAAACCGACUUCAUUUAUUAUUUUUUUUUUGUAAAGCCAAGGCAAUAAAAUUAAAAGCAACAUUAAACCUCAUUUACUCUUAUCAGCUCUUAUUUUACUCUUUCACGCCUUUCUUCCCUCUCUUCUCAAUCUCACUUUAGGGUUUAGGGUCGAACCACCACCGUGUUGACUUUUUGGUCAUUAAUUUCAAAUUAAUUAAUUAAUUAGUAUUUUGAUGAUAACAAAUUUAAUUUUUUUAUUGACAAUUUUAUUAUUUUAAAUAGUUCAUAACGUAGAGUUUGAAACAAUGAUUCUGAAGCCUCUUGAAUCGUACAAAUUGAAGUUCAAACAAAGAAAAUAUUGCUAUAAAAGAAGCCUAAUGGAAAAAUACCCGAGAUGGUGAUGUGGCGACUAAGUAUUCAAUUUGAACCAAUUAGAGAAAGUCACUUGCAGCAAUGAAGGAGUAACAAAUGUGGCUUUUGAUUUUGAUUUAUAAAGAAAAUGAAUUUAAAAAGAUAACGACUUUAAUAUUAUUAUUAUUAUUUAUUUUUGUGUCUAACAACUAGUUUUUUUAAUAGAAAAGAUGGUGAUGUUGCUUUAUUGGGUUUUAAACAAAGAAUUUUGAAAAGACAUAUUAUAUUAUUAUUUGUAUUGUGUCUAACGGCUAUUUAAAUUAAAAUCUCAUCCAUUCAUUUUUCAUUUUACUUACCUCCAAUGACCCAAAAUAAUUUUGAUUUUAUGUUUCCCUUUUUUUAAUUAAAUACUUCAUUUUUUUAACAAAUUUUCAAGAAUAUUACUGAACUUUAGGAUUCUCAAAAAUUGUGGAAGUCAAUAUUGUUGUUUUCUGUAAAGUUUCCAAUUUUUAUUCUUUUCAAUUUGUCAUUGAGAGAAUUCUUAUUGUAUUGUGAGGGUUAAUGACUUAGAGUUUCAAAUUGUAUACUCAUUCUUUUAGAGAGUUAUCUUUUGUGUGAUUUAAAACUUCAACAUAUUGUAACGGUUGAAUUCUAACUCGUGGAAAGAAUCGAGUUUUCUCUUGAACCUGAAAAAGGAGCAACUAGUAGUUCAGGUCUAAUCCGUGGAAAGAGCCAAAAGAAAAUUUUCAAUCAAAAUCCCAAGAUGUGCUUGGGAAAGUGGAUGUAGGUUGAGUUUUGGUAAAAUUACGGUGUCUUCUUCUCUAACUCAUUUCUAAUUAUUUAUUAAUUUAAUUUUUUUGUAAUAUAUUUUUGUUGGUUGAGUUUGAUUGCAUACUCCUAUCCAUAUCUUUUUAUCAAUCUUGUUAUUUAACACUUCUAGAAAGAUUCCUUAUUUAAUUUAAAUUUUAUCUAAUUAAUUUAAUUUAGGUUUAUUUGUUAAAAAGUUUAACUAAACCCUAUUCACCCCUCUAGGAUUGCAAUACCGAUCGAGCACACCGAACUGUUUACUGUUGCGCCUUUGUGGCCAAUCGUCCCUCAUGCCCACUGUCACUUAGAACCCCACCUUCGAGCCCAUCAUCACACCAUUCUACAUCUUCGAAGAUCUGCUAUUUACGUCGGUUAGACAAUUCAAGCUUAUGAAUUCGCUUAGAGUUACAUAUGCAUGUGAAUUGGUGUUGUCUAAUUUUUUUAGAGAGUUAGUUUCUUGUAGGAUAAAGUUGAUUAGAGGGUGAAGCUUAAGUUCCUUAUUUUGUUUUGUGAUUAAAAUUCCUUCCAAAUUAAGGGUUGAAAUAGAUAAAAUAUUAUAAGCACAACUUUUCUUUCUCCACCAUUUCAUAAGUUUCUUAGCAAUAGAUGUAGAGCGACGAGGUAAUAACACUAUUAAAGAUAUCGGUUGAAAAUCGACGUUAAUUAAAGACCUUUAAUAUCGAUUUUAAACUAGCAUUAAAGGUCUUUUUAAUGUCGGUUGUAAACGGACUUCAAAAUCCAACCAACAUUAAAAAACUUUAAUAACAUUAUGAAAGAUGUCACAUUUGUACUAAUGAAAUAAAAAAACCUAUCAGUAUGCAUUAUAGCAAAUAAAAUAAAUUAUCUAAUACAACUAAUCUUGAAAAAUUGGACAAAGUAAUAGAAUUGUCAGUGCCCUUGAAAUGUUGUUCAAAUCAGAUUUUCACAUCCAAAUCCAACAAAACUAAUUUUCAUCAAGGUAAAUGACGUGGUUUUUGAAUAGCAUGGACAUAAAAUUGCAAACUUUAAAUUGAAAAUUAAGAUGCAAAAUGAGUAAGGGUUCUAGAAAAAGUAAGUUUAAAUUCAAAAUUAAACUUGCAUAAACCAGCUCUUCCAGAAAAAGUAGCAUAAAUGUUGGAGGUUUGAUUGUUCCACCACUCCACACACACACAUAUUAUUGAAGAAGUUUCCUAAAGAACGAGAAAUUGGAUGUUUUUACUACAAAACUCUUCCAAACCAACCACAUCCUUAACUACAGAGUUUUUAUCAUUUAGAAAAGAAAUUAGAACAAUUCAACUUAUUUGGUAUAAAAACUUGAUUAAUCUACCUAAAUGUAAAAAGUAUCUAAAUAUUUACUGCCAAUCUAAAAAAGAGAAGGAAAGCCGACCAAGUUUGAUAAUUAUUUUUCCAUAAAUUUCAUAUAUGUUUUUGUUAGUUCUUAAUACAGUGGGACAAGUUGUGAACUUCUUUUCUUUCUUCUUUGUGAUCAUUUAUGUCGGAAGCUUUUUCGCCAUUUUGGAGUUUAUUAUAUGAAUGUUUUUGUUGGUUUUGAAUAUUAUGGGACGAGUUGUGAACUUCUUUUCUUCUUCUUUGUGAUCAUUUAUAUUGGAAGCUUUCUCGCCAUUUUUGAGUUUAUUAUACGAUUGUUUAAAUUUGAAGCAUUUUUUCAUCAUAUAAAAUAAACUACACGAUCGUGUAUCAUGGUGUAAAUCAUUGUUAAUUACACUGUAGUCUACAUGAUCGUUUGAAAAGAAGAUUAUUUAUACAGAUCAUUUAUGUUUGAAGCUUUCUCUCAAUCGUUUAAAUUUUAUCAUCCGAUCGUUUAAAUUUGAAAAAUAUUUUUUUUUCCAUCGUUUAAAAUGAAUUAUAGGAUUGUGUAUCAUAAUUUAUAUCAUUGUUUAGACGAUAGUAAAUGAUCGUUUAGAAGAAGAUUAUAUUAUAUAGUCGCUUAUGUCUAAAGCUUUCUCGCAAUUGUUCAGAGUUUAUUAUUCGAUUGUUUAAAAUGAACUACAUGAUCGUGUAUCAAACUAUCGUUUAGAAUAAAAUUACUUACCCGUGUGUUGUCGAUUAUUAAUCGUGUGUUGAUUGGGGUAUUUUUGGUAUUUCAUAUCGUGCACAGAUUAUUAAUUGGUUUGUUAUAUUAAAAAAAAAAAGUCUCAAAACUAACAAUAUAAUUAUUGCAAACUAUUCUUAUCCAUGAUAAUAGAGUCUCUAGAAUUUUCUCAUUUGGGUGCAUGCACUGUUGUUGAUCCACUAACCAUUUUCUGCAGUUCACCGUCGUCAUCCGUCAUACAUAUUUUUUGUUUGCUCUUAGUUUUAUUUUAUUUUAAUAUUUAUGCUCAAUUACAAAUAUAUAAAAAUUAUGGCUAAAUUAAUUUCAAUCUUGAUAAUAAAUAAACAUAUCUACAGCACAGUCAUGGAAGAUCUUUACUUUGUUAGGAAAAAAAAGAUCACAAACAUAGGUUUCUACUAGGUAACAAAGAACUUCAAUAAAUAUUAAUUUUUUGUAUGUACUUUUAAAGCAACAAAUAUAUUGUUAUUGUACAAAAAAAAGAAGAAAAAAAACUAGUUUUAUUUCACUCAUUCGGCCUCUCAAUUAGGUCGUAAGCAUAUUUUUAUAUUCCUUUUUAAAACUAAUAAAUUUUGUUAGUGAACAAUGAUGUUUGCUGUACCUAAAUCCAAUUGCCUAAUUAUAUAUGAAUAAUUUUUGUAUUGAAUGAACCACUAGAGUAAGAGUCAAACGGCAAGGGACAAGAUGGCCAAUAUCGAAAGGAAAACUUAAAAGAGUAAAUUGCUAAAACUAAGAGAAAUGAUAGCCAUAUUCAUAACUUUUAAUCCAACCCUUUUAGACUGAUAGCUCCGUGAAAUGUAAGAUCUAACCUAAUAACCACUCUUUCAAGCAGGACAUCAAGCAAAUAUCAAUGAAACAUUGGUCAGAAGUUCAAUAGCAUUAAACGCUAACAUGCUAGAAUGGUCCAUGCAUAGAUAGAACCAAGAAACAGAUUUCACUUAUACAAUCAAAUAGAGAAAUAGAAACAAAUCGGGUUCUUAACUUCCGUCCUUGAGCUUGAGACGGCCCUCCAAGGAUCUCUUCAAUCAACCAAACCUUUGGAAGCUCUCAAAUCUUGCUCUCAUCUAGAAGUUGGCUCUUGCUUGUUUUCGUUACCCUAGUUGUGUUAGCUUUAGAACUUCAAUAAAGUUGAGUAUUUUGAUGAUAGUAAACUUGAGUUGUACUAAUAGUAAUGGUUUUUAGAGUUUCAAAAGUAUUAUUAUGGAGUUCAAAAAGGCGAUUCUAAUGCAUCUUGUCACCUUGCCUCAAGCACUUACUUUCUCGUCCCUAGACCUGGCGUGAAUGUCACUUGAACAACCUCAACUGACACAUGAAAUGGAAGACUGAAAAUCAUCAACAACGGAAGUCUUUUAACUUGAAAUAUUUAAAAUCGUUGGGUGACCCAUUUGAAAUCUUUUAUAAAAUGUAUCAUGAAUAAUGAACAAAAGAUGAAUAUAUAAGUGUUUGAACAAUCACAUUACUAUUUUGAAACAAAACAAUGUCCUUGUAUAAUGAAAGCUAAGUUGGCCUGUCAGCAGUAUGUUCAGCACACAGAUAUCCACAAUCUAUACCUGAAAAGUGAAAAAACGUUUUUGAUAAGGUAAGUCGAAAGACUUAGUGACCAACGGUUUUAGAAAACAGGUUUUCAUAAAUAUUUUAGUAUAAAACUGAAGCUUAAAUACAUUUUGUAGUAAAAAAUUAGAUGAUGACGAUCAAGGUUAGUUGUUGCGUCGUGAUGAAUCACUGCCUUGAAAGCAAAAUUCGGCCAGACUGUGGUGCUAAUCUCAUUGCCGGUUGCUCCCCAAGGUUAACACAACUCCCUAUUCUUGAUGUGCACUCGCCGGAAAUAGGAAUAGAAACGAUGAAGAAUUGCUCAGAUGUAUGAGUGGAGAGGAAGAUCUAGAGAGAAAAGUAGAGAUGGGAUGUUUUCAAUGAUCAUGAAGUAUAUAUGGGUGGAGAGGAAGAUCUAGAGAGAAAAGUAGAGAUGUGAUGUUUUCGAUGAUCAUAAUGAAAUAGAGGAGGCCUCUAUUUAUAAUGGAGUCCUCAACUGAAAUCGUGGGCGUAGAGGAAGGUAGAGACGCGACACUUUGUGGAAGACCGACUAUUCAGGAGAAGUGGCCCAAAUUUGACGCGUGGAAAAAUCGUACAUUCAGUUGCCAAGCCCGAGCGGCAAGGAUGCGCGUGAUGAUAAAGUCAUUCUAUCACCAUCAACAAAAUUUAUAAUCCUCUAGUAACACUUCACUAAUUAAACUCAUUUGUUUUUUUUUCCAGAUUUUCCAAUGUGGGACAACAAUAGAUGGGUAACUUUAAAUUGGGCAUUGGCCCACAGGCUUUUCCAACAAUCCCCCACAAAAGACUGUAGCGGCAAAGUUACAUAAAGGUCGAGAGAAAGAUAGUUCUGAGCAAGGAUGAGAUAUUAAGCUUAGACAUAAAUAUCCGAAGAUUUGAAUUGAUGCGUAGUGAAGUAAGACAACAACCUUGUUGAAGAAAGUAAAAUUAGAUCUUGAACUUUCUCUAAUGUUAAUUGAGACCCUUACAACACGCUCUAUCCGUAAUUUCGAUCAUCGUUUAUGCAGUAUGAAUUUGUGCCUUUUUGGCCAUGCACAUAGAAUGAACCCCAGGUCAUCAUGAAAGCUCUAGAAAGAGGUCCUUAAACUCUUUCAUAGAAGGCGGCCCCACCUUCACAAUCAUGUUAUAUGCCCCAUCAAGUUUGCUAAAGAAAAUCAUGCUAUAAACUCAGAUUUCAUAGUGGAUAUGGCUAUGUAGGUCUGUUUAGCAAAAUUCCAAGAUAUUGCUCCUCCCCCGAGCAAAAAUACGUAUCCACUGGUACAGUUUACCUCAUCGUUAUCUGUAACCCAGUUUGCAUCACAAUAUCCUUCUAAUAUAGCAGGAAACUUAUUGAAGUGCAAAUUGUAGUUUAUAGUUCCUUUAAGAUAUCUCAACAGAUGACGUGAGGCAUCCCAGUGGUAUCUAUUAGGAUUAUGUGUAUAUCUACUCAAUCUACUUACAACAUAUGCAAUACCGGGUCUAGUGUGGUUCAUUAAGUACAUAACACUACCUAUGAUUUUAGCAUAGUCAGGUUGAGAUACACUCUCUCCUUUGUUCUUUUUAAGGUGUUUACUGGCAUCGUAGGGAGUUCUCACUAGAGAGACAUCGAAGGAGUCAAAUUUCUUUAAUAAAAUCUCAGUAUAAUGAACAAAGUUCUAGCAUUCUUCCAUGUUCUAGCGUUGUUUCGAGUCAAAGUCAGAUCCACAACACAUUCUUCUAUCAAGGAUCGUUAGUCGUAGCACGUCAUAAAUCGUGUGUCGUUCAACAAGCCAACAUCUUCGUUUAGCGUCUGAUGAAGCCUUGCUAUCCUCUGUCAAGCCAAGUUGUCCCUUGUUGCAGUCGCAUUUGAGCUCCAUUCAAGGUCUCCUCCAUCCGCCAUGCUUCCAUUGUGUCUGACCCAGUAAUGAGUCGACACCUUUGUCCUAGAGUCGUAUGUUUUUCUCCAACCAACCCGAGUUGAGUUUCUUUUGGUUUAGCCAUGCCACCAGUUCAGCCAUGUUGAGCCAUUUUGGUAUUUUUGGUUAAGUAAAUUGGUUGAGCCAUUUUGGUUUUUUGGUUAAGUAAAUUGGGAGAAUUCUUGAAUAAUACUCAAUUGUCAAUUUUAUUAAUGAAAGGUACUCAAAUUUUCCUUACUGUGUUUAAGAACCGUUUAAUUUGAAAAUUCUUGGCAGUAAAUUGGAGAGCAAAUGUCUAGCCAAUCUGAAGGUAUAAGAUUUCUAUUGUCGGACCUUAGAUUGAAGUCAAAAUAAUGUAUCGUAUGAGAUGGUCUAACUAUUUAUUCGUAGCGUUAAAUUGUGUUGAUGGCUUAAUUACUAUAUUGUUGACUGAUGUGAGAUAUGUACUAGCAAGCUUAUUUUGACUGGUUAUAUGUUGAACUAAAGUAUUGUUGGUAGUUCUAAUCAUAUUUGUUGUGACUAUUUAGAUUGUAUUGAACCUAUUUGUAUGAAGGAAAAAAUGUUAACUUUAGCUAUUGGAUAAUGUACCUUUUUAGCAUAGUGUCCUACGGGAUCACAUGUCACACCUCGCCCCACAAAUAAUCUGUUUGCUUGUCUCACGAGACGCAGUGUGACUUGAACAUCCUUAACGAUGUUAGACGUCAAAUACACUCGUCUUAACGUCCUUAACUUAGCUUAAACACCAAAAUAUUUAACUUCAUGAAAUUCCUUUAGGCGAUAAAGAACUUAAUGUGGAAUGAUAAAACAACUUUAAACUUUUAUUCCUUAACAAGGCAUUUAGUACUAGAACAUAAUGAUACAACACAACCAAAAGAUAAAAAUCAACCCUUAAACUUAAACACCUGACAACUUCUCACCUAGCAAACCAGAACUUCCUUUCCUUUUGACCUCAACGCCUAAAUCUUGGAAGAGAAAAUUUUAAAACUUAAAUUUAAAAGACUUAGUGAGGUUUUAUGAAAACCUUUCGCAAUACCUUUUUACAAAUAUCAUUUCGCAUAAACAACAUAAGAACAUUUCAUUUCGCAUAAACCUUUCUUUAGGCUAAACAAACAUUAGUCAAAUAUUCUUUUUGUCAAUUAUCUUGAACCAUUCUUUACGCUUGGUCUCAUUACCUCGAGUUUGACUACUAUACAAACAGCAUCCAAGAAUAUACAGAUUCGUCCUUGUUGCUUAAGCCGCUAAGCUUUAUAUGCUCCUUUCAACGUAUAAGCCCACUUUUCAUCAUGUGGUUCGUACACCCCAUGAUGGCCUUGACUCUUUAUGUGCACAUAAAAGUUAGCAUCAAAUCAUACUUUAUCAAAUCAAGCUUUCACCAUUAUAAAUCACUCUUGAAACACAUAAACUUUUCAUAUAAAUCAUUUUCAAAACUCUUCUGUCUUUCAAAUCAUUCUUCAAAAUAGUAAAGUGAAAUCACAUAUAACAUUUUAAAACGCCACUCACCAUACUUAAAUAGCCUUGGUUUUGAGAAUUUCUUCCAAUUCUCCAUGGCUGAAAAAUUCAUAUUUAUUCCUUACUUAGCCCCUUGAACAUGAAAAUAUGUUAAAGAUUCUUAAGAAAAAAACCCCAAAAAAUAUCAAGACAAGCUUUAUAACAUAACAAUUUUGCGCAUCUCGCGUAACCUUGUCACUCAGCAAUAACGUAAUCUUAUCUUCACUUUAACGCCUAAUAACUUAAAAUCCAGAACUCCAAUAAAAAUACUUUCUUCUAUUGUUGCAAAAUGUUUUGAUAAUAUUACCUCAACCUUUCAACAAAAGAUUCAAUCUAACCAGUCUAUAACCUCCUUGGUGAAAAGACUAUUCAGUUUUUACCUGAGAAUGACUUUCCUCUCUUCUUUUAACUCAAACUUAACUUUUUCUUACUUAAAUUGAAUCAAUAGCCCCAAUAUAGAAAAAAGACUCAAAAUAGAAACUUUUGAGAAUAAUUUCAUUCAAAACGCUUGAGUGAAUUGUGAGAAAUUCAAUACUGAAAUUGACCUAUUUAUAGAGUUCCUUGCAUGAAUUUACGUUCACCUCAUCGUUGCUUAAAUCCACAUUAAAUCUUAUUAAGAAACUUUCUGCUUAAUUGUACACCUCAAAACACAUGCUAACAAGGCAUUGACACUUCACAGUUAUAACUUUCAAUCUUUAACUCUUUUGAUCAAACUUCCUUCUACAAUGUUUUUCUAAAAUGAGUUAACUUUUAUUUUCUAUAAAUUUCGGAGCAAAAUGCCAAACUAUGUGUUAUGCAGUUUUCUAAGAGUGCAUCUUACUCAGAUUCACUCGCGAACUGAUCUUCUCCCCUUCUUUUAUCCAAAACACCAACUUUCUCAUAUCCAAAAUUCCCAGCCGCCUUCCUCAAUAAACUAGAUUCAAAUUAUGAACUUUCAAUACAAAGUUUAGUACAACUUUUCAAAUGAAUUGUGAGAAACUCAUUUAUAAAGUCAGCUAAAACGUCGAACCUCUACGAUCCUUCCUUCUCGCCAACCCUAAACACUCAAAACACCUAAAGUACUAUUCCUUGAUACUACCUAAAGGAAAGCCGAUCUUUGGCGUUCUGAGGUUGAUCUCAAGCAAUCUGAAGCUGACCUCGGGACAAAGAAGUGAAGAUCUCGGAAGAGUAUUGAUUGGAGAUAGAAGAUCGCGGGCAAAAAUUGAAGAGAGAAAGGAACUCGGGGAAUAUCUGAAGCGAUGAAAGCUAAGUCUUCCUUUUCUCCGUUUUAAUUUUACCUUUUAUUCUAUCAAAAUCUGUCAAAAACUUCGUAUUUAUAUCCGCUAUUAAAUUAAACACUAUUUUCUUCCUUGUCUUACAAACCUAGAGUAAUUACGUUAAUAAUGGAAUGAAUUGCACAUAAAUAAUUUCACAUAAAUUUAUAAAUUGUUAUUCUUAAAAAGAUAAACAAAGCUAUUUGUUAAUUAAAAAUUUGAACCCAAAACUUUAAGGGGGAGACACCUAGAUACCUAGUCUAACAAAUCACUCGAAGUUCAUUUGACAAUAUAUAUGUGAAAGAUUUAUAUUUUAUAAUUACAUUGAUAAAUCGUUAAAGGAGAACUCACUACGUAUCUCAUCCAAAAGAUGAUCUAGUGAAAAGGGAUUAUUCUUUUUAUUAGUUGAAGACACGUCAAUAAAUUUAAUUUGUUACUCAUUUUUCUCUCUCGUUAGUGGCUUUUGAAAUUACUUUGCUCAAGUUGAGAUAUAUUGGUUGACCUCAAAAGGUCAUAAAGUACAACUUUCACAAAUGCCCUUUCACAAUGAUAGGUCCUAUGAUAUAAUAUGAUAGCCUAUGAUAUGGAGAUAUUAAUGAUUCAUAACAAUAUUGGGUUUUUUUUUCAAUAUAGUUUGAUUAUUUACCACUUUAGUGUUGAGGUUUCGCCAUAAAGCUCGUAGUUUUGUGGAUAAACUAUUUAUUGUCAUUAAUAAAACAAGAUGCUGUUUUAUGUUGCAUAACAUUAUUAUCAAAUAAAACUAGAAAAAUAAAUAUAGGUUCUUAUGUGUGUAAUCUUGAACAUAGGUGGAUCAUAUUCUAUUAUAUAUGUAGGUAGGGUUGUGUGCUUUAUUUUUGUGACACUAUGGAUAUGACUAAUGGUUUGAUCCAAACCAUUCUUAGGGAGGAAUAUCUCCCUAAGGAAUAUCUCUCUUUUGUAAAUCUAUGAAUCGAUGAGAUGUAAAUCAAUGAAUGGAUGAGAUUAAUAUUUCUUAGGAUGAUCACAUAUAAAUUGGUUUGAAUCUUAAGUGAGUUAUGGGCUUCUUUUUGUGAGGUUUUAUUUUUUAUUUACACGGAUGAGAGUGACUCGAGUUGUAGAUUGAUAUUCAAACCUUACUAUUUUUGAGACUUUAGAGAGUCCAACGCCAAUAGAGAGUUGAAAACAUAACUUCACAAUAUAUGGAAUUAAAUAGUUUCCGUAUAAAGUCGGAGCUGCUGACUUCGAGGAAUAAAGUCGGAGCCCACUCUCCCAUUGACUUGAAGGGACUUGGUUUAUGGUUAGGGUAUAAAGACAUUGUUCUUUGAAGGAAUCGAUAAUACUGGAGAAAAAGAGUUAAUUACAAGUAUAAAACAAACAUUUAAUAAUCCAGUUGUGUAAUUAUGAAAAACUCUCUAAGGUUCAACUUACUAACUACAGUAAUUAUAUCCAUGAAUAUAACUUGUCCUAAAGUGUCUAAAAUUGAUCAACUAUAGGUAUAUAUAGUACUAUACAGUGGUUUAGUUGUUAUACCUAUAGCAUUCAUUCAUUAUAGGUAUAUAAAUGAAAAUGAAUGUUUAAUUAGUUAAAGAGUUUAGUUAUAAUACAGUGUCUAAAAUUUAACAAUAGGUAUAUAGUGGUUUCCCUAUAGCUAAUGUGAAAGAAUGAUAAUUAGUUAAAGAGUUUAGUUAUAAUUUAAUCUUGGAUCAUCAAUUUGUUGUUCUAACAUGUUGUUCUAUAAGGUCCCUUGCUAACUUUCUUUUGACUAACAAGAAUAAAAUACAUUAAAAGAAAAUUUGGAACUUUCAAAUUUAUAAAUGAAAAAUAUUUAGGGUUUUUUAAAAGAUCUAACAAAAUGCUAAAAUAUUUACCUCCUACAAAACAAUUUAAAAAAUAGAAAAAUCUCACAGGCCAACGAUGAAAAAUACAAAAUGUGUCCCGCGAUUAAUUGACAUCUAACGCGCGUAAUAUAUUUUAGAAAUGAUCGUUUAGAUUUGGUUAUUCUUUCCUACGUAAUCAUUUAGAUUUGUAUCCAAAUCUAAAUAUUUUUUUUUUGAAGAUUCUUUUGAUAGCAAUCAUUUAGAUUUCACUAUUGUUUGGUACACGAUCAUUUAGAUUUAAUCGUUAUAUUUGGUACAUGAUUGUUUGUAUUUACUAAAUAAUCGUUUAGAUUUAAUCAUUUAAAUUUGGAUAGCCAAAUAUCAACGAUUUAUUUUCAAAAUAUUUUGGUACACGAUCAUUUAGAUUUGGUACCAGUGGUUUAGAUUUGGAAUUUUUUUAUAUGAUCGUUUAGAUUUAGGAGCAAAAUAUAAACGAUAUUUUUUUCAAGAUCCUUUAUAUUUGGUAGACGAUCUUGAACAACCAACAGUUCGAAUUUUUUUUUUUUUUUUUUAUAUUUAGUACAUGAUUUUGAACCAAAUAACAACUUUGAAAAAAAAAUGGCAGAAGAAAAGAGGAAAGACGAUGGAGAGAAAAGAAAAAAUCGCAAAAGAGACGAGAAGCAAGACGAUGAAAAGAAAUGGUAAAUUUGAAAUUUUUUUAAAAAAUUGUUAGCUUAAUAGACUUUUUCAUUUUGUUACAUGAGCCGUAAAUAUAUUGAUUGUUUGUUAUACUUCAGAAAAUUAACCCAAUAUUUAUUAUAUAGGUUAAUUUUUAUAAAUAUACUUAAAAUAUUUAUGGCCCGUGUAACAAAAUGAAAAUGCUCGUUAGGCUGGCCAUUUUUUAAAAUAUAUUUCAUAUUUGAUCUUCAUUUUCAUCGUCUUUCUUCCCUUCUUCUGUCAUUUUUGUUUUAUUUUAUUUUUGAAUUGCUAUUUGGUUGAAGAUCGUGUACCAAAUAUGAAACAUCUACUUUUUUCAAACGGUUGGUUGUUCAAGAUUGUUUACAAAAUAUAAAAGAUCUUGGAAAAGAAAAACACUAUUUAGAUUUGUCUCCCAAAUCUAAAUGAUCGUAUAUAAAAAAAUAGUCAAAUCUAAACGAUCGUGUACCAAAUAAUUUUAAAAGAAUUCGUUUAGAUUUGAGUAGCCAAAUUUAAACUAUAUCAAAUGUAAAUGAUUGUGUACAAAAUAUAAAUGAUCCUGUACCAAAUCUAAUCUAUCAUGUACCAAAAAAUCUUUAAGAAAAAACGGUGAGAUUUGGCUGCCCAAAUUUAAACGAUCAAAUCUAAACGAUCGUAUACCAAAUAUAAAUGAUCUUGUACACCAAAUCUAAACUAUCCUGUGCCAAAAAAUCUUAAAAAUAAAACGGUGAGAUUUGGCUGCCCAAAUUUAAACGAUCAAAUCUAAACGAUCGUAUAUCAAAUAUAAAUGAUCUUGUACCAAAUAUAAAUGAUAGUGUACCAAAAAAUAUUAAAAAAUCGUUUAUAUUUGGUUGCCCAAAUUUAAAUGAUCGUAUAGCAAAAAAUAACCUAAUCUAAAUGAUCGUGUAAAAAAUAAUAGCCAAAUCUAAAUGAUCAUGUUCUAAAGAAUCUUGAAAAAUCGUUUAGAUUGAGGUAGCAAAAUCUAAACAAUCAAAUAAACUCUCAAAUCUAAACAAUCAAAUAAACUCUCAAAUCUAAACAAUCGUGUAGGAAAUGAUAGCCAAAUCUAAACAAUUAUUUUUUAAAUAUAUUACGCACGCUAGAAGCCAAUUAAUCACAUGAUAUUUUUUGGAUUUUUUUUUGUUUUUCAAUUGUUAUAUAGAAGGUAAGUAUUUUAGGGUUUUAUUAUAUGUUUUAAAGGAGCCAUAUGAUAUAUGUGAUACAAUUGGUAAAUGUUUUAUUAAAUCUUAAGCGUUUAUCAUCUUUUUACCUCAUCCAGUACCCUUUUCUCUCGAUGAAUUUUUAAUCAACUUCUAACUGAAAACCAUUAAGUAUGUUUUUGUUCUAUGGAUCGAAGUAUUUUACUUUUAACUCAUGUUAUUGAGAAGAUGAGAGGUUGACAUUCAUUGUUUUAUACAAUAUUAUUAAGAUUUUAUUGUAAAUAUGCAUGAAAGUUAAAACCUAACUUUUCCAAAACUAUAAGUUUUAUUUGAGAGGGAGAGAGCGCAAUAGAAGAAUGUAGAAAGUGUUCUAUGGUUGACAUAUAAUCGUGGGUGUAAAUUAUUGAUGAUGUUGGAUUUUUCACCAAACCAGACAGGCUUAAGUGCGCAGACCAUACAUUUCAAAAAAGUAUUAGUAGCUUUUAUUAUAUCAUCAAAUUCAAGUUGAUAGAAAUUAUAGUAACCUUUUUGUCGUGGUUUUAAUUUGUAUUAAAUAACAUAGGCUCUAGAUCAAUAUAAUGAAACCAUUCACAUAUUUAUGUGAGCUUAUAGAUUACUCUUACCGAGAUCGUAUUAAUAUAUAUUUUUAAUAUAAGAAUAGUGCAAGAAUUGUUAACAAUACAAAACUUUAAACAGCUAAAAUUAUAUGCUUUCAUUGAUAACCAACCAAGACAUGUGGCAUAAGCUUCUCAAAAUAAUAAAAUAAAAGAAAUAAAAUUAUAAAUUCUUUGAGAAGACAACAGUUUCUAUGAAGAUUCUCCUUGAGAUCACCAUUGUGCAUGCAUUCCAUUUCACUUAAGGGAGUUUAACGUCGUUGGUUUAAGAGAGGAACAUAAAUGAAUCGAAAUCGUAUUUGAAUGAGAGGGAUCGCGAGAAUAUGAAAGUAAGGUUAAGAAAGACUUAAAAGAAUUAAAAGUUAAUACCUAUACGAAUGAGGUGCACCUUCCUUUUCGGUGGCUCAAUCGUAGGAACUCUAACUAAAGUUUAGCAUGCUUAGCUCAAAACAAUUUUAUGUUGGGUGACCUUUUGGAAAUUUUUUUAUGAUGCAUAUGAGUGAGAACAAAGCAUGCUGAAGUGACUCGUAUUGGUUUGAGGGAAGAACUUUCACUCUAAUAAGCCUUUAAGACAAGAAUAAAUGAUGUUGUCAGGUUGUAAGAGAUGCAAAGGAAUGUCAUAGAUCUAAAUUCUGAAAUUUUGGUAUGAAAUCUGAGCCUAGGACGUUACAGGGUAUUUGUACAAAUUUGCACCAAUAAGUAGCUCUCACAGCCAAUGAGUUAUCAAACAAUAAGAUGCAUUAAAUAUGUACAUAGUAUCAAUUCUUUGAAUCAAUAUGUAACAAAUUUUAAUAGUCAAAAGAAUACUUGACAUGUCAUGCAUAUUUCUAAGAUCAUGAUAUAUGAUACCACAGAAAAUAUGCUAUCAAAAUUUGAUUUAAUUCUGAAUCGUUGUUCUAUGUUUUAUGUUUUAAUUUGGCUAUUUUGUAGGUUUGGAGAAAAUCUACUGUAGAGUUUUGUGUUGAUGACAAGUUGGAGCAUAAUUGGGCAAAACCAAAGUCAAUAUGCACAACUAGGUCAAGGAGUGAAGAAAAGGCCAAACUUAACCUUUGUCUUACUUUGUCGCAACGUUGUAAGGCAAUAGGCGUACGAUCCUAAAAAAGCAUAUAGUGUUGCAACGUUGCCUUAGAGCGUUGCGAUACUCCGAGGUUUAUCUUCGUAAGAUUUUUUGGGAGCAUCAGGAAAUGUUACAAUUUUAUUCAUAGUUGUUUUUCUCACUAUGUUAAAGGGAUCACCAAUUUCAGCAGCAUCUAGUCUGAUUUCUCUCUAUUUUCUAAUAGCUUUCGAUUGUGGUUUAUGCACUAUAACGUAUUACUCAUCAUCAUCUGAUAUGUGGAGGAAUAGCUAAAGUAUUCUUUCUAGGGUAUUUGUGAUGAUUUGAUUAAAUAUAUCAUGUUUUACGAAAUUUAAUUUAGUUUUGAGUGAUUUUAAUUCAUAUUGGUCACACGCUCGUGGACCAUGUGGACCAUGUGAUGUUUGAUUUCAAUCCAUGUGCCAUUUACUUGGAAGAUGUAUAUGAAUUGCAUGAUGAGAUGAGUUAGAUUAGCUUGCUAGCCAAGUUAAGUUGCAUAGUUCUAAUCAAUAUAGAAUUAAAUCUUUAGAGUAAUUAGCUAAAUGUAUAGAAGUUAAUUAUUCACUGCCCUAUAUUUCUCUACAUCUUACUGCAACUAGGUUGAUUCAAAUUGUCAUCCCUUUUCAUCAUUUAGAAUUAGACUAGUUUGAUACUUAAGAAAAUUUAAUUAGCUUAUCUAUUUAAGUUGAUUAAGAUGUAAGCAUUUGAUUUCAUUAGUCAAAAAGUCCUAAUGAGCGAAGGUCUUUAGUAGAAUGGAUUCCGUUAACGUAAGCUAAACUUUCUAUCAAUAAUUACUUCUCUAAUUAAUCUCUGUGUUUUAUGCAAUUUACUUUAUUUGCAAUUGAAGCCAUCUCAAACCACUCAACCCUCCCUCUCGACCAUCGAUGAACAUUGAUUACCUUAGGUUGGAAAUUAUUUUUCUUAAGAAACUAACAUGCUCUCUAAAUUCGAUUCGGUCUUACCACUAAGACUAAAUCUUGUGAAAAGUUCAAUUAAUCAUUUAUUCUAAAUUUAAGCCAUAAAAUUUGCUCGAUAAAGAAACCCUCAAACAAAUGUUAGAGUUUAUAUCAAUUGACGUACACCAAUGCAUCCACAAAAUUGCAAUCCAACCACUCCCAACAACUAAUAAGAUAAUACAUAGCCCACACUGAUGCAAUAAUGACAUAGGUUGCAUCAAGACACAUAAUGAAAUAAUAGUCUAUGUUAAUAGUCAUCAACCACUAUCUACCCGACAUCUACCAACUGAAAUAUCAUUGACAGACCUCAAUGCUCAAUAAACUCACAACUAUAUCCACCACACAACUUUGACUAUAUCAGGUUGUUCAUGCUUGAUAUAGAUUUCGUAAAUGACAUCCAUACACUAGACGAGAAACAUCAACAAACAUUAAAUUUUAGCAAUAUGUACCGAACCAAGGUGAUAUCAAACCCCAUUCAUAUGCAACUCAUUAUAUGUGCACAAUCAAUUUUAACAUACUAACUCUUACUAGAUCAUACUUUAAUACAUUACCCUACUACGACAAGCAUCAAUUAUAAGACAUGAUCAUAUUCAUACUUAGCUUCCUUCGAUAUAUUCCAAACAAUAUCAUAAUCAUAAGUGCUUCAAAUAUUAUGAUCUAAAACACAUAAUUGAUAACGUUUGAAAUACGCUAUCUAUUUCUACUUAAUUCAAGCUUGUGCUGUGAUUUUAUGUUCUUGACUAGCUAUUUUAUAGGUUUUUAGUAAUUCAAAGGUAGAAAUCAAUGUUGAUGUCGAUUUGGAACUAAUUCGGACAAAUAUGGAGUCAAGUUGUGUCAAUCGAGGCAAGCUGGUGAUCAAAAAAAGAUUAUUAGUGGAAAGGCCUCAAACUUCGUCUGCGCGUCUACGUCCUUCAAUGUCGCAACUUUGCCCCGAACGCCUCAGACUACGACUUAGUUAUAGAAGUAUAUUUUUAUUGUCAGUUUAGACCUAGGCCUGAUUGUAGCCAUUUCUCUUCAGUUUCCUCUCCGUUAUCUGAUUGCUUUUUGUUGGUUUAUGUUUUUGAACAAUUCCUCAUCAUCCAACACGUGGAUGAAAGGCUAAGAUUCUUAUUCUAGCUUGGAUUUUUAUAAAUCUCCCAUUGUUCCUUUGAAUUUACAAAAGUUUGAACUUGUUUACUGCAACUUUUUUGGUUUCCAUUAUAUAUUUGAAUGAUUGUUUGUUCAUGGAGAAUGUAUAACUUGUGAUUUCAAUUAUUAAAUCUUUGACUCAUGACAAUUUGGAUAAACUUUGCUUAUAAGCAAUAAUUUAGGUUAGCUUGGUAUUCUAUUUUGAUUACCAUUUUCCUAAUCAACCUAGAAUUAAACCUAGCUAAUGAAAUGUCAAUUAGACGCAUGGAAAUUAGGCAUUCCACCUAAGGAUCUCUUGAAGUUAAUGCUAUUGGGAAAUUCAGUUGUGCAUAGUACUUAAUCGUAUUAGAACAAUUAAACGUGUAACGACCCAACAUUUUAAACUAAGCUGAGGUCAUUACUUUAAAGUUCAAUCUAAAAUAAAUAGCUAAGACACAAAAGAUUAUACAAAAAAAAAUUGUUUAAAAAAUAAACAUCAAAGAAAAGUUUAGUUCGGGCCCUAUUUCAAUCAAUAUAAAAGUACAUAGAUAUUUGUGUUUUAAGACAUAACGAAACAUACCGUCAUUCUAAACAUGAAACUCGCUCAUUUCAAUCAUCAAAACUUAAAAACAAUAAAAGCAUUUAAAAGAUUCAAUAAGGCGUUCACAAGUACUUCUUGUCCCUCGUCAGGCUACCGUCUCUCGUAUUACCAUUGCUUGAAAAAGCUAAAGAUAGGGUGGGUAUAAAAAUAUACCUAGUAAGAGACCCAUUAUUGGUUUCGUUAGAGGUAAAAACUAUUAACUUUCUAUUAGGAGGUAUCAUGCAUCAUAACAGUCUUGUGAUCCCAAAGCAUACACGUCAAUUAGUCUAGUGAUCUCAUAGGAUGCACAUAAUUAGUUUAGUGAUAAAAUAGAAUGCACAUAAUCAGUCUAGUGAUCCCGAAGGGUGCACAAUAUGUGGUGAUCCCGUAGAACACCAUGUCUGCAAGGUACACUACCCCAUAGCUAAAGGUAACUGUUUCCCCCUAGUCUAGUUAAGUUCAAUCUAGUCUGAACAAUCCAAGACAAUCACAUCAAAACAUCAUUAAAACUAUCAACAAUACUUUAGUUCUCAACACAUAACAAGUCAAAAUAAGUGUGUUAAUACAUAUCUUUGUUCAGACAUCAGUGUAAGCAAUCAAUACAUUUUAAAGUAUUGAUCAUAAUAGUAAGACCCUCUUAGUAGAUUCCAACUUCAAUAUAAGGUCCAGUAGUAGAAAUCUCUUACCUCAACUAUAGCUAAGUUCCUUAGUCGAACUAAAGUCCAAAUAAACCAACCUAAACAGAAACGGAAGAUCAAUAACUUUUGCAAAUAAAUUCAUUAAUUCACCCAAAAGUGACUUCCACCAACUUACCUAAACAAAUGGAGAUUUGAACUCCAAUCCAACUUGUAAUGAACUCCAAGGACUUACUUCUCCAUUGGCACCAUCAAAUUAGUAUAAAAAAUUAUAAAUCAACUUGUCCUGACUUCAAAGACUUACUUCUCCAAUGACACCAUCAAAUAUAAAAUAUUCUAAAUUUUUAUUCCAAUUUAAUUGAAAUUUAGAUCCUUUAAUAACCCAUGUUAAAACUCAUAAAAAACUCACCAAAGAGUUGGCUCCAAAAGCAAAUGGUUUGAAAAAGCAGUGGCUCAGCCUAGCUAGGAGUUCGGUUAGGUGAGGGUAGUCAGCUCAUGCGGCUGAGAGAGGGAAAGAAUCUAGCUCGCAAAUGAAAACAAUUUGACUCAAACUAAGAUGGAAUGGAAAGGGUUCACAAACAAAGACAAAUCGACUUUGAUCUUCGAACAGUGACUAUGCACAUAUGAAGGCUUCGUUGACGGAAGGAGAUUGACGUCCUCAUGCGACAGUGUGGAGUGCGAUGGAGAAGACGCUCAAAUGUUCCGGCUAUGCGUCAUUCAACUCAAGUCAAUAACGUAAUGACUGGAAACAACGAUCAUCGAUUUCAACAUACGACAGAGAGUGACGAAUGGUGAGGACUGAUUUUGUCUGAGUGGAUUACGCGUGAACAUCGAACGACGAUGGUGACGAGGGUACAACGUGAGGAAAAAGAAUGGAAAAGGAGAAAGGGUUUGCACUCAAAUAUAUGUCCUUUUUCUAUUAUGAAGAAGAAGAAGAAGAAGACUCGUGAAGGACUAACUUACCAAUAUUAGUCUAUAUCCAUGGACACAAAAGUAUAUCUAUAGUGAGAAGAGUUCAAUGUUCAGUAUUUAGUGGAGUGUACACACAAUUAACAAAUAUUGAUUAAUGUGGUUAAUGAGUUUAGCAAAUUAAUCUCAUAUUGUUGUAGCUUUUGAUUUGUAGGUCCAUUAGGACCCCUUCCUAGCUCGUAAAAGAUAAUGAGAUUGCGUAGCCAAUUAAUCUCAUACAGUUAACGACUUGAAUGGGCUAUUCCUUGCGUAAAACUUCAAAAUAUUUACAACUUUGCCCCUACAAUUUCAAAAUGCUCUAUCUUUCUUGCUCAAGCUUUUUUUUUGUUGAUUGUUGUUGUCGUAGUUACGUAACAGAGUCUAGCUUAUUAAUUUGAAUAGAAAUGCGAAAAUAACGAGUAUAUGCAUGUUGUGAAACACAAAAUAGACAAAUAACUAUAGGUCAAAUAUUGCCCCAUAAUGUACUAAGGAAGGCAAAAAGUUACAAAGAGUAAAAGAUUUGUUAGGGAAAAUAUGAAAAAAGGGAAAAAUUGUUAAACUUGGGAAUAAGUUGUCACACCCCAAGUCGUACUACAACGAUAAUGUCGAAGUAGUACGAAUAGAAUGCAAGUUUGUUUUAACCUUGAAAUUUUUUUAUCGCAAAAUCUUAUUCUCAACACAUUUUAUACUAUCAACAAAACUCAAAAUGCAACGGUGGUCAACCUAAAUGCCAAGUAUAAUAACUACCUACCAAAACGUAUACUUUAUUAAUAACAAGUGUUUGAUAGAUAAUUACAACAAUUUGGCCAUAUAACCAAUGCUUAACUAUUUCCAAAGCGUCUGGAAUCAUCUCGCUGCAAAUCCUUCAACCAUUCUUCUCUACUUGGCCUAAACGCCCGAUCCUGAAAGAUGAGAUUUUUAAAACGUAAGUCUAAAAGACUUAGUGAGGUUUUAUUAAAUACUUUUUCAUAAACACCAUUUUGCAUAAAUAACAUCAAAUCAUUUCAUCUCGCAUAAACCUUUCUUUAUGCUUAAUAAACACAUUUAUAACAUAACAAUUUUACAUAAACACACAAUUAUUUCUUUCGCCAAGGAUCCCGAAUCGUUCUCUACGCUUGGUCUCAUUAUCUUGCAUUUGACUACUGUAUCAACAACAUCUAAGAACAUACAGAUUUGUUCUUGUUGCUCAAGUCGCUAAGCUUUAUAUGUUCCUUUCAAUGCAUAAGCCAGUUUCUUAUCACCAUAUAGUCCAUACUCAAUGGUCUUGACUCUUUAUUGUCACAAAAAAGUUAACAUCAUCUCAAGAAAUAAACUAAUUGUUUGAAAAUUAUUUUAUAGCACUGAAAUCGUAAUCAUUAAAUCAAGCUUUAAUAUUAUAAAUCGUGCUUGAACACAUAGAAAUUUUUCAUAGAAAUCUCUUUUUGAAACACUUUCUAAUUUGAAAUCAUCUUUCAAAAUAGUAAAGUAGAAUCACAAAACUUUUCAGAAGAAAACCACGCACUACACUUUAACAAAAAUCCUUAUCUUCCUUCACUUUUCGUGGAGCCUUCUCGCGGAACAAAUUGUCAUACUUAACACUUUGUUUUUCUUCUUCUUGUCAAAGCAAAACAUCAGCAUUUUAACUUUUUGUUUUUUUUUUAAUAAAAUCUUUUGUGCUUACUUAAUGACCAAGUCCUUUAUUCUCGCCUAACCAGAUUUGUGUUUACUUAAAAUCUUACACGUGAACCCCUGUCAAAUCAGAUUUGACAUUUUCUUUGUCAGACUUCACUUCUCGGCUAACCCCAUACUCCAAAUAACUUUAACCACAUAACACUUCUCGCGAAUAAGCUUAUCACUUGGUUAUAUUUUUACUACAAGAAACCUUCCUCGUGAACUUUAAACUUACCGCGAACUUAAAAUUCAAACCUUCCUUGUAGACUUCUUCAUCACGAAACCCUUAUCGCGAAGACUACCCAAACGCCUAGUUGUUUUAGUCAAAACUUCACAACUUAAGUCUUUUGAGAGCGUUUAGACUUAUAGAUUCUACUGUAAACCCUUCUUUUCACAAAACUUCCUCGUGAAUUAACUUAUUAAUCGUGAGCUUAUAUUUAACCAUAAAAGAUUUUAUUGCUUAAUCCUUGCCGCAAAUUUAUUCAAACACCAAUUUCUUUAAUACUUAGCCAAAUUUUACUUCUUAUACUCAAAUAACAAAAAACGGGUCUUACAUAAGUAUUUUUUAUUAGAAUUUCUUUUAAUGCCACAAAAAGUUAUAUCGUUAAUUAACGACGCAAAAAUUGUCAAGAAAAAUUUCACGUUUUCUUUUAAUUUUUAAGGACAUAUUUUACUCCAUCUCACUCCUUUUCCUUGAUUUGAAGUGUCAUUAAAACCCAAACUUCUUGUAGAGCCCCAAUUUGGUAAAAAUCUCAUUUUUGCUUAUUUUUGCUCUAUCUCCAAAUUUGUCAUUUCUAUAUAUAUCUCUUUAUCAUAAUCGAUUCAAUAAAUUAGGCCUAUAUCACACAACUUUUCGUUUUGCAAAAAUGCUUAACGCAGUUUUGAAAAUAGAAAAUUAUAAAAAACUAUGACUACCUUAUGGUUUACAGAUAUACUUGAUUAGUUUGACACACUUGAUGUACAAUUGAUGUGACGCCCCGUCCCACCUUGCACACAUCCUUAUGUCGCUAUGCGGCACAUAAUGUGACUUGAGUAACCCUAGCACUCUAAAUGAAUCACCAAAACGCUCACUUAAGUUCUCACACUUAAACUUUAACUUUAACAAGUAGCAAAAAAAUAUAUUAAAUUUUAAGUAUAACUAAUAAAGAGUCUAAUUAUUAUUAUUAUUUGAACUAAGCGUUCUACUAUUACACUUUCUUUACUUCCUUAGUACAAAAGUUAAAAUAAUUAAACAUAGACUUAAACACCUUGUCUAGCUCCCUCAAAAUUUAAAUUAGCUCUUUUAAUAUAAGCUAAGACUUGCAUACACAAAACGGUUUCCUAUUUACAAGGAUUUAUAAGGUAAAACAACUUAGAUCACUUGCUUAGCUUUCACGUGUAGCAACUCUUCUUAUCUUUCUUUAUUUAGCUUAAACGCCUGGUUACCUAGGGAGGCAAGCUUAAAACGUAAGUCAAAGACUUAGUAAGUGAUACUUUUAGAAAAUCUUUUUGGGCAUACAUUAAGAUCAUUUUCAUAAGAAUGGAUUCAACACCUUAUUCAUAAAACAUUAAACACACAUUAGUCUCUUAUAUUCCUUUCUUCCAAGAGCAUGAACCAUUUCCAUGCAUAGACUACAACAUCCCUAAGAGAAUAUAUAUCCUGGUUCAUUUCUUAUUGCUCAGGCCACUAAGCUCAAUAUGCUCCUUUUACGCAUUGACCACCUUAACUCCACAAUGCAAUCAUUUUCUACAUGGCUAGCUACCUUUGCUCCUUAUAUGCACAUAAUAGUUAGCUCUUUGAUAGAAAUAAGACUAAUGACAUACACAUAACAUAGCAUACAUACAAUACACAUAUAACUUUACUUUUAUGAUUAUUUAGGAGACCUCGAAUAAAUUAUUUGAAACUACGCUAGAUAAAUGCUUCCCCUAUUUUUAUUUUCAUGAUUUUUGAACGUUUGGAACUCUUGAGUAGAUAGUAUUUGAAUUUUGAAUACUUCUUUUCUUUUAUGAUUUAUUUAGGAAACCUCGAGUAAAUUAUUUUUAAUUAUUUAUUUCAACAUUGUAUUUCCACUUGAGGUUGUCUCUGUAUUUCUUAAAUAAAUGAUCCCAAAGUUUGCAUAAUCUUUGUCUUGAAAUUUUAUUUUCACUCGAAUAAAGAUUUCAGCUUAAGUUGAAAAGUUCAAUGGUUACAUUUGAGCCUAAGUUGAAGUUGGAUCAUUACACUUCAUUUUACUAGUGAUUUUUAUUGGAUUGCACAUGUUUGUUUCUUAACCAAAUGCUUUGUUUUUUUUAAAAAAAAAAAAAAUCUAAAUCCAAUUUUUGGGUACAAUUUUUUAAAAAAAGAUUCCACCAUAACUUCUAAAUUUAUUAUAGGUAAAAAUAAUUGGUUACACAUUUUAGUCAGUAUCCUGUUUUUCAUAAUCUACCUAAUACAAUUUCCAAACCAAAAUUAUGAAAUACAAACCUAGACAUUAUCAAAUGAGUUGAGAGAAGAAAUGAAAACGACCUUUACAAAACUCCAAUAUAAUCAAACAGUGCAUGGGAAUUAUGAAUAUUUUUAUUUCCUUUAAACAAAUUUUACUUUAGUCUCACAGACAAGUUAGAAAAAUAACCAAACAUAUAAUCUUACAAAACUCAAAUAUUUAUCAUUUACUAAUCAAACAAGAAGUUCUUACUCCAUCAUAUAUUACAAAAACAGAACGGAAAGAUGUAAAGUACUAUAACUAGCCGGCGAAUGAUUACAAACCGAAGUCUUAGUUAUUUAUUUAGAUACACAAAAACAUUUAGCCGGCUAACUUUGAUUGUGUAUAUCUACAUUAGUCCGUACUUUGUUUUGCGUUACUCCAACAAUCCACAUCUCUUCUAAGACAUCCAUGGUGAUUGUAUUCACCACUAUCGUUAGGUCGCCUAGUUUUUGCCUUCUCAUUCUCGUUGAUCUCCCGCUCUCUCUGCUUGUUUAUAUCAAUCAGUCGUCGGGGACUCCUAAGAGUUGUCCCUUCAAUUAGCAUGACCGAGGUGAUCAACACCAACAUGAGGAUUGCAGCAAGUGUUAGUCUUCUCAUUUUUCACACAAACCUCUGUUAACUAUAAUGAGGAGAGGAGGGAAGAAAAGGGCUGAUUAGAUUUUUGGAAUGAAAAUCAAAAGAGGAGAAAGAAAACGCUAAGUUUUGGAAGUUUCUUUUCUGUUGUUAUUGGGACUUGUAAUUGAAGUAUUUAGUGGAAAUGAGGGUUAGGUUGUUGAAUUGUGAGAUCUAUUAGGUGAUGGACUGUUUAUAUAGCACAUAAAAGACCAUUAAUAAUUUCGGUUUGUUUGUUCACCAUCAAAUGAGACAAAAAUUAAGUGGGUUGUGCACAAAUUUUUAAAGAAAUAUUAUAAAAUUAAUUAGAAUGAUGAAUUUGGAGAAUAAUUUUGGCCUAUAUAUAAACAGGAAAACUCCACCAUGUUAGCUUAAAUAGAAGCCUAAGCUCUAAAGUUGAGCAUAAUAACAUCUUUGCUCCUCAAUGUUCAACACACAAGUGUUUUCAUUGUGGAUUGGAUUAUGGUACGACAUUUGGAAAAUCUUGGUAGGGCUGAAAAAAAAAAAAAAGUCUAACCAUAAACACUACCAUAAAGAAUGUUCACCCAAUUAGGGUGUAUAUCUUUUUAAAAAGUGAAAAGUACUUUUUACUAAUGUUUCUAGGGUUUCAAACUAUUGUAAGAACGACAAUUGGAAUUUAGGAUGUGGAUAAUAAUUGAGGACGAUAAACAUUUGUUUGAAUCUACACCUACGCAAUUCAAGAUAAUGUUGUACUUGCAAUCAAAGCAUGUUACUAUAAUAACGUUGGUGAUAAGAUUUAGAACAUACGUGACCUCUUGCUUUUAUUGAUUUAAUGAUCUAGACCAUUGUGAUAUCCCGAUCAAGUUCAAAACUACACAAUAAUAGUGCAUGCGACAAGAUGGGAGCUAGCAAACUAGAAGUAUUACGAAGCAAUUGUGUAAGGCACAUUUUCAAUAUGCAUUAAGAAAAGAGUUACACGAUGAGGUGGAAGGCAAUGAGAGCUUCCGUCACUGUGAAGUAGUUGACUUCAUCCUUGUGUAAACACUACUACAAAACUGGCUUUACUUGAGUAAUCUAGUGUAAAAAAUAAGAGAAGUAUACUUGACAAUUUUUAAGCGUCAAUAAACUAAGUUUACUUGACAGGUAAAAAACGUCAAGAAUAUGAGAUUACUUGACGCUUUUUACAUGUCAAGUAAUCCAGUGUCAAGAAUAAGAUGGGUUUUGUUUGACAGUUUUUAAGCGUUAAGUAAAAUUAUACUUGACAAUUUAUAAACGUCAAGUAUAUAAGAUUUGUUGACAUUUUCUACAUAUCAAGAAUUUGCUGACUCUUGACAUGUUUUGCAUGUCAAGUGUUUUUUUUAAUUAUAUAUUUUAAAAUAUCCUUAUAAUUUAUCGUGCACCUGUUUUGAAGUUCAACAAUGCCAAACGUAUAUAAGUAAAGCAAGAGAGUAUACGUACAAAUGUGUUAAAGUACACAUUAAUUGAACAAUUGAAUCAACUAAAUUUUUUCAUCAAAAAACUAAUAAUAUUUUAACAUAUUAUAUAUAUAUAUAUAUAUAUAUAUAUAUAUAUAUAUAUAUAUAUAUAUAUAUAUAUAUCAAUGAACCACAAAUACAUACAUAUAGUUAACCUAUACUUCUAACAAUAGUCUAAACUUUCCAUCUAUGUGUAGCCUAGCUAUAGGUGUAUCAACUAAACUAAUUCACCUAGCUAUAUCAAGUAUAUCAACAAAAUAUCACAUCUAUAUCCAGUAUUAAUAAAACUUGUCUAUCUAACCCAAAAUAUAAUCAUCAUAAAUCAAAUGUGGCCACCCAAAAAAUCAGUAAGCUCCAUGCGCACUUCAUCCAACUCGAGUUGAUUAUGUGGGCUCCUUGUAUCAAUCUGAUAUGAAACCCAAAAUAUUAAAGUUAAUACUUUGAUUACUUGAAUUGUAGAAAAUAAUUCAAAUAAUCAUUUAAACACAACAUAUUGAAUCUGUGACUACUUUGCUCCCAUUAGUGAUUAUAUCUUUCAUGUAACUCAUCACAUAGUAUCCACAUUCCCACUCCAACUUGCAAAGGACACUGUAAAUACAUAAAUUAUCAAAGUAUAUAUUUAAUGGUGCAAAUAGCUCAUAUACCAUAUACUUUUAAUUAACGAAUAAAUAUGUUUAAACUUUACCUUCAUUGUUUUCCAUAUUAACUAUUUUUUAUUUGUUUGAGUAUUUUUCAAAGAGCGAAAGAAAAUAAUAGCCCUAUUUGCAAGAAAAAACUACACUUUAGCCAUGAAGUGAACUUUAUGAUGGUAAACAUGAUAUAUUAAAAAAAAUUACUUAUAUGUCACUUAUGUAUCUAAUAUCUACUAUAGAUGUUGUUCGAAGUGAGUCAAUAUAAUAAAUUGUCUCAUCAUAUGCGUUAACAGCCAAAAGUGCUCAAUGACCACUACAUAGAAAGAAUAUAAGUAGAUUGCCUUAAUAUAAACCAAAACAGGUUUCUCUAUGCUAAAUCAAAAGUAAACUACAACAAUGCAAAGUAACAUAUCACCUAUAGCUUAUUUUAUUUCCUAAAGAAACAUAAUAUGAUCAAAGCUAAACGGAGAGCACAUUAAAGUAUGAGCUAUGUGUUUCAAUAUCAAUGGAAGAAGAAGCAAUACAAUUUAAUUCAAAGAAACAUAAUAUGAUCUAAGAAAUCUUAAGAUUCAACUCAAAUAAACAAAUUGUCUUAAAAUAACCCAAAAGAAGUUUCUAGAAACCAAAAGUAGACUACAACAAUAAAAGUGGAUCCCCUCCCCCUCCCCUAUAUUGCCUUUAACAUAAUCUAAAAUUCUAAACUUCAAUUCAAAGUAACAUAUCACCUAUAACUUAUUCUAUUUCUUAAAGAAACAUAAUAUGAACAAACCUAAAUGGAGAGUACAUUAAAGUAUGAGCUAUGUGUUUCAAUAUCAACCGAAGAAGAAGCAAUAUGUGUGAGUAGAGUCCAUUCACGCACCUGUUUUCAAUCAUUGAACUUAUCAACUUCCAUCUCCAAUAAGCUUCAUGCAAGCUGAUCGAUGAUGUCUUGUGUGGCGUCCAAGUGCUUAUUGAGUCAGUAAGUUUGCCAAAUACCAGGUAAAACUGCCAUGCUAGAAGCACCAACCUGUAAAGAAGUUUUUUAGGAGGAAUAAUCUAAAAGGGAUAGUAAUAUUCACUCUUUAUUUAUUAAUUCAAUACUAACCUUGUCAAAUUAAAUCCUUAAACUAAAAAACUUGAGAAAUUAAUAUCUAUUAAAAACAAAAUAAAAUUUUCCUGUGAAAUACUAAUAAACUAUUGAAAAUUCUACGAACAAAACAUAUAAUAUCAAGCCCCCAAAAAUCCUAAAUUUAUUAAAAAGAUAUAUAGAACCUAACCACAAAUUUGAAACGGGUGGAGGAGGCCGAAAUACCACAAUAGGCCAUUAAUCCACCACAAAUACAUCCAAGGAGUAACCAUUAAUUGUUGACAAUAAAUGUGUUUCUCGAUUGUUUAAGUCCUAUGUCAAAAAUCAAAGUAAAAGGCUAGGAAAAAAAGUGAUAAGGCAUUAGAAAAGCCAGUGUGAAUUUUUUUAUCAAUGAAAUAUCUCUAAUCUACGAAAACAAAGACUCAAUGUGAAUUCUCCCAUAAUGAUACUUUCAUAAUAAUGUUCAACUGAUAUGAACGAAUGAAAAAGAAAUAGUUGAAUUAUUCUCAAGCCUCACAGUCAAUUACAUUUACUCGAGUUCUACAAACCAAUGAUUAAGAAAUCAAUUACCACAAAUCAACCAUACAAGGAAAGAAACCUAAUGGGUUGGAGAGAGGUUAGCAUGGAGGGAGACACAAUUAAGCUAAUAAUGAAAAUGCAAUAGGUCCAAUAAUUAUCUUUUGUGUUACAAUGGAAGCCUUUAUUCGACUGCUUCAUUAUACGAACCACCUAAAAUAACACUAUAAAAAAAAACGUGAUCAUCAUUGCCAUAUGACUUAGUACUUAUGUGCUACAAAUCAACAAGAAAAGUGUCAAGCAAUAGAAACUCUGCUGCAUAAAAACAAAGUUUAUAUAAACAAGAUAGAACUCCAUUUAGUACAAUUGAAUAAUAUUUUGAUAAGAGAGAUGUCGUAGAGUUACAGAGUUCUAAACAAUCAUUAUGAAAUGUUGCACAACAACUGUGUAUCUAACUACAAUGAGACAUAUGAAGAAGCAAAAUACAAAGACUUUCCAUGAACAUUUUAAACCAUAAACUAUUAAAAUCACAACCAUCCUCAACAUCCUCAUAAAAUUCUCUAGCUCCUCCCAAGCCAAAUGGCUUCACAUAAUGCAAAUAUAUUUUCUUCUUUUUUCUAAAAUAGAAACAAACCUCUUUGUUAACGAUAAUAAAUGAAACUAAAGUUCAAAGUACAAAAGUAUUACACUAAGAAUUAAAGAAACUAAGAGAAAAUAUAGACUAAAACUAAAAAGAAUACUAAAACUAAAACAUAAAUAUUAACGCAACCUAAAAACGUUGCAAACUAGUUCUAGCAUCUCAAAUCUUACCGCGUUAAGAAGAUCGACGCAAGCGCGAAGGCCUCUAUUGUUGGAGGCGUUGACGAGCCCACUCUAAAUUUACUCUAAAUCUCACAAACUUUUAAGAGAAGAAAUUUGUUCUCUUAGAAAACUCAAUAACACACAAGAGAAGAAUGUUGUUCUCUUGAAACUCACUUACUUUCUAAAACUCAAUUUUCUUCUAUUGAUUUGAUUCUUUUUAUCUUGUAUACAAAUGAAGGAAAUGAUCUCUAUAUAUAGUAUUCAAGAGACACUUCCUAAAAGACACAAAAUAAAUGAAGUACAUGAAUACAUACCAUUCAUGUACUUGAAUAAUUACAUGUAUCUAGAAAUGCAUAUGUAUCUUGAAACUAGAAAUGUAUCUAUUAAUCAAUCCAUAAUGUAUCUAGCUUAUUAAUUUCUAACAUGCCCCCUUAAGCUAGACUUCCCAAACUCCGAGCUUCUCUUUCAUUUUCAAGAAUGAAUCUGUCUUUAAUGCUUUUGUGAAUACGUCUGCAACUUGAUCUUGAGUCUUGCAAUACCUGAUAUAUACUUCUCCAUCUUUGAUCAAUUCUCUGAUGAAAUGAUAUUUGAUGUUUAUGUGUUUGCUUCUUCCAUGAAAAACGGGAUUCUUCGAAAGUGAAAUAGAUGAUUGAUUGUCACAGAACAUGAUGGUCCCUUUCUCUUGAGGACACUUCAAUUCAUGUAGUACAUUUCUUAGCCAAAGUGCUUGUAAUGCCCAAAGAAAAGGUAAAUAUAUAUAUUAUAUAUAUAUAUAUAUAUAUAUAUAUAUAUAUAUAUAUUUUAUUUUUAUUUUAAUAUUAAAAAAAUUCUUUAUUAUUUUUCUUUUCUUCUUUUUCUUUUUCUUUUCUUUUCUCCCUUCUUCCUCCCGUGCGCCGCGACCCUCCUUCCCCUUCUCUCCGUUCGCGCAGCAACCGCCCCAACCGUCCUCUUCUCCUUCCUCCCGUGCGCCGCGACGACCCAACCAUCUUCUUCUCUUCCGUUCGCAGCAGCUGUCGGCCGCCGCGUCUCCCCUACUGAAGCCGAGCGCCGCCACCUCCAUUCCGUUCUCCAUCUCCGUUCGCGAAGCAGCCUUGCAGCAGCCGCCCCGUAACUAUCCGGUCCAGAUCUGCGGCGCCGUUGCUCUUCCGCCGCUGCCCAGCCGUCUCAGCCGGUUCUGUCUCCGUCGAAGCCACGGUUCUGCAACCGUCUCCGCCGUCUCUAUCUCCGUCCGCGAGGCAAGUCGCACGCCUCAGUCACGAACAGCCUCGCUGACGCAGGUCACGCCGCAUCGCACGAGUUCGGCUACGUUGCCGGGCUACUCCCGUCCGCGCUUAACUGCUGUUGAACGUCCGAACCGUUCUGCCUUCGUCGAUACCCGCUGUCCCAUUUACGAAUCGCGGACCGGUUCGCGUGCAGAAGUGUUUUGCACGAUGUCUUUUGUGUAGAUCCUGCGACAACUUCUAUUUAACGUCGAUUGUCAAAGUCUUGUUACAAGAUAUUGGUAAGGAUGAGAUUGUUCGGUAAUAAGGUCUUACAUUUGUAAAUACAUUAAGAUGUGAUGUUGUUUAAUUGGUUGAAUUGAUCUUUGUUCUUGAAGGCGACAUCGGUGAUUUGGAGUUAGUGUCCUUGAGUUACUCCUUAAGCUUUGUUGGAGUUCGAUUCUUUACUCUUGGGGUUUGUUUGUUGGAAUUAGUUCGACCAAGAAAUUUUACAUAAAAUCGAGGUAAGGGAUUUUCUACUGGACUCACUUAUGAUUGUGAAUUGUAUGUCUGUAUGAUUAUCUCUGACUGAGUAAAGAUGAUGAGAUGAUAUAUAUAUAUACACACGUAUGGAUGUAGCUUCGGUGUUGAAUGUAUAUUGUGGAUUGACUGAAAAUAUAUAUAUGCAUAUGAAUUGAAGUAGACUUAAUGUUGAAUGCAUAUUGUGAUUGUCAUGGAAUAUAUAUAUGUGUGUGUGGAUGUGGACAGGACGAAAAUUGUAGAUUGUGCUUGUAUGAGAUGCAGAUGCGAACUUGUGAUUGUCGUUUAGAUUGGGUGUACGUUACGCUAAAGUAUGACUGUGUGCUGGUGAACUGAGGGGUGUAUUGACUGUAUAGUGGAUUGACUGAUGUAUUAGCAUUUUAUUGACAGACAUAUGAUUGUAGUAAAAUAAGUUGACUGUUAGGAUGUUGAAAGAAAGGACUUUGUGAUUUGAAGUAACUGAAAGAUGGGUUGAAUGGAAUGAGGGGAUAAAUUGUUAGGUUGUAUUGGGAUGUUUACCUUGUAGGUGUCCCACGGGAUCACCAAUUUAUUUUGCACCUUCGGAGCAUUUGACUGAUAUGUGUUUCUGCAGAACACUUGACUGAUAUGUACGUCCCUCGGGGCGUUAGACUGAUAUGUACGUCCCUCGGGGCGUUAGACUGAUAUGUACGUCCCUCGGGGCGUCAGACUGAUAUGUACGUCCUUCGGGGCGUUAGACUGAAAUGUGUAUCCUACGGGAUCACAAGACUGGCGACUGUACAGGGUGUCCCAAUAGAACUUUAACAAUUUAUUUUCCCCUGACGAGACCAGUAGAGGGUCUCUUACUGAGUAUUGUUAUACUCACCCUUCUUAUGUUUAAUUUUCAGGCAAAGGAAAUAAAGGUGGCAAACCGGCGAGGGGCAGGAAGGAAGCGUGAUUGCCAUAGGGAAUGUGUUAUUUUGCUUCCGCUUAUGAUUUCUUUUAAGGUUUAAGAUGUACUAAAUGUUAGUUUACAAACUUUUAUUUGUAAAUAGUGUUAUUGUUAAGUUUUCUUGAAUAUUUGAAAAUCAGGCCUGACAUGUUUUGUUUUUAAAUUGACUUAUGUUUCAAUUUGUAUCAAUCAAAGUUUAUUUGUUAAAAAUUAACGACCUCGACUUACCCAGAAAAGUUGGGCCGUUACAGUGCUUGACAACUAGCAACAGACAAAGAAAUGUAUUCAGCUUCUGUUGUGGACAGUGCUACAACAUCUUGCUUCUUUGAUGCCCAUGAAACUGCUCCAGAACCAAUAUUAAAUACAUACCCUGAAGUACUUUUGAAAUCAUCAAUAUUUCCUCCCCAAUCACUAUCACUGUAGCCAACAAGAACAUUAUCCACAUUCCUUUUAUAGUGGAUUCCAUGAUCAACAGUUCCAAGAAUGUAUCUAAGAACUCUCUUUCCAGCUUCCCAAUGACUUCUCUUUGGUGAUGUCAUAAAUCUACUCAAUAAACUGACCGAGAACAUAAUAUCAUGUCUAGUUGUAGUUAAAUACAUUAAACUUCCAACCAAACUUCUAUAAAUGGUGGCAUCAAAAGCUUCACUAACACCAUGCUUACUUAACUUUAAACCCAAUUCCAUAGGAGUACUGGCAGGAUAAGCAUUCUCCAUUUUGAACUUUUUCAACAAAUCUUUUGCAUACUUCUUUUGGAAAAUUGCAAUCUCAUUAUCACCUUGUUUAACUUCAAUACCAAGAAAAUAAUGAAGUAAACCCAUAUCAGUCAUCUCAAAUUCCUUUUUCAUGCUCUCUCUGAAUUCUUCAAUCAUCAUAUUUGAGUUGCCCGUAAAUAUUAAAUCAUCAACAUAUAGACAAAUUAUCAAGAAAUUACCAUUUUCAUCUUCUUUGGUGUAGAGAGCAUGUUCAUAUGGACAUCUUCUGAAACCAUCCUUUAAGAAAAAAUUGUCGAUGCGACUGUACCAAGCCCUUGGUGCUUGCUUUAGCCCAUACAAGGCUUUCUUUAAUCGACACACCUUAUUUUCUUCUCCAAUCUUUGCAUAACCGGGGGGUUGCUCAACAUAUAUUUCAUCCUCUAAAUACCCAUUUAGGAAUGCUGACUUUACAUCCAUUUGAUGAACUUUCCAGUUAUUUUUUGCUGCAAGGGCUAACAACAAACGAACAGUCUCCAAGCGAGUUACCGGUGCAAAAACUUCUUCAUAAUCCACACCAAACUUUUGUUUGUAACCUUUUACAACGAGUCUGGCUUUGUAUUUUUGCACUUCUCCGUUUUGCUUUAGCUUUGUUCUAUAGAUCCAUUUGACUCCAAGAGCCUUUUUAUUUUCUGGUAAUUUUACCAACUCCCAUGUCUCGUUUCUUCUUAUUGCAUCAAUCUCUUGAUUCAUUGCAUCUUUCCAAUUUUCAUCUUGAAUUGCUUCUUCAAAGUAUACAGGAUCAACAUUUGCAAAUAAAGCAAAAUCAACAUGUUCUUCAUCUAGUAUCCUUCUUGAAGUAUUAUAGAUCUCUUGAAUAUUUCUGGUCUUCCUUGGAGUAGUUUCUUCAUCACUUGUGGAGUGUGAUGAAGAAGGUGAAGUCAGUGGUUGAGUUACUUCAAGCUCCAAGUCUCGAGCAUCUUUUUUUCCAUCCAUAUCAACAUGUAAUGGAUUUUGGUCUUCAUUUGGUGCAUUCCAUUGCCACAAUUUUGCUUCAUCGAACUUGACAUCUCGACUAAUAAUAACUUUCUUACUUAUCGGAUUGUAUAGUCUGUAGGCCUUAGAGUUCUCACUGUACCCAACAAAAAUGCAUUUCUCUGAUUUAUCAUCUAGCUUACCUCUUUUCUCAUCUGAAAUGUGAGAGUAAGCAAUGCACCCAAACACUCUUAGGUGACUAACAGUUGGUUUCAAUCCGCUCCAUGCUUCUUGAGGAGUAAUACCUUGCACACUUUUCGUUGAAGCUCUAUUUAGGAGAUAAACAGCACAAGUUACUGCGUCUCCCCAAAAUUGAUCAGGAAGCUUCUUUGCCUUCAACAUACUUCUUGCAAGUUCCAUUAUUAUUCUAUUUUUCCUCUCUGCAACUCCGUUUUGUUGAGGAGUUCUUCGAACAGUCUUCUGAUGCUUGAUUCCAUUUUCCUUCAAGAAAUCUGCAAAAACAAUAUAUUCUCCUCCACGAUCCGAACGCAAUGAUUUCAAUUUCAAGUUACUUUCAUUUUCCACCAUUGCUUUGAAUGUCUUGAAACAUUCGAAAGUAGCACUCUUUUCUUUUAGUAGAUAAAUCCAUGUUUUUCGACUGUAGUCAUCAAUAAAUGUGAGAAAAUAACGGUUACCUCCAUGUGUAGUAGUUCUCAUAGGUCCACAUAAGUCUGUAUGAACAAGCUCGAGUGGUUUUGAUGCUCUCCAAGAACCUCCAGUCGGAAAUGAAUUUCGAUGAUGCUUUCCGAAAACACAUGCUUCACAGAGUUGAUCUUCCUUUUUAAUAUUUGACAUUCCUCUCACCGUAUGUUGUUGACACAUGUGAGACAAAGUGUCAAAACUUAGGUGCCCAAAUCGACAAUGCCAUAACCAUGAGGUGUCAUUUACUAAAGUCUCAAAACAAACAAGCUUCUCAUAACAUAUUUUAAUUGGAAACAUUUUGUUGUGAGUCAUACGAACCUUCGUUAUGAGAUCUCCAUUCUUGGUUCUAAUCUCACAUAUGUUAUCUUUAAAAAUAGCAUCAUGUCCUCUUAGGAGAAGUUGUCCAACACUUAAAAGAUUGUGUUUGAGACCUGAAACAUAAUACACAUCAGUAAUUUUUUUUGCUCCCAUUUUUGUCUUGACAAGAAUAUCUCCUUUUCCUUUGACUUCAAGCAUCUUGUUGUCACCAGUCUUCACUACACUUUGAUGAGAUUCAUCUAAAGAUAUAAAAAUAUCCUUUCUUCCUGUCAUGUGGUUACUACAACCACUAUCAAGAUACCAUAUUUCUUCAGUGCUUGAUUCUUGAACAUUGAGAGUGAGGAAGAGAAGACCUUGAUCAUUAUUUGAUUGCUCAUGCAUUAGUGUGGUUUCUGCUUGAUUAGAAUUAGUCUUCUUAGACCAACAGUCUGCUUGAAAAUGUCCAUAACGUCUACAAUUGAAACAUUGUAUGUGAGAAAAAUCUCCACGACCAUCACUUCUACCUCUUUUUAUCACUGAACUCUCUCUCUUUGCAUUUUCCUUCCGUCCUCUAUUUGAAAAAAAAUUGAUUGUCUCUGCUUUCUGACUCUGUAUUUGUUACAACGUUGGAUCGUCCAUUGCCUCUACCACCACGUCCACCUCUUCUUCCAUUGGACCGACCUCUAUAGGAGGACUGCAUAUGAAAAGCUUCUUCUGAAGGAUUAGAAUCAAACAUCUUCAAUCUGAGCUCAUGAGAUUGAAGAGAUCCCAUUAAGCUAUUUAUAGAGAGAGUUGACAAAUCUUUGGAUUCUUCAAUUGCUACAACAAUAUGCUCAUAUCUUCUAGUCAUGCUUCUAAGAAUCUUCUCAACAAUCCUUUGAUCUUCAAUUGUUUCUCCAUUUGAUCUCAAUUGAUUAACAAUUAAGAGAACACGGUUGAAAAAUUCUUCAAUAGUUUCAGAAUCUUUCAUUCGAAUUGUAUCAAAUUCAGCUCGAAGUGUUUGUAAUCGGACCAAUUUUACCUUUUCUUCUCCUUCAUACAAAUUUUGCAAUGCAUCCCAUGCUGCUUUAGCAGUAGAGACUCCUGAUAUUCUUUCAAAAAUAUUUUCAUCCACAGAUUGGUAGAUGAAAAAUAAUGCCUUCUUAUCCUUUUUUCUAGCAUCUCUCAACUCAUUGAGUUGUUGUGCUGAAAGACCAUUCUCACUUUCUGGCUCUGAAUAUCCGAUGUCAACAAUAUCCCAAAGAUCUUGAGAUCCAUAAAGAACCUUCAUUUGCUGGCUCCACCGCCUAUAGUUUUUUCCCUCAAAAUGAGGAAGUUGAGGCUGCAACAUGUUAGAUGACAUCUUUCAAUCCUUGCUCUGAUACCACUUUGUUGGAGGCGUUGACGAGCCCACUCUAAAUUUACUCUAAAUCUCACAAACUUUUAAGAGAAGAAAUUUGUUCUCUUAGAAAACUCAAUAACACACAAGAGAAGAAUGUUGUUCUCUUGAAACUCACUUACUUUCUAAAACUCAAUUUGCUUCUAUUGAUUUGAUUCUUUUUAUCUUGUAUACAAAUGAAGGAAAUGAUCUCUAUAUAUAGUAUUCAAGAGACACUUCCUAAAAGACACAAAAUAAAUGAAGUACAUGAAUACAUACCAUUCAUGUACUUGAAUAAUUACAUGUAUCUAGAAAUGCAUAUGUAUCUUGAAACUAGAAAUGUAUCUAUUAAUGUGUUAUCCAUAAUGUAUCUAGCUUAUUAAUUUCUAACAUCUACCACUUAUAUUACAGUUCUGCACAAAUAGAUAAAUAAUUUGCAAUUUGUUUCAAUUUUACUCUUGAAUCUACAUUGGGAUAAAAAGUAGUGACACCGAGGAAUAGUUUUUCUUUUUACCACUACUAGAUGAUCUUCCUUCUUUAAUAUGGAUGUAACUUGUUGUAACGACCCAACUUUUCUGGGUAAGUCGAGGUCGUUAAUUUUUGACAAAAGACUUUGAUUGAUACAAAAUGAAACGUAAGUCAAUUUAAAAACAAAUUAUGUCAGGCCUGAUUUUCAAAUAUUCAAGAAAACUUAAAAAUAACACUAUUUACAAAUAAAAGUUUGUAAACUAAGUUUUGAGUACAUCUUAAACCUCAAAAGAAACCAUAAGCGGAAGCAAAAUGACACAUUUCCUAUGGCAAUCACGCUUCCUUCCUGCCCCUCGCCGGUUUGCCACCUUUAUUUCCUUUGCCUGAAAAUUAAACAUAAGAAGGGUGAGUAUAACAAUACUCAGUAAGAGACCCUCUACUGGUCUCGUCAGGGGAAAAUAAAUUGUUAAAGUUCUAUUGGGACACCCUGUACAGUCGCAGUCUUGUGAUCCCGUAGGAUACACAUCUCAGUCUAACGCCCCGUACUAGGACGUACAUAUCAGUCUAACGCCCCGAGGGACGUACAUAUCAGUCUAACGCCCUGAGGGACGUACAUAUCAGUCUAGUGUUCUGCAAAAACACAUAUCAGUCAAAUGCUCCCGAAGGUGCACAAUAAAUUGGUGAUCCCGUGGGACACCUACAAGGUAAACAUCCCAAUACAAUCUAACAAUUUAUCCCCUCAUUCCAUUCAACCCAUCUUUCAGUUACUUCAAGUCACAAAGUUCUUUCUUUCAACAUCCUAACAGUCAACUUAUUUUACUACAGUCAUAUGUCUGUCAAUAAUAUGCUAAUACAUCAGUCAAUCCACUAUACAGUCAAUGCACCCCUCAGUUCACCAGCACACAGUCAUACUUUAGCGUAAUCAUACACCCAAUCUAAACGAGAAUCUCAUACAAACACAAUCUACAAUCUCCGUCCUGUCCACAUACACACAUUUAUAUAUAGAUUCCAUGACAAUCACGACAUACAUUCGACGUCAAGUCUACUUCAAUUCAUAUACAUUCAUAUAUAUUUUCAGUCAGCCCACAGUAUACAUUCAACACACAUGCAGUUCACAAUCACAGUUCACAAUCACAAUUGAGUCCAGUAGAAAAUCCCUUACCUGGAUCUUUAUGUAAAAUUCCUUAGUCGAACUAACUUCAACAAACAAACCCCAAGAGUAAAGAAUCGAACUCCAACAAAGCUUAAGGCGUAACUCAAGGACACUAACUCAAGGACACUAACUCCAAAUCACCGAUGUCGCCUUCAAGAACAAAGAUCAAUUCAACCAAUUAAACAACAUCACAUCUUAAUGUAUUUACAAAUGUAAGACCUUAUUACCGAACAAUCUCAUCCUUACCAAUAUCUUGUAACAAGACUUUGACAAUCGACGUUAAAUAGAAGUUGCCGCAGGAUCUACACAAAAGACAUCGUGCAAAACACUUUUGCACGCGAACUGGUCCGCGAUUCGUAAAUGGGACAGCGGGUAUCGACGAAGGCAGAACGGUUCGGACGUUCAACAGCAGUUACGUGCGGACGGGAGUAGCCCGGCAACGUAGCCGAAUUCGUGCGAUGCGGCGUGACCUGCGUCGGCGAGGCUGUUCGUGACUGAGGCGUGCGACUUGCCUCGCGGACGGAGAUAGAGACGGCGGAUACGGUUGCAAAACCGUGGCUUCGACAGAGAUAGAACCGGCUGAGACGGUUGGGCAGCGGCGGAAGAGCAACGACGCCGCAGAUCUGGACUGGCAGCGGCGCAGUCUUGCUUCGCGGCGGGGCUGCGGACGGAAGAAGAAAAUGGAAGGAAAGGAUCGGCGGCUGGCUGCGGUUGGCUGCGGCGGGACGGGAAGAAGAAGAUAGAGGUGGUGGUAGCGGCUGGGCUGCGGCUGGCCACGAACGGAAGGAGAAGAGGACGGUUGGGGCGGUUGCUGCACGAACGGAGAGAAGGGGAAGGAGGGUCGCGGCGCACGGGAGGAAGAAGAAAAGGGAAAAAAAAAGAAAUUUUCUUUUUCUUUUUCUUUUUAUUUAAAAAAAUAUAUAAAAUAAUUAUAAUAAAAUAUAUAUAUAUAUAUAUAUAUAUAUAUAUUUAAAAUUUUCAUUUUCUUUUCUUUUAUUUAAUAAAAUGUAGAAUAAAUAUUAAUAAGUAAAAUAUAAUUAAAUACAUAUAUAUUUAAUUAUAUUAAUACAUUUUCAAAUCUUCUUUCUCCCCUUCAACAUAUUUAAAAAAAAAUCUUGAACAAAUCGAAAUAAUUCUCUCAAAAUAAUUUACCUUCAAGUUUGGGGCGUUACAUUCUUUCCUCCUUAAGAAACUUUCGUCCUCGAAAGUUCUAAUCCUGAAAUAACUCUGGAUAACGAGUCCUCAUCUCUUCCUCUCGCUCCCAUGUCGCCUCUUCAAUUCGAUGAUUCCGCCACAAAACCUUUACUAAUGGAAUGCUUCUAUUACGAAGCAUCUUUACCUCUCUAGCCAGAAUCUCCACAGGUUGUUCUACAUAGCUCAAAUGCUCAUCAAUCUCCAAGGGUUCAUAGUCCACUACAUGAGAUGUAUCGGCCACAUACUUCCUCAACAUCGAAACAUGGAAAACAUUAUGGACUGCAGAGAGAGAUGAUGGUAAUGCCAAGCGAUACGUCACAACACCAACCCUCUCUAAGAUCUCAAAUAGUCCAACAAAUCGAGGACUUAACUUCCAUUUCUUCUCAAAACGCAUAACACCCUUCAUAGGUGCUACCUUCAAGAAUACCUUUUCUCCCACAUCGAACUUAAGGUCUUUUCGCCGUACAUCCGCAUAACUCUUCUGUCUACUCUGCGCUGUUUGCAUACGUGCUCUAAUCUUUUGAAUAGCCUCAUUAGUAGACCGAACUAAUUCAGGUCCCAUCAAUCUAUGUUCACCAACCUCACCCCAACAAACAGGGGUUCUACAACAUUUGCCAUACAAAGCCUCAAAUGGUGCCAUACCGAUGGUAGCCUGAAAACUGUUGUUAUAAGCAAACUCCAUCAAAUGUAGAUGAGAGUCCCAACUACCUGGAAACUCUAUAACACAAGCUCGUAGCAUAUCCUCUAAAACUUGGUUCAAACGUUCAGUUUGACCAUCAGUCUGUGGAUGAAAGGCUGUACUAAAAUCCAAUCUCGUACCCAUAGCAGUCUGAAGUCCCUUCCAAAACUUGGAAGUAAACCGUGCAUCCCUAUCAGAAACAAUCGAUACAGGCACUCCAUGCAGUCUCACAAUCUCAGUUAAAUACAACUCUGCCCACUUACUAGCAGUAUAAGUGGAUUUCCCUGGUACAAAAUGUGCCGAUUUCGUAAGCCUAUCGACAAUAACCCAAAUCACUGUGUAACCCUUCAGGGUUUUAGGCAAUUAUAUAAUAAAAUCCAUAGAUACAUUCUCCCACUUCCACUCUAAUAUACUCAAAGGUUGCAACAAACCUGUUGUUUUCUAUCUUGGUGCUUUAACCUACUAGCACACCAAGCACUUACUAACAAGAUUUUCCAUUUCUCUCUUCAUAUUACGCUAGUAACAAACUCUUUUCAAAUCCGGAUACAUUUUUGUGCUACUUGGAUGCAUGAGAAAUGGGAAACUAUGAGUCUCAACCAAUAACCUUGUCUUAAUUGCAUUUUCUGUUGGCACACACAAUUCUCUCUCAAACAUAAGUUCAUCAUCAAAGGAUAUGGAAAACUCCUUAACUUGCCCUACUUCUACUAGGCGAUGCUUCUCAAUCAAAUAAGGAUCAAUGAAUUGAACCACAAGAAUUCUUUGUCUCAAGAUCGGAUGUACUGACAACUGAGCUAACUGUGAGGUGACUUCCCCCACUGAAACUACAAUCUCAGCUCUCUCGUGGUUUUUGUCUAAUGAAACCUGUCUGGUAAUAAGUGCUGUCAAAAUGUGAUACUUUUCUACGAAGAGCACCAACUUCCACAUUCGCCUUACCUAGAUGGUACAAAAUCUCACAAUCAUAGUCAUUUACUAACUGAAACCAUCUUUGCUAUCUCAUACUCAACUUCUUUUGAGUGAAGAAGUAUUUUAUACUCUUUUGGUUAGAAAAUAUCUAUAUCUUUUCAUCAUACAUAUAGUGCCUUCAAAUCAUUAAUGUAAAAACCACAACUGUCAAUUCCAUAUCAUAAGUUGGACAAUUUUCCUCACGAGGAGUACAAGCAACUACUUUAACUUGUUGAAUAAGAAUACCUUUUAAACUUUCCUAAAAGCAUCACUAUAAAUUACGGAACAUUCUGAACCAUCAUGUACGGUAAGCACGGGAGUUGUACAAGCUUCUGCUUAAGAUCCUGAACACUAUCCUCAUAGGCUUUGUCCCAAACAAACGGAGUCCCUUUUCUUAGUUAACUGAGUCAAAGGAGUAGCUAUACGAGAAAAUUCUUAUACAAACCGUUAGUAAUAACCUGCUAACCCUAAAAGACUAUGAACCUCACUGACUAUGAAAAGUCGAGGCCAACUAGUAACAACUUCAAUCUUUUGUGAGAUCCACAUAAAUGUCACCUCUAGAUACCACAUGGCUUGGAAAGAUACUUGGCCUCAUCCAAAACUCACAUUUUGAAAACUUUGCAUACAAUUUGUUGACUCGAAGAGCCUCUUAAAACCAUGUUAAAUGCUCCUCAUGCGCUGUCUCUAUUUUGGAAUAAAUUAAGAUAUCGUCAAUAAAUACAAUCAUGAAAGUGUCUAAGAGAUCGUUAAACACUUUGUUCAUCAAGUCGUAAACAUUGUUUGAGCAUUUGCCCACUCAAAAGACAUCAUAAUGAACUCGUGAUGUCCAUAUCUCGAACGAAAAUCUGCCUUAGGAAUGUCACUGUUCUCUAAUCCUCAACAAGUCAUAACCUGAAUGUAAUUCAAUCUUAAAGAACACGGACUUAUUGCAGUUGAUCAAACAAAUCCUCAUUCAUUGGUAAAAGAUAUUUAUUCUUAACCGACACCUUAUUCAACUUUCUACAAUCAAAACAUAAGUGCAUCGACCCAUCUUUCUUCUUAAUAAACAAAAAUUGGUGCACCCCAAGAUAACAUACUUCGUCGAAUGUAGUCCUUGUCAAACAUUUCUUUCAAUUGCACCUUCAAAUCUUUCAACUCUGUUGGGGCCAUUUUGUAUGAAGCUUUAGAUAUAGGAACGAGUCUAACUCUAUCUCAAUAGCAAGACCAAUUUCUGUUUAGCGCGGUAAUCUUAGAAACUCUUCUAGAAAAAUAUCAUAAUACUUUUUCACCACUGAUUCAAAUAACAAAGAAACAUCGACUUCUCUGGUGUCUACCACACUAGUCAAAUACAACAGGUACCCUGGUCAAGCAACUUACUAACCUUCAUAGCUGGGAUAACUUUUAGCGAAACGAUAGUUCCAACCUCUUUGUACUUGAAACUAGCCUCUGGAGAAGGAUUAGAAACUACAUUUUCGCUGAACAUUUUAUGUUUACAUGGUUAAACUACAUUCCAACUUUCAAACUCCAAACUAGUAACUUUUCAUUCACGAGAAACAAAACUCAAAAUUGUUUCUUAAAGUCACAUCAAGACAACCAUGCUCAUCUUCCUUGUUUCUUUUCCAAUACCUCCAUUCUAAAACCAUUUAAUGUGUUUCGUAUAAACUUGACCGUGUAUUUAGUCCUCUUUAAAACCACCUACAUAACUUAUUUUUCUUAGAUUUCCAAUCACAAAACAGACAAUUUCGCUAACAACGUCUUACUUUUCUACUACUCGACCACUCCUUUGAACAUCUCUACAUGGCAACAUUUUUCCUAAGUUUCACCAUUAAAUCCUUCACCAUUAAAUCAUAACAUUCAUGUAAUUCUAGUUUAACUUAGGCAAGGUCAUAUACAUAAACCAUACAUAUAAACAUAAAGCAUACCUGACGAGAGACGAAGGGUCGCGUUAGCCAUAGGAACACAAAAACAUAGACUUACAUCGUAAGUCAGUCUACAGAACCUAAAACUUAGGCUCUGAUACCAACUGUAAUGACCCAACUUUUCUGGGUAAGUCGAGGUCGUUAAUUUUUGACAAAAGAUUUUGAUUGAUACAAAAUGAAACGUAAGUCAAUUUAAAAACAAAUUAUGUCAGGUCUGAUUUUCAAAUAUUCAAGAAAACUUAAAAAUAACACUAUUUACAAAUAAAAGUUUGUAAACUAAGUUUUGAGUACAUCUUAAACCUCAAAAGAAACCAUAAGCGGAAGCAAAAUGACACAUUUCCUAUGGCAAUCACGCUUCCUUCCUGCCCCUCGCCGGUUUGCCACCUUUAUUUCCUUUGCCUGAAAAUUAAACAUAAGAAGGGUGAGUAUAACAAUACUCAGUAAGAGACCCUCUACUGGUCUCGUCAGGGGAAAAUAAAUUGUUAAAGUUCUAUUGGGACACCCUGUACAGUCGCAGUCUUGUGAUCCCGUAGGAUACACAUCUCAGUCUAACGCCCCGAGGGACGUACAUAUCAGUCUAACGCCCCGAGGGACGUACAUAUCAGUCUAACGCCCCGAGGGACGUACAUAUCAGUCUAACGCCUCGAGGGACGUACAUAUCAGUCUAGUGUUCUGCAAAAACACAUAUCAGUCAAAUGCUCCCGAAGGUGCACAAUAAAUUGGUGAUCCCGUGGGACACCUACAAGGUAAACAUCCCAAUACAAUCUAACAAUUUAUCCCCUCAUUCCAUUCAACCCAUCUUUCAGUUACUUCAAGUCACAAAGUUCUUUCUUUCAACAUCCUAACAGUCAACUUAUUUUACUACAGUCAUAUGUCUGUCAAUAAUAUGCUAAUACAUCAGUCAAUCCACUAUACAGUCAAUGCACCCCUCAGUUCACCAGCACACAGUCAUACUUUAGCGUAAUCAUACACCCAAUCUAAACGAGAAUCUCAUACAAACACAAUCUACAAUCUCCGUCCUGUCCACAUACACACAUUUAUAUAUAGAUUCCAUGACAAUCACGACAUACAUUCGACGUCAAGUCUACUUCAAUUCAUAUACAUUCAUAUAUAUUUUCAGUCAGCCCACAGUAUACAUUCAACACACAUGCAGUUCACAAUCACAGUUCACAAUCACAAUUGAGUCCAGUAGAAAAUCCCUUACCUGGAUCUUUAUGUAAAAUUCCUUAGUCGAACUAACUUCAACAAACAAACCCCAAGAGUAAAGAAUCGAACUCCAACAAAGCUUAAGGCGUAACUCAAGGACACUAACUCAAGGACACUAACUCCAAAUCACCGAUGUCGCCUUCAAGAACAAAGAUCAAUUCAACCAAUUAAACAACAUCACACAUCUUAAUGUAUUUACAAAUGUAAGACCUUAUUACCGAACAAUCUCAUCCUUACCAAUAUCUUGUAACAAGACUUUGACAAUCGACGUUAAAUAGAAGUUGCCGCAGGAUCUACACAAAAGACAUCGUGCAAAACACUUUUGCACGCGAACUGGUCCGCGAUUCGUAAAUGGGACAGCGGGUAUCGACGAAGGCAGAACGGUUCGGACGUUCAACAGCAGUUACGUGCGGACGGGAGUAGCCCGGCAACGUAGCCGAAUUCGUGCGAUGCGGCGUGACCUGCGUCGGCGAGGCUGUUCGUGACUGAGGCGUGCGACUUGCCUCGCGGACGGAGAUAGAGACGGCGGAUACGGUUGCAAAACCGUGGCUUCGACAGAGAUAGAACCGGCUGAGACGGUUGGGCAGCGGUGGAAGAGCAACGACGCCGCAGAUCUGGACUGGCAGCGGCGCAGUCUUGCUUCGCGGCGGGGCUGCGGACGGAAGAAGAAAAUGGAAGGAAAGGAUCGGUGGCUGGCUGCGGUUGGCUGCGGCGGGACGGGAAGAAGAAGAUAGAGGUGGUGGUUGCGGCUGGGCUGCGGCUGGCCACGAACAGAAGGAGAAGAGGACGGUUGGGGCGGUUGCUGCACGAACGGAGAGAAGGGGAAGGAGGGUCGCGGCGCACGGGAGGAAGAAGAAAAGGGAAAAAAAAAAGAAUUUUUCUUUUUCUUUUUCUUUUUAUUUAAAAAAAUAUAUAAAAUAAUUAUAAUAAAAUAUAUAUAUAUAUUUAAAAUUUUCAUUUUCUUUUCUUUUAUUUAAUAAAAUGUAGAAUAAAUAUUAAUAAUAAAAAUAUAAUUAAAUACAUAUAUAUUUAAUUAUAUUAAUACAUUUUCAAAUCUUCUUUCUCUCCUUCAACAUAUUUAAAAAAAAAUCUUGAACAAAUCGAAAUAAUUCUCUCAAAAUAAUUUACCUUCAAGUUUGGGGCGUUACACUUGUGCUAGAAAUUCAGGAUUCUUUACUUAACCUAUUCAUUAGCAAAAUGUUAGAUUGCAUAGGAUCAAACAUACGAGAGUUAAUCUAAGAAAAUGUAUCUAGGUCAAUGCUUAGCAGCGCAAAACAUCUAAUUUGCAGAGGUGUUAAGAUAGCUCAUUAAUAUACAUUUCCUCGUAGGAAAAUUGCAAUUGAUAACCAUUUCAACAAUAAUAAUUAAGAUUAUAACAAAAUUUUAAAAAAAUUACAAAUAUAGCAAAACUAUCAUUGAUAGACUUGUAUUGCUGAUAAAUUUCGUAUGGUCUAUCACGAUAGACAAAUAUUUGUAACAUGAUCUAUCGGUGAUAAACUUAUAUCAUUGAUAGAAUUUGACAAAUUUUUCUAUAUUUACAAACUUUUUAAAAUGUUGCUAUAUACUUAAUUAUUUUAAAUUUAAUCACUAAAUUUGCAACUAACAUUAUCUAGUACUAAACACCUUCAUGUAUCUUUUGGCCUAUUGUAUAUCGAGGCCCAAAUUCUAGAAUAUUAUUCUCUUGUAUUAAUUGAGCGUGGAUGUGUGUAUUGUAAGAGUUUCUCAUCCUCGCUUUUUUAUUUAUAUGCCUAUUGUGAUCGAUAUCAUAUAAUAAGGAUAACCACCCAUUUUCUUCUGUAUCAAUUUCUUCCUCUCUCUUUGAACUUUAUCAUUCCAUUUUUUAUUGUUAUUUUUUUUAAUACGGCUGCAAAACCAAAAUUUUCUACAUUUUUUAUCAUAGUUGUUGAAUUUUUCUUAAAAUAUAUCUCUCAUUUUGCAAUUAAAUAUUUGCUUAGGUAAGUUACUAUUCUAAAAGCUAACCAAAUCUAGUUUGUUAUCAUCGUAGAAAAUUGGCAAUUAGCAAUUUGUAGCAUUGGAGAUAUUCUUAAGUUUCUUGAAUUUAUUAAAUAAUGAAUCAUUAAUUCAUUUUUACCCUUUUCCGUUGAUUUCAUCAUAAGUCCAUUCUCCAAGUUUUGUAGCAAAUCUCACAUUUUCACCAACUAAUGUUGUUUUGUUGCAGAGCUCAAUCUCAAACAUAGCAUAGUAAAACACGAUUAAUUUUAUUUUAUCUCAUUCUUUUUUGACACAAUGUAAUUUUUCCUUUUACCAAUAAGUCUUAAUUUACGACGAAGGUUUUUUCGGAUUUGAAGUCCAAAUGUGGGUUUUGUGUUUUAAUCUUAGAAGAAUAACGAUUUAUUUUAAAUGUUUAGAUGACAUUUUAGUUUUUGAGAGGUUAAGAAACAUUUUAUCUUUUAAGAGAUUGAAUCAAAUUUUAUUUUCUUUAAAUAAAAUAUUUUAAAUAUAAAUAAAGUCUAGUUAUUACAAUUUUUUUAAAAAAAUGUAACUUUGAAAUAAAUUAAUUGUAGAUACUAUAUGGGGUAUUUUUGUAUUCUAAUAAUUAGUAAUUAAUUAAUUUCAAAUUAGUUUUGCUAUUUCUCAUAAUCGAAAUACAUCUUACCAUUUUCCAAAAUGAAAAAGUUCGAAAGGUAAAUUACACUAAUGAUUGUAAGUCACCAUUUUUCAAAUUUUAAUUAAGGUUGUAGCACACAUUUACAUUCAACCCUUCAAAUCAUUUAAAUAUUGAAAAAAUAACAUUAAUGGAAACGAAGCAAAUUCUAUUUGGAAAACAAAAUAGAAAAGAAAGUCAAAUUGCAUAAUUAUAGGUUUUCAUAAAAGUCUAUUGAAUCCCCACUCAUUCGCAAUAAAUAUUGUUUUCACAAUUCUAAUGGGAUAAUUUCUAUAUAGUUUUCACAAGUCUAAUGGGAUAAUUUCUAUCUUUAUUGUCAUAUGAAUAUUUAAUGUUGAAUUUUAUCUUAUAUAACGUAGAAGUAUAUAUAUAUAUAUAUAUAUGCAAUAAGAAAUGUGAUACUUGUUGAAUUCUAAAAAAUUAUGAUUUAUUAAAAAUAUAUGUAAAGACUCUUCUCAAUAAAUAAAUAGUCAAUUUGGCAAUAUUCAACAACUCACACAUAAAAAGUCACAUGAGAUAUGGUAUACAUGGGGUUUAUUUCUAUAUUUGUUUUCAAUUUCAAAUAUAAUGUAAUUUUUUUCAAAUAAUCUGAAGAUGCCUUCUAUGUUAGUUUAUAUACAUAGGUAUAUAUGAUAAAGUAUACAAAAUUUACAACUCAAUUUCAAAUAUACACACUUGUAUGUAUAUAUGACAAAAUAUCUAAAAUUUACAAUUCGAUUUCAAAUAUACACGUAUAUAUGUGAUAUGUGGAAUAUAUAUCUAAAUAAAAACGAGGUUGAAAUUAAAAUAUAAAGUAUAUAUUAUAUAACCACAUUAUAUUUGUAUUUAUGAAAAAAUAUUCCGUGUAUAUAUAUUUGAAAAUCAAAAUAAUGUAUUUGUAAUCAUACUUAUGAAAUUGGAAAUUAUGAUUUUUAAGUCAAAAUUCGAAAUCUACAAAAUAGGAAAAUUUGCACCUACAUCAAUAUAUUUAUAAUCUAAACCUAAUUACGUAAACAAAUUCCUAAAUAUAGCGAUUUUUUCCUCCUCAGUUAGAGAAUACAAAGAAACAACAUUAAAUUAAAACCUAAGUAUUAAAUAAAAUUGACUGUUGUAAUGAAUUCUACAAAAAUAAAUCUCAAUUUUUUGGUAAAAUCAAUGGUAUCAUUUUAAAUUAAACCAUGGUAUUAAUCAAGAGAUAGAGAGAGUGCCACAGAGUUAAAUUUGUCUCAGUUUAUUUAUUUAUUUUUGUAGAAAUCUAUAAGUAUAUAUGUGCAAAUUAAGUCAUUUGUGAAAUUUUGCAUUUGAGGUAGAUUAUAUCUUUAAAUAUUUCUCCAAAAAUUACCCAAUAUAGAAGUGUUUUGAAUUGUAUAGCAAAUACGUGAAAUCCAUGCACAUGAUUCUAAUUUCUGUUAAUCCUAAAAAGGUCAUCAUCAACUUCUUUUAAUUAUUACGAUAUAAUAAAUCCAUCAAAUCCAAAUAGAAGAUAUUUUGACAUAAAUCUCGAUCCUAAUGUAGAAAAUUUUCAAACCUGUAUCAACAAUUAUUCAAUACACUGAUUUUGAUUUGAAUUUUCAAUUCUUAUGUUAUGUUAUUUUUUCUAAAUCUAAUCCUACCUAAAUUAUAGAGGUUCUAAGUUAUUUUUUUUUAUUAUAUUUGUUAGCAAAUUCAUUUUAGACAUAAAUCUAUACAAAUCUUAUUAUUUUUACCAGAAAAAUGGUUGAUCUAUAUAAAUCUUAUUAUUUUUAUAAGAAAAAUGGUUGUCAACAGAACAAAAUUAAAACUAUUUACAAAAUAUAACAAAAAAAAAAAAAAAAGUCAAGUAAGCUAUAAAAAAUAUAAAAAUUUUACCAUAGUUUAUAAAUAGUUUGAAUAUUUUACCAUAUUUGAAAAUAUUCAUUUCUAUAAUUGGAUAUUUAUCGUUAUCUUUACUAUAAUUUUAUUUUAAACAUGAAAUAUAGGGUUUGAGUUCAUAAUGCCUUUUCUUCAUUAACGAAAUCAAUCUCAUAUUUAAACAAAUUAGACUAGAGACAACCAUUGUGAACUCUCAAUUAACUGUAUCACUACCACAAACUACAAAAGCCAACAUGUUAUCAAAAACUCUUUUUGACGAUAUUAGCAAAGAUGACUUUCGUUUUUUGUCUAUCAAAAAAACUGAAAAGCUCUUUAUGGCCAAAACAUGCCAUAAAAAGAUUUCCUUUUUCUUCACCUUAGCUCCAUAUUGAUAUCUUCACGAUCUUGAUUUCCUCCUCAAUGAAUUGUAACAUUGAGAUAAAAGAUUAUAAAUAGCUUCUACAAAUUUUUGAUGCAGAGGUGGGGAUUUGAAUCCAAAGCCUCUUAUCCUCAAGUACGUAUAAGCGUCAGUUGAGCUAACCUCGUGUUGACCAGCUUUUAUAGCUUAGCUUCUACAAAUUUUAAAAAUCCUAAAUUAAAAAUUUUCAAUUCAACUCAUUAAAGUUCAACAAAAUAACUAAUUUAAUUUUGAUAAAGUACUAUCACUUAUUCCAUUUGAAUUAUAAUUACAAUAGUUAACUUUUAAAAACUUUUUAAAAAAUAAUAUUGUAUUAUUGAUGAAUAGAAAGUAAUAUUUGAAAAAAAAAAAAUAGUAAAGAUUUAAGAAUAUUAUUUAUGAAUAUCGUGUUUUCUAAGUCCGUUAACAAGGAUCCGAAUUUCGUGUUUCAUGGAAAGUAAUUUUAUAGGAUAGUUGCAAAUCUAGCAAUUAGAUUCAAAAUAAUUAAGUAUAUAACAACAUUUUAAAAAAUUUACAAAUAUAGCAAAAUUUGUCAUUCUAUCCAUGAUACAAGUCUAUCAUCGUAGACUAUAUUGUAAAUAUUGAUCUAUCAUUGAUAGAUUAUACGAGUCUAUCAACGGUACAAGUCUAUCAGUAAUAGUUUUGCUAUAUUUGCAGUUUUUUUUUUAUAUAUUGUUAUAUCUUUAAUUAUUAUUCCUUAAAUAGUCAUCAAUUACAAUUACCCUAGUUUUUUUCUUGAUAGGCAAUGUCCAUCAAGAUAUCAUUUAUCUUGAUGAGUCUUACCCAUGAUCUUAUCCUAAACCAAAUAUUAUAAAUUAUUUUCUUGAUGAGAUAUCAUUUUUCUUGACAGACUUUGCCCAUGAUUUUUUUAUUUUUUUGUCUUUGUCCAUCAAGAAACCCUAGACCCAUCAAGAAAUCCAUAACAAAUAUAUUAAUUUUUUUCGAUGAUGUCCAUUGCAAACCAAGAAAAUUCAUCUCUUGAUGGGUCUCGUCCAUAAAAAAAACCUAACUAACUUAAUAGACAUUGUCAAUCAAGUAAUAUAUUGUCCUUGAUAUUUAUUGUCCAUCUAAAAAUAGGUUUUCUUGACGUUUAUGGACCAUCAACAAAACUAAAGGAACUUUGCCCAUAAAAAAAUCAAGAAUCCAUAUUUUUUUAACGUUUUUUUGCAUUUCUUCAACAAAAUAAGGGGACUUUUCUUGACGUACAUGACCAUCAAGAUAAAUAUUGUAUCAAGAAAAAUAUUUUUCUUGAUGGUCCUUUGCCAUGACCAUCAAGAAAUCGAAAUUUGGGUGCGUUAAGAAAGACCAAAUUUGAUUAAGAGAACUCACUAAAUGAAUAUUUGUUCAUCUUGUUUUAAUAAUAUAUGAAAAAUUGCAUCAGAUGAUAAUUUUUUUUUAUAAAAAAACCGUCUAUAGCACAUACUUUUUUUGCAUAAUAUGACAAACAAUUAGAUAUAUCAAAAGGUUAUCAAAUGGCUAAGGUACUCGUUCAAGCUUGGGUUUUAAGAAAUCUCCCUUUAAAUUUAUGAGCGUGUGAACUUGUUUGAUGUAAUGAUUUUUAGUUUCAAUUCUAACUAUAUUUUGUUAUAUGUUCGGACGCAUGGGAAAUGUUAACUUCUGUUUUACAUUGAAUCUUUGACUCGUGACAAUUUUACAAUAUUUAGUUAGAAGCAAUAUAUAAUAAGUUUAUAAGUUAGCUGAAAUUAGACAUUCCAUGGGAGUAUGUCUCAAUCUUAAUGCUAUUAGAAAAUUCAAGUAUACAUGCAACAACCAACCUCCUUGAGAAAAUUUAGUUAUGUUAAGUAAUUAGAUUUGUUAUGUGAAGGUUUAGAUAAAUGGUGAUAGCUGAAUGAAUAAAAUGUUUGGAUAGGGUGACAUCAUUAUAACUCAAGCUAAACCUCUUUUUUAUUGAAUCUUUACAAUUCCUUACAUGCAAUUUAAUUUUCUACCAAUUGAAAUCAACUUCAAAAACUCCCUUCAAUUACUAGGGUUGGAAACAAAAGAGACGUUAAAAAUUCUCCACUCAUAGCUUCUUCAACUAUAUUAAAGAUUUAAUCAAAUCAUAUUCAUCAAAUUUUAACAACUAAAUGGACACCAAACCCUAAAUUUAAAAAUUUAAAAAUUAAAAAUUAUAAGAAGUAGAUUCUAAUUUUCUCCAAACUAUAAUCAUCAUCUAAUUUAUAUUUUGACUAUUAAAAACAUGAAUGAUACAAAAUAUAAAGUAGGUAAAGAGUAUAGGUCUUUAUACUUAUGUUUUAGUGUAGUUACAGUAGAAGAAUUCAAACCACAAAUCUCAGUUUGUUACUCAACACAAUUCCUAACAUAAAUUAUAUAUCAAUUGAGCUUUACUAGAUUUGGAAAUUUAUAUGAUACUAUUUCAGAGAUAAUUUAUUUGUCAACCUCUUUUCUAAAGUUAAAAGAAUAACUUAUAUUAUGAUAUAACUAUGAUUGUUUGGAUAGAAGGUGUUAGUUGAGCUAAACAAAUUUCUUUCAUGAAAGGGAGAGACUGAAGUGAUUUGUUGGGUAAAGUUCUCUAGAUGGUUAUUCUGUAUUUUGGACGAGAAUAGCCUUUUCCCCAUGUUUGGUCCUUCUUUGUGAGGUUAUAUAUAAUUUCCUUUGACAAAAUAAUAAAGUCUCAUUCUCUCAUUAAUAAGAAUAUGCUUUUUGUUUGUCUUCAAUAAAUUUGGGUGCGACCUUUUUUUUUUGUCCUUUUCAUUUGAUAGCCUUUCUCAAUUUUCUUAGACUCAAUUUUUUUUCUUUCAAUUGUAUCCACAUAUAUAUAUAUAUAUAAAGAAAAAAGAAUUACACCGUAAUGUAUUUCAUAUUGAUAAAUUUUCUCCUUAAGUUAAGAAUCUUCUCACGGAAGGACCAUCCUAUUUACUUAUAUACAAAGACACCGUAUGGUUGAAUUUUGUUAACGAUGUCCAUCUAUUUUUUUCUAUUAUACUUAGAUGUAUAUGGUUACAUCUAUGUUCGUGUAUUCCUUCGAUCACAAAAGAAAAUCAUGUUUAAUUUUUCUAAUUAGAAUAACAAUUUGUGAUUGGAUACUUGGAUAAAGUUGUCCAAAGAUAAAGGCAUAUGACAUGUACUUGAUAAAGAACUCAUAAAUGUCUUUCUUGUUUUCAAACAUAAGUUGAAAUAGAUGGUGGAAGAAACUCAGAAACUUCAAAUUUGUAGAUGUUCACACUUCAUGUUUUUGGCCUUGUAAAAGUAUGCAAUGAUCUGUUUCGGCUUUUGAAAGCCACGUACUACAAAUAAAAAACCACCUAAUUGCUUUGGUUAUAGAAAGAAAAUAUAAUGUUCAAGUAGAAAUAAAAGUUGUAAUUAGCAUGGAGAAACUCUCCUUCCAUGUGUUGUGCAAUUGUUUUGCUCAUUUUUGCGUGUCUUUCUUCUACUUUCAAGGUCUACAAUUUCUAAAGAAAUUGGUGGGUAGAUUUCUACAAAUUCUGCUUUACUAAACUAGUAACUUUUACCUAGUUGAUGUUUUUAUUUAAAAAAAAAACGUCAAAUAUCGAUCACUUAAAAAAAAAAACGUCAAAUAAAGUUUUAAAAAAUUGAAGUUUUUGGAAAAAAUUUCAAACUAUUUUACGUUAAUUUUACCUUGACAUUUUUUUCGCGACAAGUAUAAUAGGCCCGUUUAGACUGAUACUCAAACUUCAUCUAAGUUUAAGUCACAACAUCAAGUUCAAGUGCUCAUACUGUAGCUAAAGAACUUUGGUUUAUUGAAUUUUGAGUUUAUAACAAGCAUAUCUCUUAUUCAAUAACUUAUCGAAAAAUACUAUAAAAACUAAAUCGUAGAAUAUUUUAACAUUAACAAAUCACGACUGUUUUUUUUGGAAAGAAAUUGUAACUAUAUAUGUAUAUAUAUAAUUUUCACAUGGUCCCUUUGAUCGAUGGAGUCUGGCGUCUAAGUUUCGUUUGUAAUGGUGGAUUUAGGUUUAAAUAUUUGAUUUGAAUUUGGGAAACAACCCACUAUUAUUGUACGGGAAGAAUUGUAGUAUUUGUGAAAAGAUGUGUAUAAAUGGUAUGGAAUUUCAAUUAACUUAUUCUUUAUUAAUAAAAAUUUGACGAUAAGAAAAAAAGAAAAAAAGAAAAAACCAAGUAUUUGAGAACAAAGUAGAACAAAAGGUCUAAUAAAAGGUGACUGUAGUAAAUGGGAAAUGGGCACGAAAGGUACAAAAAUAUAUGAAAGGAUAUGAGGAUAAAAUAGUUUCUUAUUUAUUUUAAUACUUCAUUAUACCCAAUAUUUGUUUUGAAAGAACGGCAAUAGUUGAUGGUUAUCCUUCAUUAUACCACGUUUAGAAUCAGGUUAUCCUUAAUAUAUGUCAUUAAGGAUUUAAGUAUGCGACUUAAGUUAAGUGACUAAGCUAGGAUCAUGCAAUAAAAGGGGCAGACACUAACUUAUACAUUGCUUAACUCUAAUGAUUUAUUAGUGAGAAGACACAAGUUUUCCUCUCUAUAGUCUAAGUGUAUGCAAAAAGAGAGUUUUUUUUUUUUCUUUAGUCUAAGUGUAUGCAAAAAGAGAGGGUUUUUUUUUUUUUUUUUUUUUUAUAAACUAGAGUUGAACACAUGGGACUCAUGUGACUUAUGAUUGAAACAUGUAGGUUGAUUUAGUGCGCUAUAUUGAUACAGUAUUCACAGUAUUGACUAGCAUUUCUAUUAUUAAAACUAUGUGUGAAGUGAAUAGGGAGAGUAAGAAUGUGGUUAGUGUGCAUGCAAUUGAACUCAGCGUGAAAAUAGGCAAGAUCGAUGGAGGAAUGUUUUAUGUAAUACAACCUGGUAGGAAAAUCAAGUUGUUCAUUGAUGUGAUACAGAGCUUCUACUAAUUUUAUAAUCAAGGCAAUAUUCUCUUAUAUAAUUAGUGUGCCACAUAGUCAUACUUGCUUGCCUUUCGGGAUGCAAGUUUUCGGGAUGCAAAUACUUGAACCUACCAAAAGCUUUACAUCUAAUCUAUUUGGUCGCAUUAUUUAUAAUUUAUCCUAUCUUAAGGCGAGCAAUCUCUCAAUGCCUUGCCACCACACACAAUCGUUUCUGACAUGUAUGCUAAAGAUGAAUUCAAUAAAAUGAUUACCUUGCUACAACCCUUUCCCUACAUGUUUAGCAAUGUCUUAGUUAAUAUUCUCUCGAAUAAUAACGCUCAGUGCGACAUUCUUUCUCUGAAAUAGAAUGACGGUUGAAUGCAACACUAACUUAACACGAUAAGUAAUACAAACCAUCGAGAUGCCCUACGAACUUACUUUCACUUCACAUGAAUCACAUUACAAGGAAUGCAUGUAAUUGGGAGUUAAAGAAAAUGGGAGAGUGAAAUUGAUAGAAUUUUGCAUUUAGCAAUAAAACUUUAGGCCUUUCAGUCAUUCAUGAGGUUCAAAAUGAAAUUAUAAAUAAAUGAAGACAAAUGAAAAUGAAUUGAAAUGGGUCAAGCCUCUUAAUAUAAUCUCUUAUGUUGUUUGACUCCAUUUUUAUCUAUUACACUGAGGGAAAAUGAGACUUGGAUUUUUUUACAUCUCUCACCUAUAAAAGAAAAUGUAGGGAUGAAGAAGUUGAGAUCGUUGUCAUCGAAUACUCACACAUGUCCAAAUGAAGGACAUAAACUUGUAUUUAUAGCAGCCUGGAUUGAUGGGACAUGGUAUAGGAUGGUAUAGGUUGGUAUAUCUUCUAAAUUUCUGAUCACUUUUAUGCAGAGCCUCGAUGUCAUUUCAUUCUUUUAAUGACAAUCUCAUCAAUCACUUUUGUCUUCAAGUGAUUCAUAGCGCAUAGCGUCAAUUGCCUGUUGGUUUAUGCUAGCAUAAGUUGCCUGAUGUUCCCCUUCAUUUCGCAAAUCCACUUAUUUUCGUUAAAAAUCUAAGUUAAGAAAUUGAAAAUUGUAAGAACGUGCAUUUUUAUCUUUUGUUACUUGCAUUGCGCCUUUGUUCUAUCACAACCUAUUUAAUCAUGUGUUAUCUUCUUUUAUAUCGUAUAAAGGCCACAUUAUUAUUCUACCUAAUAAACGCCAUGAUAACUAGUAUUUUAUCAUUUUUCUAUAAGUUAUUUGACUAAUGUAACAAUAUUGGAUCUAAUAAUGUUAUAACAAAACAAUUAACAUAUAUAUGAGAGAUCCACAGAGAGAGAAAAUAACACAAGAGACUUAGUAACCCAGUUUGGUGAAAUACACCUACGUUUGGAGGACUUCGACUAAUUGAGUAGAUAUGUUCACUAGAAUAUAUAAAAAAUGGAAUACAAAUAUUGAACUUAUAUCGUCUUUAGUAGACUAUCUUGAUAAAUGACAAGAUUAAGCUAGGUUAUCACUUGGGCUCUACCUAAAUAGUUGAUACUUGAUUGAUUCUCCUUGCUAAAACCAGGCUCCCUCGAUUAUUCAACUUCAGCACUGUAGUGUCAUUAGACUCUCCAUGAACGCCAUAAUCCAAAUUUAUAAAUUAAUUUUGUCCAAAAUAUAAAUUCCAAAUUUAUAAUUUGAGCAUAGAAAAAUGAAGGAUAGAAUAGUUAUAUAUGUGAAGAUUGUCCUUUACAUCCCUUUUAGAUAUACAGUAUGAUAUACAUAUAUAGAUAUAGUAUCAUAGAUGUGAAUUUAUUUUUGACCUUUUUUUCUUAAGAUCAAUAAUAAAUUGUAAUUCUCACAUUAAUAAUAAUAUGCUUUUUAUUCGUUUACAAUAAAUGUAUGUGAGAUCUUUGUUUCAUUGUUUUCUUUUUAAAUUAUUUUUCUUGUCCUAUUCCUUUCAUAGCCUUUUUCAAUUUUCUUCGACUAAAAUUUUCCUUUGAAUUGUAUCCAUAUAUAUAAAAGAAAAAAAUCAUCUUUUUUUUACACCACAAUAUUCCAUUGAUAACUUCCAUCCUGAAGUGUAGAAUGUUUGCAACUAAAGGACCAUCCUAUUUAUUUGUAUACAGGACACCACAUUUGCACCAUUUUGUUAAUUUAUUAUUUGUUAAUAUUUGUAUGUAUCUAAGUUACCUUCACCUCCACACUUUUUUUUAAUGACAAAAGAAAAAAAAAUAUCUUUUAAAACUAUACGUUUUUUAAAAAUAAAAAUUUUGUCGCAUGAAAAUUUGUGAUCGGUGAUACUUGGACAGGUUGUUGUACUGAGUUGCGUACGGCAAAACCAAAAAUGUUUUUUUCUUAAUUAUAUGUGGGUUGUGAUUUGCACUUGACAAAGAACUUACAUGGUUUUUUUUUCUUGAUUUCAAACUUAAGUUGAAACAGAUGGGAAAAAACUCAGAAACUUCGUAUUUGUACACAUGUUCACCAUUCAUAUGUUUGGGGCUUAUAAAUAUGCUAUAAGUUUUGGCUUUUACAACCCACCACAGAUCAAAACCAAAGCCACCUUGCUUUUGUUGUUGGUCUAUACAAAGAAAACACUUAAAAGAAGAAAUCAAAAGUUGUGAGCAUGAAGAAGCUUUCUUUUCAUGUGUGGCUUUGCUCAAUUUUUUGUGCCUUUCUGAUGAUUUCAAGAGUUGCAAUUUCUCAAGAAGUUGGUAGGGUACAUUUGAGUUUCGUAUUUUGUUUAUUUGUACAUGAGUAUACUUCAUUAAUUUCCUUCUAUUGAGUACACCAUUUUAUUCCUUUGUAGUUUCACUCAUGAUCUCUUUGCUAUUUUAAAUAUUAAAUAUUUGAAAUCAUAUAUACACACACGUGUAUACACAUGAAUAUUAGCCAACAUUUUUUUAGAAGAAAACAAAAAUCAUAUAUUUAUUUAAAAAUUAAACUAUAUUUUUGAAUUCUUAGCUAGCAUGCAGAAUUUUGAACAAAAAAUAAUAUUGUUAGAAUAAUUUCUCUUAUGCUUAUUUUUUUCAAAAAAGAAUAAAAAGAUAUGUAUCAUGAAUGUUCCUAUGACAUGUAUAAAUUACAAAAUAAGUUGAAAAUAAAAAGUGAACACGUUUAAAAAUAAUGAUAAUAAUAAUGAUGAAAGGGACACUUAGAUAAUUAGGAAUGUCGACCAGAGAAACCCAUGAAUAUUUUUUUAAAAAAAUAAAAAUAAAUGGAUGGAUUGGUAAAAUUUAAUCUUUUUAUUGAUAGAAAAAAGAAAUCACAAAAGUCAUUUUCAUUUAAACUAUUAUAAAAAGCAUUUAAACUACACUUUAAAAGAAAACGUUUCAAAAGUCAGGAGUACUACUUUAAUUUCUUUCUAAAACGAGUUUUAUCAAAAUUAAAACACUUUAAAAAGCUAAACAAAAAUACCCUCAAUUUUAAACCGCAAUGAAUAUUUGGUUGCUCACGAGUUGGUUUGGAUUAUUGAGUUUGAAAAAGACUCACUUUUUCCUAUUUGUUUUUCUGUAUAAUAUGCAGAAGAUGAGACAGAAUUUGAUUAUAAUGAAGAAGGAGAGAAAGGACCUACACAUUGGGGAGAUCUUAAACCAGAAUGGCAUAGUUGUAAGACGGGACACAUGCAAUCUCCUAUCGAUCUGUUGCAUGAGAGAGUUCGAAUUGCAUCCCUUUUCACAAACAUCGAGUUUAACUACAAGCCAACUAAUGCAACUCUUAAAAACAGAGGUCAUGAUAUUAUGGUAAAGAAAAUAAUAUAAGUUACCUUUAACAUCUUAUUCUCUUUUCAAACCAUUUAUGAUUUUAAACAUACAUAAACCAUAUCUAAUCAAUAUAUUUGAUCAACUAGAUUGAGUGUUAUUUUUUUUGCAUCAAAGCAUUAUUUCAUGUUUUUCUUUUCUUUUCUUUUUUUUUUUGAAAAUUAGUUUAAAUUUAUAUUUGGAUGAAAAUGUAAUGAUUUCGGGUUUAUAUUGUUUUUACUUCUUUAAAAUUAGUUUACUACAUUUGUUCCAUAUGGAUUACUAAAAAUAUAAAUAUUAGAAUUAUUUCAAUUUUUUUUUUUUAAUUAUACAUGAUGUGAUAAUGAAUUGGAUGGAAACAUGUUUUUAAUUCAAAACAAUAUUUAAAAUUUUACGAUAACCAAAACAUGUUUCCAAAUUUAAGCUAAACUAUAUAUUUAACCAAAAUAACCUAAUUUAGAUACAAAUUGUGAUGGUUGUAGUUAAAAUUGGGCCAUGGAGCUGGUUAUAUGGUAAUGAAUAGAACUCGAUAUUUUCUUCAACAAAUUCAUUGGCAUUCACCAUCAGAACACACUAUCAAUGGAAGAAGAUUUGCUUUAGAAGCCCAUUUGGUGCACCAAAGCCAAAAUGGAAAUUAUGCUGUUAUUGGAGUUGUUUAUAACAUUGGACGACGACCCGACUAUCUUUUAUCCAAGGUAAGUAGUCUUGAUGAACUUUAGGGUUUAAGGUUUAAUAACAUUUACUUCACAAACAUUUCCAAUCAAUCUUUAAUUUAGUUUACUUACUAUAUAUUUUAUAGAUGAAGGAAAAUUUGGAAGAGAUUUCGGAUACAUGUGAAGAGAAAGCAUUAGAUGUGAUUGAUCUAUCAAUGUUGAAGAUGCAAAGCAGUCUAUAUUAUAGAUAUAUUGGGUCCCUAACAACUCCUCCAUGUUCUCAAAAUGUACUUUGGACUAUUGUUAGGAAGGUACUUUUAAUUUUUUAGUAAAAUUACUUCUCAAUUUAUUUCUGAAAUUUGGAACCUUUCUCACUUUUAAUCACACUUUAAUUUGAUGCAUGUUUUAGGUUAGGACUGUCACAACCGAACAAGUCAAGUUGUUACGCGUGGCUUCUCAUGAUGUAAGUUAUAUAGUUUUUCUAAGAUCCAUUAAAUAAACCUUUCAUCUUUAAUUUUAACUUUCGUAUUAGAACUUGGAUUGUAUUUCAUUUGAUUAAACAAAGUGUACAACUAAACCCUCAUUUUGAUAAUUUUUUCAAAACAAAGUAUGCCUGUUUUCACUAAUUUCUUGGUAAGUUAUUAAAUUUUCCUAUUUGAGUUUUUAAGAAAAAAUUAGUAAACAAAAAUUCAACGUUUUUAAAACUAUUUGUUUCAUUAAAUACACCAUUUAAAACACUCUUAAAAGUAAUAUACUAAAGAACAUUAAAAUUGGGUUUGGAUAAAAAUUUACUAAAUGAAUAAUAUUUUAAGUAAAAAGAAAAGAAAAUUAAUUGAAGGAUAUAUUUAGAUUUAUAAUUUUAAUAUUAAAACAUCCAACCAUAAUUCUCCAGCUCAUCACCAUUUUGAAAUAACAUAUACAUGUAUACGUGUAGAUAUAUACAUCCGUGCAUAGAUAUAUAUAUAGACACAUAUAAGAGAAAGGAGGUUCACUAGUUGGAAAAGGUUCAUUUAAGUCAGAAAUCAUUUUGUUAUCUUUUUAUCUAUGAUAAAUAUUUUAAAAUAUAAUAUGGUGUAACUUGAUUUAUGUGUUUAGGACUCUAACACCAAUGCUCGUCCUUUACAACCUAUUAAUGAUCGAAAGAUUCAACUUCGCAUCCAAUCAACCAUAUUUUGAAGAUAAUCAAUGUAAUGGACAAAUAUUUAUUCUAUAGUUUUCUUUUGUAAUACAUAGGGUAGUGCCUAUCGCACCAUAUUUUUAUUUUACACUUAUUACAUGUUGUCAGAAUUAUUAUCAUAUCUUGGUAAUAAAAAACAUUUUUGUUGUAUCGAGUAUUAGAUCUAAAAUAUCAAAGCGGACUUAGUUCUACGGUAAUUUAGCAUGAUAUUUUCAUUGCUAGCUUAUAUAUUAUCGAUAUAUUUAAAAUUUAAACACUUUUGCUUGGUAUUAAAAAACUCAUAUUAAAAUGACGUUUUCUAAACAAUAAUAUCUUAAGUUUUAACGAGUGGAAUUUUCUUAAAUAUAAAAAAAUAUCAAAUGGUUUAAAAUUUUUAUGAGAAUUAAGUCGGUAAAUAAAUAGAACCUAGAAAGAAAAAGCUAGAGUUCCGAAUUGUUUUCUAGGGGAAUGAUUUCUCAACAAAAUUUCUUAUACGCAACAAACUCACUUAAUUUUACGUUGUUACUUAAACACUACUCCUUUUUUAUAGCAACCUAUAGUGGUGUGAUAUAUAUGUUGACACAAAUCUAUCCCGAUAAUCAUAUUAUACUCCAUGAUUAAACCACCCACUAAUAAACUCGAAAGAAUAUUAACUCCUCAAGCACCUCUUACCAUUUAUUUCUUAGCCUUCAUUUUUAAUAAAAGCUCCCUCAACUUGCUUAGUAAUAUCAAUGAGUUGAGCAAAAUAAGUUCAUUCAACAAUAGCAGUAACAUAAGUAAAAACCUCUCCACUUAAACUAUCUUUCAAUCUCGUGCAUUUGACCAUCUCGUGUUUGGAGAAUUUAAAUGGCAUACUUGGAGAAUUAACUAUAGUAUUUGUUCUACCACUAACAUAACUUUUCAUUCAGGUUUCUGAAGUUCAUUUUAUUUCGCAUCUUGGGAUAACCUUAGAUAAAGUUAUCAUGGAUAACUUUUAUCUUCCAUGUUCUUUCCAACAAGCUAGUCUUCCACUAAGGCUUAACUUAAUUAGUACAACGCCACAAGUCCUUUGCUCUUAUCUACCACAGGAGUGGAAAAUUUGACCUUUCUAUUGUCGGAACAUAUUUUAACCUAAAAUAUUUCUAUAUCAUCUCCAACUAACUUUCUACAUGUGUGGGUCUCGUUGUCCCUUAAAUGUUGUUAUUCCUAGAGCCUUCAAACGUUAAUUCCUCAGUCCUUAUCGGGACAUAUAAUUGACUUACCCAAAAAAAUUUCAAGCUUGGGGUGCCUAGUUUUCAUCUUUAACUUCCUUAGCCUCACUUUUCGAACCACCAAAAGCAUCAUGCGUUCCCUUAAUAGGUUGCAUGAGUCGUCAACCAAAAUGGGCAUGUUUCUGUUCAACUUACUCAGGCAACUCUAACUCAUUAUGACACUCUAAUCUAUAAUCUCUAAAACUCCAAAACCCUUGCUCAUAACCCUUAAGUUUCCCAAAAUAAUGCUCUAAUACCAAAUUGACACACCUCGUUCUAAGUUUUCCUUUCUAACCUAGAGCAUGACAUGAAAACAGUUUUGGAAACAAACAUUUUCACCCUAAAAUAAAACAAAUAAGUAUUAUAAGAUUCUACGAAGUUUGUUAUAUGGGUUAGCCAAAUCUUAAAGGAGGGAAGAUUUUCACUUCUAUAUAUAAAUAUUCUUCAGACUCAGAAUACUGUAUAUCAAGUGAGUCCCACUACACACUUAUCCAACAAGUCUAGAGUCUCAAUCAGAGUUUAUAAUCAAUUAUGAAUUAGUUACGAAUGAAAUAGAGUCUAAUAAGAGAUUUCUCAAAACUCAAAUCCUUAUCGUGAUUCUCGCUACUUCUAUCCACUAUACAGUGCAGUACAAGACUUGAGUAGCAUGCAAAAUUUUAUCUAAAUACUUAAACUUAAUGGACAUUCAAUAACUCUAAGAAAACUCAACAAAAUCACUGCAAAACUUACCAAAUACUUAAGAAAGUAACCUUAACUUCAAAGGACGAUCCUCUAACAACCUUCAACCAUCAAAUCCUAGCAUCCAAAAAUGAUGGGUUGUUCAAUAAUAGUGCUGAAACUCAAUGGGUAUUCAAAUUAAAAAAGUUUAGAUUCUUAAUUAAUCUAUGCCAAAAUGCCAAUUUCGAGCUUCCAACUGACUAAACAACAACUCUUUCGAAAAUUCAAAUCUAACAUUAAAUUUAAUGAGUAUUGUUAAUCUCAAGUCUAAACUUAAUGGGUAUUUGAAACUCUUCCAGAAAUCUAACUAAAAUGUACAAAUCUUACCCCGAACUCCAAGAUCCAACAAUCGACAACAAGAUCGAGGGAGGGGAAACAAUCCAUUUGAGAUUUAUUCAAAACCCACACACUAGUGGCAUGAGCUUUACUGGAGAAAUUGAGGGACGACAUAGCUCAAACAAAACCAAACAAAGACGACAUUGCAUUUCCAAAUUUGGCGUGGAUGACAUGUGGUGUGGUGGCUGAUCAUCGUUCACUGAAUCAAACGACACGACUAUGGUGCUAGAUGGUGGCAUUUGGGAGUAUCAACAGUAGGGGUUCUUUGUUGGCGUUGGCACGAAGGAGAGAAAAAGAGGUGUAAACAUGUCAUCGUCGAUAAGGUCUCGUUGUCGGUAUGCAUGGAAGGUGGAAGUUGCUAGCGGCGAUGGGGCAAACGGACGAAAGAGUGAGAUGGGAGUGUGUCGACGUGCGAGAAAGAGUGAGAGAUGAUCAGUGGAAAAGAAUUCGAGAAGAGGGAGGCUGUUGGCGUACUUUAGAAGAAGAUAAGGAAAGAUAUAUAUCUUUUUUUUAUCCCUCUUCUUUUAAAAAAAGAUUAUUAUUAAUAAAAGAUCUUUAGAAAGACCAUUAUGCCCCUCAUUUCAUAACCAAGCUUCUAAAUCGGUCUAUUUGUUAGUUUUCCUAUCUUUUCAACACUUCAAUUUCAAAUUCUUGUUCCAAACUAAAAUUGUUCCAAUUUAUUUAUUAAAACAAUUCAACCUUAAAGAAUUGAUAAUUGGAUUUAAACUUGGGACUUCCAAACUAUCAACAGUUCUAGAUUAAACGAAAAGGAAAGAUAUCAUACAACUUUUCAUUAUAAUAAACUUUGUUCGCAGUUGACUUUUUGUCAUCUCUCGGGUUGAGACUAUGUGAUCCAUGAGGGGGUGUGACAUUUUAUCCUCGUUUCUAUUCUCUUAUAUGAUCGUCUAGCUUAUCUUACACGAUCAUUUACGUUCUUAUACAAUUGUAUAGUCAAAUAACCUUUUAUUUAAGAGUGAAUCCUACAACUCUAAAGUCAUGUACUUGGUCCACGACGCCCUUCAUGCCAGACAGUGUAGCAGUAAAAUGAAGUGUUGACUGACACAUAAGAUAGACAUGUGAGAGGAGUUACGUACCCCGUACACUACUUCAGCUCCGUGUUGUGAACUGGGUCCACACAAUUUCGUCUUGUAGACACAUGCGUCUGAUCCACAAUUUACCCUAGUCAAGGAUCAGGUAUAUGAUUUUGCAACAAAAUUUUUUACAUUUCUUUUCUACCUACCCUAUUUUUGAUAUUAUUUUUAAAAAUUACAUUAUUAAAGAAAAUUUCAUAUUUACAACAAGCUUUCUUGUCAGGCUCAUAAACAUAGUUUUGCAUUCAAAAAUUUUGGAUUGAUUUCAAAACAUGAAAUUCGUAAAUAACAAUUGUAAUAUGUUAACAUUUUUCAAUGUGUUUAUUAUAUAGUGUCUGGUGUCCUCCUAUAUAAAAAUUCUAGAUCUGCCACUGAUUAGAGGUAUGAUUUUUUUUAUUUACACCUUUUACAGUUUUUUUUAUUUGUGCCUCAUACAAAAAAAAAUCUCAUGGAUCUUCCUCUCUCCCUUGGGCCAGUGUGUUAUUAUUUUUAGUAAGCCAUUUGGAAGAAAAAAGGUUUGGAGAGUAGCUUGUUGAGCUAUUUCUUGUCAUAUAUAUGAAGAGAGCGUAACAUUUGGCUUUAUGACCGUUCCUCACAGGCUUCCUUGUCUAGUUUAAUACUUUUAUUUGUUAUUAAGUGGCUUAGGUCUCUAUUUUUUAUGGUUCUUUCUCUUUCGACCUUUUUCCUUGAGUUGUACGAACUUUUCUAUUGUGUCUUUCAAGUUCUUCGUUUUUCAUUUAUUAUGAUUCUGUCUUGACCUCCAAACGAGGACACAGUUUAGUUUUAGGGAUCUUUUAAAAAAUAUAAUAAUGCGAAAAAAUAUUUACACUAUCUAGAAACAAUUUCGAAAACGGAAAAAGUCACAGAUCCAUAAUGGAAAAUACCAAAAUACCUCGCAAUUAAUUGACAUCGAACACGCCUAAUAUAUUUGGAAAACAAGUCCGUAAUAUAUUUGAGAAACGGUCGUUUAAAUUUGGCUAUUCUUUCCUACACGAUCGUUUAGAUUUGAUCGUACCCAAAUAUAAAUGUUUUUUUCAAGAUUUUUUGUCCAAGAUUUGGCAAACGAUAAUUUAGAUUGGGCACACAAUCGUUUAAAUUUGGGUAGUCAAAUCUCAACGAUUUUUUUCAAGAUUCUUUGGUACACGAUCAUUUAGAUUUGACAGACGAUCGUUUAGAUUUAGAACACAAUCAUUUAAAUUUGGGUACGAUUUUUUCAAGAUUCUUUGGUACACGAUAGUUUAGAUUUGACAUGGGAUCAUUUAUAUUUGGACACGAUCGUUUAGAUUUGUCACACGAUCGUUUAUAUUUGGCUAUUUUUGGUACACGGUCGUUUACAUUUGACAAUCCAAUAUCCCAACGGUUUUUUUCACGAUCUUUUAUAUUUGACACACAAUUUUAAACAACCAAAUAACAGUUUGAAAAAAAAUAAAAAAAUUAAUGUAGAAGGACAGAAAAAGACGAUGAAAAGAAAGAAAAAUUGUAGAAGAAAAGAAAAGACAACAUAAAUACUUUUUAAAAAAUGCAGAAGAAGAGAAUGACGAUGAUCCGAUGAAAGAAAAAAAUUGCAGAGGAGGAAAAGAAAAAAAUUGGAGCAGAGAAGAGAAGAAAGACGAUGAUAAGGAAUGACAAACCUAAAGUUUUUUUUAAAAAAAUGAUUAGUUUCAUGUACUUUUUUAUUUUGUUAGACGGGUCGUAAAUAUUUUACGAGUAUGUUUGAUUUAUGAAAAAUUUUCUUAUUUUAUUUCAAUUCAAUUGCAUUAGGAAAAAAAAUCAGUUAUAUCUAUAUUUCCUAAUUUUGUUAAUGUAACCUUUACAUUUGGGAUUGUGAUAUCCAUAUAUCCAAAUAUGCAUUGUCAUAUCCAUUUAUCGAAUAUGCAUUGUCAUAUCCAUAUAUCAAAAUAUGCAUAUACCUUCUUUAGUUAAAGGCAUUAAAUAUUUCUCUAUUAUAUAAGGGUUUGUGUGAAGAGAUAUAAUAUAAAGUUAUCAACAUCAAAACAACUACAAAUAAACCCUUAAAAUUAGUUAUGGCUGCAAAGUUCUCUCUCAAGUUCGCUUUCUUGGUUCUAAUGGUUUUGUUUGUACACGUUGUUUCUGGUACAACCUCAACUUUGUCCACUCUCUUUUCAUCAACUUUAUAUGGCUUACAAUUAUUUUUAAACGCAACUCUUUCACUUUUUUACUAAUUUAAUCUUAAUACUUUGUUUUCCUUUUGUUAUUUUCUAUUCUUCAAAAUAAUAUAACUUGUUUCUAGACAAUUUAUGUAUUGAAUUUUCACAUUCGUAUUCUAGCUAAAAUUUCAAAAACAAAGCAAGGUUUUUAAGAUCUAUGGGCUCAUUUGAUACCCUUUACAUCAUGGUGGAUAACGGUUUGAUUUUAGGGUUUAUUAUUGAAAAUUAAGUCAUGUAAAUACCUUUUUCGUUUUUUAUACAUCUUUACUUUAUUGUCCUACCUUUCACCAAUGUUUUCAAAAAUCAAACAAUGUUUUGAGUAAUAAAAAAAAAAAUUGAAAAUUGGGAUUUUGUGUUUUUGAAAUUUGGAUUUAACUCAUUUUACUUGAAAAAGUUGAUAGUAAACUAAAGUACGAAAAGUAGUUCCCACAGAUUGCUUUUAUAAUAGAAAUUAAAAUAUCUUAUAUAAAGGUAAAUACCGUAAUUGAAAUAUUCGAAGAAACAAACCUAAAUUUAAAAGUAGUAAAACUAAAAAUGAUGUAUUUAUCACACAUGACCUACUUUAUUUUUAAAUUUUUAGUUAUGAGUUGGUUUAUGAUCUUAAUUGUUCAAAAAGUAAAAGAUAAAAAAUAAAAUUGUGUUAUCAAAGGAAAUCUUAUUAAUUAUAUAUUUUGUUUAUGUAUACUGCAGCGAGCAAACCGUUAGAUGGAAAUGCAAGUUAUCUUAAACAAAUUCAAUGCAAGACUCAAGCUGAUUGUGGUAACCCUAAAAAGUGUUAUUGUGAUAGUUUCUCUGGUCUUUGCUUUUGCAAUAGUAAGUUGUUUAACGCCAACACCGAUCAGAAGAUGAAUUAUCACAAAGGAGAUCAAAACUAAAGUACCUCUGAAGGACAAAUAAUCAAUUAACUGUUAAGCAUAUAUUGUUUACAACUUGAUGGUUGUGAUGAUAUAUAUGAUGUUACAGAUAUUACAAAUUCGAUCAACUACCAACUUUAUUACUUUUCGAUUUUAUAAGAGUUCAAAGGAAUAAGAUUAUGACCCAAGUUGGAGUAUUUCCGAGUACUAUUACAUGUUUAAUUCUUGUGUCUUUCAUUAUUACAAGUAAAAUUACAUUUAUUGAUGCUUGCAAAAUUUUAAAUUACAUAAUGUUCUUAUGGAAAAAAUGUCAACUGCAUAAUAUUUGAGUAUAUCAAGUUUUGUCAUAAUUUACUUGAUGUGAAAUUUUAAAUGUCAAGGAUAAUUUAUAAUGCAACAAAGGUGACCGAUUGUAGCUUAAAAAAAAAUGAACAGUUCAUUUGAGGAAAGAUGUGAUUAUGAACAAACUAUGGUGUAACCAUGUUUCCACGAUCAAGCUUAAUUAUAUGUUAGGCAAUGCGACCGUACCUAUCGAACCAAUACAAUAACACACUAACAAAAUUUCUCUCUUAUUCAGAUUCGUGGUCAAUUUCGUUUGGAGUUCUAAAGAGCUAAGGUCAUCAUCAUUGUAACAUUUAGAUAAAUUUUGGGAGUUAAUUAAUUAUCUUAUUUUUGUUUAAUAAGAUUUAAUUUAUUAGGCAUUAUUCCGAAGAUUAAUUGGUUUUGGGGAAUAAGAUUAUAAUUUAAUAAUGAAACAUUUUAUCGGGUAGUCAAUCAUACAUAUGUUUAACCGUAUAUAACUGUCAUGAGUGGAUGGUGUAUAAGACAACUUGACGUCAAUAAUGCUUUUGUUCAUAGGAAUCUCUUAGAAAAUGCUGAGUAAUCAGUCUGUGGUUUGUCACCUAGGAAUGACUUUAUAUUAUGUUAAAACAAGCCCAAACAUGGUAUGAGAAACUAACCCCUAGUUUAAAAUCAUCUUUAUUAGUUCUCAUAUAAAAUCAUUCUUCCUACUAUAUACUGAUUGAUUUUGAUUAUCUCAUUUGUUAUGGGCAAUUCCACCAAGGAAAUAGAUACUCUUUAUCAAUAGCUUGAAUAACAAAUUUGCUCUCAAACAUCUUACCUCACUUCACUACUUUAUAUAUGGGUGAUGAAGUCUCCUACCCAACCAAAGGAGGUUUGUUUCUUUCUCAGUAAAAAUAUAUAUAUAUCUGAUUUUUGCUGCAUAAAAUAAAAAUGUUUGAGGCCAAACUGAUUGCAACUCUAAUGGUGAGUGGUCCUAUCUUAUUUGCACGUUAACUUGAAAAGUUUUCUGAUAGAUACUUAUAUAGAACUGUUGUUGGUGCUUUACAAUAUGUCCCUCUCUCAGUCAUCCUGAAAUAUCUUAUAGCGUUAACAAGACAUCAAUUUAUGCAGCUCCAUAAACUAACUCAUUGUUAAUUAACUUGUGAAAGAAUUCUUAUAGAUAUUUGAAAGGAGCUAAAUCUCGUGGCUUAUGGUUAUGCAAAUCUAAUAAUCUAAACUUAGUUUGCUUAAUAACAAAUUUAGGGUACGAAUAUGGUAAUUAAGAAAAUUAAGAAAAAUAUUGCAUAAUGACAAAUAUAUAUGCAUCAAAAAAUAUAUUAGUUCAAACACAACAUCACAACUUAAAUUAUUGAUAUGAACGUUCAAUCUAGAAAGCUUCUUUAAUUCAUUGUGCAAUAUAUAUAUACGCAUGAAAAAAAACGUGAAACAUCACGAUGGAUGCUAAAAUUAUUGAACGAAUACCAUAAAUAAGAUUAUUUAAUAAAAUAAAUUUAUAAAAUUUGUGUAUUGGAUCUACGUUAUAUUUUUUAAAAAAAAAAUAUCACAACACUACUAUCAUAAUCCUUCUCCCAAACGCAUACUAUCAAAAUACUACCUAUCAUAUAAUUGUUCUCCUCAACGCAUACUAUCAUAACGUACGCUAAGACUAUUAUAAUAUUAGGAUUAUUAUAACACUAAUCAUAUCAUAAAUUACUUCUUCCCCAAACGUCCCCUUAGUCUCUGUACCUCCUUAAGUCCACGAGACCAUUUACAAUUUUUUUUUCAAAUUAAUUAUCUCGAGACUACAUAUAAACUAAAACUUGACUUUCUUCAAACAUUGACCAUUAAUUUAUUUAUUUUUGCAAUCUUCUUUUUCUGAUGAGUCGUUCUCACAUCAAUGAUAAUGUGCUUUUUGUCUUGUUUAAAUUUGAAUGUUUGAGCGAUCCUUAUUUUUUGUCCUCUUCUUUUGAUAGCUUUUCUCAAUUUUUACACAAAAUUUCAACCGUAUCUAUAAAACAAUAAUAGAAAAAAGAAUUGAUAACUUUUAUUCAAAGUUGUAGAGUUUUCUCAACUACGGACCACCCUCUUUAUUUCUACAAAGGAAACCGUACGGCAGCUUUUUGUUUCCAAAUGUCAUUUAAAUAUGUAUGUAUUCAUAUGUACCUUUCCAAUGACUCACAUUGCUCUUCUCCUUUUCUUCAAACUUAAUUUAUAUACCAUAGCGCCGUUUUAAUCUUAUUAGAAUUAUGAGUGAUAAAAGAAACUACGUGCAAGUUUUAAUCUUAUUAGAAUUAUGAGUGAUAAAAGAAACUACAUGCAAGUUUUAAUCUUAUUAGAAUUAUGAGUGAUAAAAGGAACUACCUCAAUUAUUAUAGUAUGAGCGAUAAAAGAAACUAUCUCAUUAUUCUAAGUGAACUCUCACAACAACGUUAAGAAAAAUAAUCUCAAUUAAACAAUUUGAAUAAUAAUCCUAAGAAAGUUAAUUAAAACAUAUUUAGCUUGAAAAAUUUAUAUCAUAGAUCAGGAAGAAAGAGAGUUUGUUUCUAACUUUAAUACUUCGAAAUCUCCACAUUCUUAUUGAUAAAAUUAGAUUGAGAAUCUUAAGAUAUGCAUAAUAAAAACAAGAUUACAGAGAAAAACACAGAACUUGAAAGAAUAAACACUACGGAAACUUCAAUCAAAUUCGAAGUUUUCUUUUAAAAUGUCAUCCACGACUAUUUAUAUAAAGCCCCAAUCAUACACCCCAAUGCGAUGAAGGCCCUGCAAUGAGGAUGAUGCGCAAAGAGGCUUCUAUAUGGUAAAACGUGAUUUAAGGAAGGACUAUGUGAUGACAGGUCUCUACACGGAGAGGAUUACUCAUAGUACAAGUCGACAAGCUAAGAUACUUCACCUAGAAACAAUGAUCUUCACUUAGAAACAAUGAUGGGACCUAGAUGUCCAUAGGUCGGCGAUUGAUUUGACUCAGUUGUACGAUUCGAAUUCAGAAUUAGGGAUUGACAGUUCCACAUUGCAUUUUUCCAUUGGGUCACUUCUCGCCGCCGGUUAGAGAAAUCAUUUCGACAUAGAAAAACUUGUCGAAUGAAUCUAUAAAUAGAGGAAUUUGGGUCAUUUGAGGUUGCUUUUACCUUGAUUUUGUUGAGAAAGAACUAGAGAAGUAUCCAAAGGAUUUGAGACAUAGAACGAGCCAAUUUCUAAUAAGGAUUUCAAGAAGAAUAAGGGAGACUUUGGCCUAGGAAGCUAGUCGACUAUGACUGUCAGUGGUUCUCCUUACCAAAUGUUUCCAAACAAAAAAAAAGGUUUGUAAAAUGUGUUUGAAUCCUUAGUAUAUUAUUUAAUUUUAAAAUCAUGAACCAUAAAAUUUCCAUUAUGCUUUUCCACUUCAAAACAUAUAUAAGUGAUUUAUAAAUAGAAAAGAUGUAUUUGUGAACGACCUUCUAGUAGGAGCAAUGUCGUGGAAGUAAUCUUUGAGUCUGAUGUUGCAUUAUGUUAAAUGCGUUGAGAUUAAUAUUGACGUCAUGUCUUGAAAUGGUGACUUCUGAAAGAUGCAUAAUAUCGUUAAAGUUGAGAUAAUUAGAUGAUCUUUAUACCCUAUGUAAUAAGAUGUUGUAUCCUUGUUGUGUAACCUAGGAUAAGAUGUUCUAUUCUUACUGUGUGAUCUGGAAUAGAAUGACAUAUUCAUGUUGUGUGAUCUUGAUUAGAAUGCCUCAUACUUGUUGUGUGAUCUGGUAUGGGAUGCCAUUUUGCUUGUUAUGUGAUCGAGCAUGGAAAUUGAUGGUACUCGUUAGUGCAAUGAGAUUUCUUCACAUGGCUACAACUUAGCAAAAGAGUGUGGGAAACACUUGAGUUAGAGAGAAAGUACACAGAAACACCUAGUAAAAGACAUAUACGAUGCGACAAAUUGUGAAAUAUUUGAUUUUGAUUUUGCUAUAAUGCAUGUGUUCUGAUAAAUGAUUAUGUGACGAAAAGGUGAUUUUGAGACUUAAUUAAAGUAUUUGAUUAAUGUUCGAUUUAGGAAGCUUCUUUAAUUCAAUGUGUAGCAUAUACGCAUGAAAAAAAAACGUGAAACAUCACGAUGGAUGCUAAAUUUAUUGAACGAAUACCAUAAGUAAGAUUAAUUAAUAAAAUAAAUUUAUGAAAUUUGUGUAUUGGAUCUACGUUAUAUUUUUAGAAAAAAAAUAUCAUAACACUACUAUCAUAAUCCUUCCCCCAAACGCAUACUAUCAUAACACUACCUAUAAUAUAAUUCUUCUCCUAAACACAUACUAUCAUAUAUAACGUACAUUGGGAGUACUAUUAUAAUACUAGAAUUAUCAUAACACUAAUAUCAUAAAUUACUUCUUCCCCAAAUAACGUUUCCUUAGUCUCUAUACCUCCUUAAGUCCACAAGACCAUUUGCAAUUUUUUUUUUCAAAUUAUCUCGAGACUAUAUAAACUAAAAUUUGACUUUCUUCAAACGUUGACCAUUAAUUUAUUUUUGCAAUCUUCUUUUUCUAAUGUGUCGUUCUCACAUCAAUGAUAAUGUGCUUUUUGUCUUGUUUAAGUUUGAAUGUUUGAGCAAUCCUUAUUUUUUGUCCUCUUCAUUUGAUAGCUUUUCUCAAUAUUUACACAAAAUUUCAACCGUAUCUAUAAAACAAUAAUAGAAAAAAGAAUUGAUAACUUUUAUUCAAAAUUCUUGAGUUUUCUCAACUACGGACCACCCUCUUUAUUUCUACAAAAGAAACUGUAUGGCAGCUUUUUUUGUUUCCAAUGUCCAUUCAAUAUGUAUGUAGAUAUGUACCUUACCAAUGACUCUCAUUGCUCUUCUCCUUUUCUUCGAACUUAAUGUAUAUACUAUAGCUCGGGUUUUAAUCUUAUUUAAAUUAUGAGUGAUAAAAGGAACUACUUCAACUACGUGUGAGAACAUUCAUCCCAGCUGAACUCUCACAAUGAUAAUAAUAAGAAUAACCCCGAUUAAACAAAUUGAAUAAUAAUCUGAAGAAAGUCAAUUAUAAUAGAUUUAGUUUGGAAAAUUGAUAUCGUAAAUUAGGAAGAAAUGAGAGCUUGUUCCUAACUUUAAGAUUUCAAACUCUCUACAAUCUAAUAUAUAAAACUAGAUUGAAAAUCUUAAAAUAUGCGUUCUAAAAAUAAGAAUAUAAAGAAAAAAAUAAAGUUUAAAAGAAUAAAGUCCAAGGAAAAUUCAUUCAAAUUGGAAGUUUUCUUUUAAAAUGUCAAAUUACAUAAGUAUUUAUGCUCGUUCAAAUGACAUGUUAUAUCCUUUCACCUUAUUAUCUAAAUUCAUCUAACCCACCCUGCCAACUACAUCAUAAUAUAAAGGCAUGAAAUUAAAUUGGUACAUAAUUCAUUAAAAUGUAAAUGAAUCUAAAUAUUUUAGAUUUAUUAUGACUUUUAGAUGAAAAGUUGUGUUUUGAUAUACAUGAACUGAUGCAACUCGUCAACUGAAGUUUAGCUUGAGUGCUACUCGUUUAAUGUUUGAUCUAAUUGUUAACAAUUAUAAUUUUUUAAUCAUUCUUCCAUUCUUUUAGAAGAUUUGUCCUCGAAUCUUAAGGGUCUCUUUGUAGAGCAAAUUUGUAAUCAUUGUCUCGAGCUUUGGAAAGAAUUAUAAAGCCUAUUCAUUACCUAUUAUUUUACUUUAUCAACGAGGUCUCUUGAUUUUUCCAUAUACUCCCUCAACACAUUGUUUCUUUGAAUUCAUCAUUGGAUCAUAUGCUGAAAUUUAUUUUUAAGUGAAAAUUGUAAAUAUAGAAAUCAAACUCAAGAUAUAUAUUUUGGAUAUGCUCAUAUACGACCAUACAAAAUAAAUUAUAAAUAUAGCAAAAUUUUAAUUCAACUUUUGAUAAAGUUUAUCAAUGUUAAAUCAUCUAACUAAUAAAGCUAUCAUUAAUGAAUUUUGUUAUACACAUUUAAUUAUUAUAGCCAUGCAAAUAUUAUCCAUGGUAAUUAUCCUAUUUUAUAAAGCAAAGGUUCAAUUGAACUUCUUAGACUCUAAUAUUAUUUUAUCACUGUGAAAGUUAUCUCAAAAUUAAUCUAUAUAAUGAGAGAAAUUGUUCAUCUAUCUAAUUAAGGGUGUGUUCGGGAUUGACUUAACACAUGCAUAAAUUAUUUAAAAUGAAUCAUAUCCCCUUUCUUGUGUUUAAAAUAUAAUUACUAUUAAACCUACAAAAAAUCAAUUAUAAAUUUUGGAGUUUGAAAUAAAAUUAGUUAAUGUAUCAAUUCAUUUUUUUCAAAUUAAGUUGAAAUAAAAAUAAUAUUUUAAAACUAAAAACAUGUGAAGUUUUUUUUUACUUUAUUAAAGAAAUAGUUAUAAAAGCAACCUCACGUAUUAAAGAAAUAGUUAUAAAAACAAUCUUACCUAGAAAACCAAAUGUUGAGAGAUAAAUUAAAUAACUAAAGAAAUAGAGUAACUAUAAUAAAUAAAUUUUUUAGAAAUAAUAGCAAAUUAUAUAGAAACAUUUUUUUUCAAAUUGCAAAUAUGACAAAGUCUAUCAGCUAUAGACUUUUAUAGAAUUUUAUGGUUUAUCAGCGAUAGACCAAUAUUUGAAACAUGAUCUAUCAGUGUUAUAAAUUUUUAUCAUUAGUAGAGUUUUACAGAUUUUACAAUAUUUGUAAUUUUUUUUAAAGUGUUGUUAAAUAUAUGUUAGUAUUUUGAAUCUAACUAUUAUAUUUGUAACUAUUCCAAUUUACGUGAGCCCUAAGUAAAACAUAAAAGAAAUCAUAAGUUUAAAAUAAAAACUAUUUAUCAAUAAUCAUAACAUUUGCACUAUCGUAGGCCUAUCUUGUCACUCGCCAACUUUUCUUUAUCUUCACCUGAAAAAUAAACAUGGAAAUGGUGAGUAUAUAAAAUACCCAGUAAAAAUCCUACUAGUGGACCUAUUAGAUGAACGGUUAACUUUCUAUUAAGGAUACAUCAUGUGCGAUAACAGUCUAGUGACUCGUAGGAGAACACAUCAGUCAUAAAAGGUUUUUCAUCUUCUUCACUAAGAUAACAAUUGGUUGCAUGCCUUAGAAAAGUCUAUUUGGCAAAUCUUGAAGAAUUAAAUGACGAUUUCUUUUCCAUCAAGGUUGAAUUGGUUUCAAUUUCAAUUUUGGGUAAGUUAAUUUCGGAGAAUUUUUUAACGAUAACCAAUUGUUAAUUUUAUUAAUUAAGAUACUAAAAUUUUCUUUCAUGAUUAGGAUCGGUUUAAUUGGAGAAUUUUUAGUGUCAACAAAGAAAUAUUUUUACCUAAGCAAGUAAGAGAUUCUACUACUAGACCUUCGAAAAUAGAUUAAAAAGCUUGCAUGUAUUUUCUAUUAUGUGCUGAAUGGAGCUAAAAUGCAUAAUAUGAUUGAUAAAGAUGAUAGGUUAUUACUAUAACCUGAUGUGUUAUGACUGAUGUGUUAUGAUUGAGGUAUGUUAUGAUGCAUGGUAUGCUCAUUAAUAACAUGAUAAGGAUUUUAUGAUUAAUAUUCAUAUCAUGUGAGAAUGUUAAUGAUAUUAUAUGCUAUGGACUGUGGUGUUCUGUUAAUUUUAUAUAUUGGAACGUUCCUAUAUGGGUCAUCAUGCUUAACAGGAAUGUUAACGUGACAAAAAUUAUAAUAGACUUCUUUUCUUUUUCUUCAUUCCUUCUUUUUUUACACUAACUAUUCUUCUCUUUUUGUGGACACAUACUUUACUCUUCGUUUUUUGUUAAACCUUGAUAAAAGUGAGUUGCUACGCAUUGAAGCACUAUAAGGCAAUUUAAGUUUAAACCUGAGAAGUUGCAUUUAGGUGUUAGAGGCCUAAAGUUUUAAUUUAUUGUAAAGAAAACAUGUAUAUUGUAUCUGGAACACAUGUUACAAGUCAAUAAAAAGGAGUUCCUUUAUUAUCAUGCGUUGAGUUUUCUUAUCGCUCAAUAGUUUAAGGGUUUAAGUUAGAACUAGGUGAUAAAAAGCUAAUGUUCAAGGUUAAGAGUGAGUGUUCUGGCGUUUUAUGGUUGAGGCAUCAUGAUUGCUCAAGUCAUGUCUGUGUGCUGCAAUGCGAGCUGGUUCAGGAAGCGUUGCGGAGUGGGGCAUGACAUUGAGAGGGUGAAGAGCAACGUUUCAAGAGAAGGGAUUACGAGAGGGAGAGGAAUAGAACAUGCAAGAGGAAGAACAAAAAAGAUCUAGACUAAACCUCCAAAGAUUUUUCUUUUCUUCCAUUACAAGAGAGGAAAAGUCAAAACAAAGAUGAAAAUAUAGUGGAAGAUGUGGGCGACAAAAGAAAAUAGACAAUCAAAGUUAAGAGGAUGAACAAGAACAAUGUUUUGAGAGAAAUGAUUACUAGAGAGAGGGAUUGAACAUGCAAGAGGAAGAACAAAAAGAGAUUUAGACUAAACCGCAAAAGACUUUUCCUCUCGUCCAUUACAAGAGAGGGAAACUCAAAUCGAAGACAAAAAUAUGGUGGAAGAUGUGGCUGAGGAAGGAAAGCAAGCAAUAAGAGUUGAGGGGGUGAAUAACAAUGUUUUGAUAGAAAGGAUUACAUGAGGAGGGGGAAGGGAUUAUGAGAGGGAGAGAGAAAUAGUGUCACUAUAGAGAGAAGAGGGUUGAUGAACAGUGAAAUGAGGGCUUAUUUUUUAAAAAUAAUCCUAAACCUCAAAUUUGUGAUAGUUUUUUGCCUACAUGUGGAGUCGGCCAACCAAACAUGAAAUGAGACUUACCAUUCAAAUUUAUGUUCCCUCCAUAAAAUAUUUUAUUUCACCAUUUUGAAAUUGGAAUUUUUUUAAAAAUAUAACAAGUUAAAUAUUUACACCAUGUAGAACAAUUUUGAAAAUAGAAAAAGUCUACAGGCCCACAAUGAAAAAUAUCAAAAUACUCCAGUUAACACACGAUUAAUCUACACACUCCCGAGUAACUUUUCUUCUAAACAAUCAUGAUACACGAUCAUGUGCAUAAGAUAUGAUACAUAAUUAUGCAAUUCUUUUUAACGAUGGAAAAAAUGUUUCAUGUAAUUCUUCUUCUAAACGAUCAUGAAUAUAUGAAUGUGAUCAUGUAGGAAAUAAUACAUGAUCGUAUAGUUCUUUUUAACGAUAAAAAAAUGCUUCAUGUAAUUCUUUUUCUAAAGAACGAUCAUGAUACAUGAUUGUGUAGGAAAUGAUAUAUGAUCAUGUAGGAAAUUAUACACGAUAGUGUAGUUCUUUUUAACAAUAAAAAAAAUAGAAGAAAGCUUAAGAAAUUUCUCUAGUAUCGAUCAAUAAAAGUUAUUUAUCUUCCUAUAAAAGGAGAAGAAACUAAAGAGAUUAAAUAUAAGGAAAAAAAUCAUGAUCAAUCUAAAUUUAGGGGAUGAUCAAUUUGUCUUGUAUUUAGCUUUGCAAUGAAUUCACCUACCUUUGUUUUUAAAGUUUAAGUCUUUAAUACUUUUCGAGUAAGUUUGAGAUUGUGAUAUACCCAUUUAUACCAUAAUCAACUAAAUAAAUUUUUGAAAAUCCAAUAUACUAAAGAAAUCUUUUCAAGAAUAAUAAAAAGUACAAACUAUUUAAACUCUAGGACAAAAAACCACUAAAGGCGACAUAAACUCAUUACACUUGAUUUUGCCAUCAAGUGUAAAUAGUUUGUUCAUUUUGCCAUUUUUUACAAUUCCUCUAUAUUUUAAAUAAUGAAAAAACAUUGUUGAGUAUAUAUUAUAAAAAUCAUAACACAUAUGUAUAUCAUAUAUAUAAAUGGUAUAUAUGAUAAUAACCAUAUGAUAUUGAGAAAGAAAAAUAAUUCUGGUAUGUGUGUGUCUAUCAAUCAAUCAUUCUGCUCCCUCUAUGCUUGCUUUGAUUCGAAGUUGAACAUUUCGAUUGUUCAAAGGUUGCAAAGGCCUUGCAUUAGUUUCCGAGUCCUACACAUAUAAAUCAAUUUUCAACUUCCUUAUAUUAUAUCUUAAGACUAAAUUUUUUUAGCUUUAUGCAUCAUAUCUUUUUGAUAAAAACAUUAUAUUUGAAACUAAAGGUGUAAUUUAACUAGAAUUGAAAGAAGUGCUGUUUUAGAUGAAAUUAUCUCACUUACAUCAUGGACGGCUACACGAAGUAAGUUUACUUGUUCGGGUGUAACAGUCCUAACCUGAAAAAUUCAUAAGAGUAAUUUAGACACAAAAACAAGAUACCUUAUCAAAGAAUGGUCAAGCAGCAGCUUAUACAUAAGAUUGGAAAUAGAGAGGUUAUUGAAAAAUAUACCUUCCUGACUAUGGUCCAAAGCACAUUUUGAGAACAUGGAGGAACUGUUAAAGAGCCAAUAUAUCUAUAAUAUAAACUGCUUCGCAUCUUUAACAGCGAUGGAUUGACCAUGUUCAGUAAUUUAUCUCUUUGUGUACCUGAUAUUUCUACCAAAUGUUGUCUCAUCUAAGAAGGAAAAUAAAUAGUACAAAAGUUAGACUUUGUGAAUUAGAUUAUAUAUUUUUAGUAUCUUAUUUGAAAAAAUUGAAAAGAAAAUGAUUGUAAAAGACAAAAAUGUUGAAAAUAUUUACAAAAUAUUAUCAAAUUUCAUAUUGUACCAAUCAUGGACUCAUAUAUAAAUUUUGUACAAAAUUUAUGCAAUCUAACUUCUAAAAGAAGUUAAUCUGUCAUACCAAUUUCUUUAUAUAAAAAACAAAUCGAUUUUAAAGUAUGAUUACCUAUGUUUUAUUAAUAGAAAGAUGCGUGGAAAAGAGAAAUUAUGAUCUUUAAAAGGGUUGGUGGUUAAAGGUUUUGAAAGAUUACCGUAGACAAGAAGUAGUCAGGUUGUCCAAUAUUAUAGAGAAUUCCAAUGACAGCAAUCUUUCCUGUUUGGCUUUGGUGAACCAAAUGAGCUUCUAAAGCAAACCUUCUUCCAUUGAUAGUGUGUUCAGAUGGUGAAUGCCAAUGAAUUUGUCUUAGAAAAUAUCGAGUUCUAUUUACUUCCAUAUGUCCAGCUGCACUUCUCCAUUUUAACUGCAUGCAUUCAUCACAAUAAUAUACAUUUAUAUAUUAAAAUCGUUUUUUUUACUCUAAACAUGAUAACCUUAUGGAUUUUUAAAUAUGAAGCCGAAGCAGGGUUUAGAUAAACGGUAUAACCUGUGAUAUAUAUGCUAACGGCAUUUAUUCAAAUUUUGACCGAUCAAGAAAAAAAAGUUGUAACGUUGAAAGUUUAGUUGAAUUUUUUAAUCAAAGUGUUAACAGUUUUCUCGUCUAUAUAUACGACAAACAUAUUUGAAAUCUUUUAAAAAAUAUUAUUUAAAUUUGACGAAAAAAUAUAUUAGUAAUUCUAGUUAAAUGUUAUCAUCAUGUUGCAUGUAAUAAUUUUGGAAGUUUGCAUCAAACAUGAUUUAAUUUUAAAAAAUUAUAUGUUUUUAAUAAAAUAAAAAUACUAAGAAAUGUUAUUCUUGUUACCAUUAUAUCAUGCCCUCUAUUCUUAAGAGUUGCAUUUGAAGAUCCAUAGUCGAUUUGGAAGUCCGUAAAAUGCGACACAAUACGAACUCUUUGGUUCAACAAAUCAAUAGGAGAUUGCAUUUGUCCAGUGUUACAGUUAUGCCAUUCUGGUCUAAGAUCUCCCCAAUGUAUAGGUCCUCUCGUUCCAUUUGUGUUAUAAUCAAACUCUCUUUGAUUUUCUACAUGCAAUACCAAAGAAAAACAAAUGGGUUGGUAAGUAAAUUCCUCCACAAGGCAUUGAAAGUCAAAUUAUUUAUUAUUCCAUUGGAGGAAAAUCAAAAUCUUCAAAUUAAAUGCAAUCAUUCAAUCAAUUUUUUAUUUCCUUUUCCAGUUGACUUUCAUUCCUGAUCAUUAUAUUCACAGAUUGAUUAUAUUGAAUAACUUUGCGAAAAAGAAAAAGAAAAUAAAUAUACAUGCAUUAACUUUAUAACAAACUUAUAAAUUUCUAACAAAAAAUUAAGCAUAAUUUGUUUCCACAUAAUUAGGACAAUUUUAGAGACAUAAUUAAUAACAAAAGUAAUAACUUGACAAAAUAUUUUUUUAAACAACAUGAAUUGAAAGUGUUUAUUUUUAAAAUUUACAUACAAAUAAAAGGCCAAACCCGAUUAAACUUUAAUGUAAUUGCCCGAGAAGAAACUAACUCUAAAAAACAAUCAUAUUAGAAAGAAUAAGCAUGAAUCCCUACCAACUUCUUGUGACAUUGCAGGCCAUGAAACCAAAAUAAAAGCAAAGAAAAAUGAGCAAAACAGCAGCUCAAAACUCAGCUUCUUCAUCAUCUUCUAAUUAAAGACUUUGAUUUCUUCUUUGUAUAACCAAUCAAACCCAAUCUUCUUUUGGUUUGUGGGUUUUUUAGAACAAAAAAUUUGGUAUUUAAAAUGCCAAAACUUGGAAUUGUGAAUGGGAAGAUUCUGAAACUUCUGAGUUUGUUCCAUAGUCAAUUUCAACGAAGUUUGAAAAAGAGAAAGAAAUAAGGCAAUCAAUUGUUGGGCCAACCACAUCAUCACAUAUACACAUAAAUAAUUAAUGGUUCUUAGAAACAAAGUGCUGCCGUGGGAUUUCUUUUACAACUACAUAUAUAUAGGUGUGGUCCUCUUCAAGAUUCUUUAAUUUCUACCUCGCGAUGAUUCGAGAUUAGUACACAUUUGUGAUAAGUUAUUUUCAUCUGUACAACUUGUUUGUUAAUUAUUUUAGGUGACUUAUUGGCUACUUUCAUGCACGUAGCAUUUUUUGUAAUCAAGCUAUGACGGUCGAUAAAAGGUUAGUGAUGCAUGGUUGAGAUUAUAAUGACGUCUUAUGACCGACAUUGUUGCUGAGAGUACCGAAGUUGAUAAUUGAUAACGGACAUUUAUGUUUGACACUUUUUUUUUUUGUCUUACCAGCCCAUUUAUAUAGGUGCACCUUGAGAUAUUAUAAUAUUAAGUUUGACAAACUAUGAUGUUGUAUUAUUAAAAUAUUAACUAUUAAAAAAAAGGGUAUUUUGAAAAAUAGAAAAUUUGAUGAACUAUUUACGUUUUAUAGAAUAAAACGGCCAGAAACAAAUUUAAUUCACUUGAUUUUUCUGUGUAGUAUAAAUAUUUUGUCAAAUGUUCUAUUUUUGACAAAAUUUCUAAAAAAACAUAUGUGAAUUUAUUAUUUAAAUAUUUUAAAAACAUAGAAUUAUUGAAAAAGGUCCCUUGGAGUAAGCAUCACCAAGGAAGUCAAGAUUAUUGAAAAAGGGCAUUUUCCAUUUGAUGUGGCCCUUCCAAACUUUUUGCACGCACCAAUCAAGGCGUUUGUAUGGAGGAGGUUUUUCAGAGGAGCUUCCAAUAUUCGAUUGGAGGUUGUGAAGAAAUUUUAUGAUAGAGAAUACAAUCCAACCAAACACUACACGAUAGUGGAAGGCGAGAGAGUUUAUUUCGAUGCUAAGGCCAUAAACUCAUGGUACGACCUGCCCAAAGAUGCUAAGGCUUUGGGGUAGGUGUUCAAUGAUGCUGAGAUUCUUGGGUAAGUAUUAAUUACCCAACCUUUGAAGAGGUAUAGGCCAGGGAGGCGUUACAAACUAUCGUGUGGCCAGAGGCGGAGUAAGAGAUUAAUCACGUAAUAGUUAAUUGGGAAGUAUAAAUUGUAUCCACACCAGCAAAUUAACUACUAAGGCGAGCGUGUGCCUAUUUUUUUUAUCAAGAAGAAGAUACUUUCCACGCGUCAUGAUAGCACCAUCACUUUGAAGUAUUCAAUGUUAGUCUACUGCAACAUGAAGAAGUUGACGUUUAAUCUUGACGUCGUCAUAAGAGAAGUCAUCCUCGCUUGGAUGGAAAUACCCAAAGGCGGCAUGCCCAUCCCUUCAACCGUUGAGGCUCUUUGUUUGCAAGCCAUCCCAUCCUUGGAAGCCAUCUCACAAGCCAAUCUACCGGGUGGCGUGUUAACGAAACAACCCUCAAUCGCAUAAUAACUCUUCAUUAGAACAAUGAUGAAGAGCACCGCUUGAAAACUAGAGGCUAAAGUAAAGGCUUGGAUGACACAAACGUGAUCUCUCUGCCCCCCACAACCCCUUAAAAGGAAGGUCGCCAUUGUUGUGUCAAGCUCUAAACCCGUUAAAAAGAAAUCUAGAUUUGAUGCGACUAUUGACCUUAAACCUCUCAAAGUCAUUGCAAUGAUAGUUAUUUGUUGUCAUAAAGUAAAAAUUAAUAACAUUUAUUUUCCGUCAUGAAAAAACUUAUUGUGAUGGUUUUUUAAAACUGUCAUGGAAGGACUUUCCACAAUAGACGAUACUAUGACUAAAAAUAACUGUCACGGAUUUUGUUCGCAACAUAAAACAACUGUCAUCUUAGACCAUUUUUGUUGUAGUGUUGCUUCUUCCACUAGUACAAAAUUCGGUUUUAAUGUUGGUUUGCAACCGACAUCUAUAAUUGUGUUAUUAAAACUCUUUAAUAUUGGCUGGGCUUUGAUGUCGAUUUAAAACCGACAUUAAAGAGACCAACAAUUUGAACUUAAAAUUGACAUCAUAGAUCCCCAAAAUGUUAGUUUAAAACUAACAUUAAAGCCUUAUCUUUUGGGUCCAUUUUUACAAAUUUAUUUUUAUUAAAUUGUUGCAUUAUUGUCCAUUUUUUAUGACACAAAAGAGUUAAAAACCGACAUUAUAUGGGUCCAUGUAGAUAAAUAUUUUUUCUUAUGCCAACAAAUAAAAAUAAUAAUAUUUGUUUAGAAACUAUAAUAUUUCUCUUUUUCACGUGUAUAUACAAAAUGAAAUCUUAAUAUUGUGUUUAUAUAUACAUUCUACAGCAGUACACGAAACAAAAUCCUAGUACCAAACUUAAAUAAGAAAUCCUAAAUAUAUUCACAGUCUUCAACCUUCAACGAUUGUUUAGCUAAUUUAUACUCAAUUGUCUGGCUAUCUACAUGAUGACUUAGCUAUUUAUAAUAACAAAGAAAGUGAUCGUUUAGCUACUCCAACGACAAAGAAAGCGAGAAGUUUAACUAUUGAGUUGACUAGCUAAGUACCAUUUACGAGAAUGGGAAAAGUAAAAAAAAAGAAAAAAAAAACUUUCAUAUGGAUGAAAUGAAGAUGCUUGAAGCCUGUAACCAUAAGAAGUUAUGUGAGAAAUAUCAAUAUAUAUAUACCUCAACAUAAUAGUGCAGCCAAUGAAACUGUAAGCAGUAAAGCUUCACUUCCCCCUUCAUUAAAAUAGCCUCCAAAAUCAUAAGGUUUAGCGAGCUAAAUUAAACAAAAUUAAGGGCGAGGAAAAAUAAUACAGAAGAAGUACUGUUAAAUAACAGACUUCGUAAGGGCAGAAUCAAUAUCCAACUUCAUCAUCAAGUAAUAAACCACUAUUCUUUGCUGCAAAAUAAACGCAACAAUCCAUUCUUAAAAGUUAAAACUAUAAACACAGAUGAUAUCAACAAUCCCAAGUCUCAGCUAUGUUAUAUGCCAUGUCCAAUCCUUUUACUUUAAACUAAGUCAUUAUGAGCUUAAGCUUUAGCAUCAGGUUCCCUGCUUGAAGUACCAGGCUCGUUAAUAGGCCCUGCAAGAAAUGUUCUAUCGACUUUUUCACCUUCUUUACAAACUCCAACUUAAGCUUCACAUCAUGAUCAUGAGCAUCUGGCAAAGUCAAUUGUAUGAAGCGUUACCUGAAAAACUAACUGAGUUAAUCGCAAUGCUACUAGUAAGUGAAGCAUUAACUUCUUUUCCUCAAGCUUAUCGUCACUAAAAAUCUUCAGCCUUUCCUCGGCAGCCUCACUGGUAAGACCCUCUUUGCUACAUCUCAGAUUUUCAUAAAACCUCUUUAAUGGGUAUAUUUUCCUGCAGUUAAAGAAAAUGAGAACGCAACCAAAACAAACAGCCAAACACCAAAAUGGCUUCAUGUCUAUAUUUGCAGAUCUUUACAAAUAUUUUCAUCGAACUUUACAAAAUUUUCAUCAAACUUAAUACCAAAAAAAAAAAAAAGAUAAAAAAUAAAUAAUUCAACAACACAGAGUUCGCAAUCAAUCUCACUAAACCACUUAUGUACAGGGAUGGGUAUACUUUUCUAAACUUACCAAAUUUACAGCAUAUUAUUAGUUCUAUAUAUAUAUAUUUCUCAUUGAGCUCUUUUCUAACAUAUAUACCACCGAAUAAAUAUAAGUGAUAUUGAGAUAUAAGCUUACCUAUAUACUAGUUCAUAUGCCUGGACAUCCUUGCAUUCAUCAACAUCUGGACAUGAAUGAUGAGCAAGAGCAUGAACCAAGUAUGGUAAUAUGUAUUCCGGAUAAGCUGUAGCUGAAUUGGUUUCCGAUUGCAUUGACAGGUCGUGCUUUAUCUUGGUGAUGCAUUUGAAUAAUGUCAGCAAGAUUUUGUUUCUUCUGUUAACUCAAAUAGCACAUGAAAUUAACAAAAAUUGAAAUCCUAGCCAACCGAGGCAAUGAGAUGCGUAUUUUCUCUGAUGAAUGAAAAGACAGUUCAAAUCAUGUCUAGUUUAAUUCCUCACCAAACUCAGAUGGAUUGGAACCAUUUAUGUUAAAUAAGAAUUCACAUGCAUCUUUUUGCAGCCAACAUUCAAUCUUUGAUGAACUUUGUUCAAGAAUACUUUUCCCAGCUUGAGGAAACGUGAUCUACAAUAUACCAGAACAUGCAAAAGCACCAGUUAAACUUACAUUCACAAAUAAAACCCUUCUUUAGCAUGAUUAUGACAAGAAUAAGUUUCCAUACUACCUUAUAUGAAAUCAGACCACAUCAAGAAAUUAAAAAGAUCUAAAAAUGUGGCAGUUUGAAAGACAAACUUUCUAUGGACUUGCCUAUGGUGUUUUUAUGGUUAAGUGAAAGGUACUAAUUGUAUCUUUAUCAUCCCAUUGCUUAGAUAGUCGAAAAAUAAUUUCAAAAUAAUAAAAUUUUAAUUUUUGGGUGUUUCAUGUUUAUUAAUUAACGUGUUUUUAUUGUUAUUAUUUUUGUUAUCUCAAUUUAUAAAAAUUGAGGCUUUAUAAUCACACGUGAAAAUAAUAUGAACCAUGGACACAAAAAUUCUAAUUUAAUGAGAACAAAUUAUACUUAAAUUAUAAUCAACCAAUUAACGAUUUAUAUUUUAAUUGACGACCAAGAAUUAAUGGUUUGAACGGUAUAAAAAUAUUAGAAAAAUUUUUAAAAAUAGCAAAAUAAAUUAAAAUGUUUAUAAACUAUAGCAAAAUUUUAGAUUCUAUUACUGAUAUUUUUCUAUCACUAUAACAUAUGAAUGACUAUCAGUAAUAAAAUUUGCUAUAGGUUGUAAAUAUUUGGUAAAAUCUACUGUUUUCUAAAAAAAAUCAUAAUAUUAGAUUGUUCUCUCAUCCCCGUAAAGAAAGAUUCAUUUAUAAGAAAAGAGACUAAAGAGAUGAAACAUAAGAAAACAAUGUGGGAGAUCAAUUUGUCUAAUAUUUAAGCUUUGCAAUAUGAAUUCUUUAAUACUUCCCUUGUAAGUUUGAGAUUGUGAUGUACCCAUUUAUACCAUUAUCAACCAACUAAAUUGAUGAAAAUCCAAUAUAUUGAUAUAAAGAAAAACAUUAUUGAGUGUAUAUUAUAAAAAUGAUAACACAUGUGUAUAUCAUAUAUAAAUUAAACAAAGAAACAAGAUAUGUAUGGUAAUAACCAUACGAUAUUGAGAAAGAAAAAUGAAGAAAUAAUUCUGGUAUGUGUGUGUCUAUGAAUCAAUCAUUCUGCUCCCUCUAUGCUUGCUUUGAUUCGAAGUUGAACGUUUCGAUUAUUCAAAGGUUGCAGAGGCCUCGCAUUAGUGUUCGAGUCCUGCAAAUAUAAAUCAAUUUUAAACUUCAUUAUAUCUUGAAACUAACAAAUUUUAGCUUUAUGCAUCCUAUCUUUUGGAUAAAAACAUUAGAUGCAGAACUAAAUUUGUAAUAAAAGAAGAUUGUUUUAGAAGAAGUUAUCUCACUUACAUCAUGGACGGCCACACGAAGUAAGUUUACUUGUUCGGGUGCAACAGUCCUAACCUAUAGAAUUUAUAAGAAUAAUAAUUUAGGCACAAAAACAACAUAUCUUAUUAGAGAAUAGUCGAGUAGCUGAUAUAAGAUUGGAAAUAGAGAGGUAAUUGAAAAAUACCUUUCUGACUAGGGUCCAAAGCACAUUUUGAGAACAUGGAGGAACUGUUAAAGAGCCAAUAUAUCUAUAAUAUAAACUACUUCGCAUCCUUAACAGCGAUGGAUUGACCACGUUCAAUAACCUAUCUCUUUGUGUACCUGAUAUUUCUAUCAAAUGUGGUCUCAUCUGGAAAGGGAAAUAAAUAGUACAAUUCUUAGAACUUUGUGAAAUAGAUUAUAUAUUUUCAAUAUAUCUACGUCGAAAAAAUUGGAAGGGGAAUUAUUGUAAAAUACAAACAUGUGAAAAUGUAUACAAAAUAUUACCAAUGAUAGACACAUAUUGUACAAAUUCAUGCAAUCUAACUUCUAAAAGAAAUUAAUCUGUCAUACCAAUUUUUUUUAUAAAAAAAAGAUCGAUUUUAAAGUAUGAUUACCUAUGUUUUAUUAAUAGAAAUAUGCAUGGAAAAAAGAAAUUAUGAUCUUUAAAAGAGCUGGUGGUUAAAGGUUUUGAAAGAUUACCGUAGACAAGAAGUAGUCAGGUUGUCCAAUAUUAUAGAGAAUUCCAAUGACAGCAAUCUUUCCUGUUUGGCUUUGGUGAACCAAAUGAGCUUCUAAAGCAAACCUUCUUCCAUUGAUAGUGUGUUCAGAUGGUGAAUGCCAAUGAAUUUGUCUUAGAAAAUACUGAGUUUUAUUUACUUCCAUAUAUCCAGCUCUACCACUCCAUUGUAACUGCAUGCAUUCAUCACAAUAAUUAAUAUGUCUAUAUGUUAAAAUCUUUUUUUUUUUUUUUCAUUCUAAGCAGGAUAACGUUAAAGAUUUUUAAAUGAAGCCGAAAUAGGGUUUAGAGAUGUUAUUCUGGUUACCAUUAUAUCAUGUCCUCGAUUCUUAAGAGUUGCAUUUGAAGAGCUAUAGUUGAUUUUGAGGUCUGUAAAAUGAGACACAAUACGAACUCUUUGGUUCAACAAAUCGAUAGGAGAUUGCAUUUGUCCAGUGUUACAGGUAUGCCAUUCUGGUCUAAGAACUCCCCAAUGUGCAGGUCCUCUCGUUCCAUUUGCAUUAUAAUCGAACUCUCUUUGAUUUUCUAGGUGCAUACCAGAUAGAAACAAAUGGGUUGGUAAGUAAAUUCCUCCACAAAUAUUGAAUUCAUAUUAACCGUUUUUUCAUGGAUGAAAAUCGAAAUCUACAAAUUAAAUGCAAUCAUCUAAUCAGUUUUUUAUAUUUUUCAUUUGACUUUUUUCCAAAAAAAAAAAGUUUUUAUUAUUUUUCCUUAGAUAAGAAAUUUUCAUUUUUUUUUGUUAGAAAACAACCGUUUUAUAUUUCAAACAUAGAGUUCUAUAUUCAUUAUAAAAAAACUAAUAGCUAGAAAUUUAAACAUCAAAUUUUCAUAUUCGAAUCCAUUUAGAUCUUUUAGUUAUAACUAUCUUCGCUUAAUUUCAUUAAGAUCAACUAUAAUUGUCGAUAUAAAAUUAUUUCUACGUAAAUAUUAUGAAAAUUUUCUUAAAUGAGCAAGGACUGCUUGUAUUAUUAGUUUAUGUGAAAAUUUGUUUGUGUUAAUCUUUUCUAAAAAUUAUAUUAUAAAUUUAAUUUAAAUAAUUGUCAUUAAUAUUAGAUUAUUUGCACUUAAACUAAUACACAUGAAAAAUAUACACUUAAAACUCUCGGUUAGUAUUGGUGCUUGUGCUAUCAACCUCGUAGUUUCUCCUACCUCACAGGUUAACGUAAUAAUUUUGUAAAAGUGAAAGAAAAAAAGAGAAGACUUUUAUAAAUUUCUGUAAAAAGCUAUAAAUACCAAAUAUUUACAAAUUAUAUAUAUAUAUGAUAUACUAAGAUAAACUAUAUUUAUAUGUGUUUAUAGACCAUCAUUUUGUUAGACACAUAUAUUGGUCCGUUACAAAUAACCAUAGAUAGAUUACACUAUUUUAUUAUAUUUAUAAAUAUUAUCAGCUAUUUUUUCCUUUAAAUACUUUUCUUUAAAACUAAAUACUAUGAAAAACUGACCAAAUAUUAUAAGCGUGGUUAGAGACAAAUUGAGACAAAUGUUAUUCUAAAAGGAAACUUAGAUCAAAUUAAAAAAUAAAAAUAAAAGAGACAAAAAUGCAUGGUUGGUUCUCACAUUUACAAUCUAUAUGACUUUUAAAGUUCGAAAAUAAUAAGCAUGGUUAGCCCCUCUUAAACUAUUUUUUAAAACAUCCUGAAUUGAAAGUGUUUAUUUUCAAAUUUUAGAAACAAAUAAAAGUCCAAACUCAAUUAAUCUUUCAUGUAAUUUGCCUUAAAAGAAACUAACUCUAAUAGAACUCAUAUUAAAAAUAACAAGCAUGAAUCCCUACCAACUUCUUGAGACAUAGCUGGCCAUGGAACCAAAAGAAAGGCAAAGAAAAAUGAGCAGAACAACAGAUCAAAACUCAGCUUCUUCUCCAUCUUCUAAUUAUAGAACUUUAUUUCUUUUCUGUAUAUAAUUUCUUUGUAUAACCAAUCAAACCCAAUCUUCUCUUUUGGUUUGUUGGUCUUUUAGAACAAAAACUUCGGUAUUUAUAAUGCCAAAACCUGGAAGUGUGAAUGCAAAGAUUUUGAAGCUUCUGAGUUCCUUCCAUAGUCAAUUUCAACCAAGUUUGAAAAUAGGGAGAAAUAAGGCAACCAAAUUAAUUGUUGGGCAACCACAUCGUCAUCACAUAUACAUAAAUAAUUAAUGGUUAUUAGAAACAAGAUGCUGCCGUACCAUUUCUUUCACAAACUACAUAUAUAGGUGGUCCUUCAAUAUUCUGUCUACCUCGCGAUGAUUCCAGAUUAUUUCAUGUUUGUGAUAACUUAUUUCUAUACGUACGACUUAUUUGUCGUUACUUCAAAUGAUUUAUUGGUUAUUUUUAUGCAUGUAACUUUUGUUUUAUCAUGCACUUACCAUUACAAAUUAAAUCUUCUAUGUCAAUAAAAGCAAAUGUGUGUAUAGCAAUGACGGUGGAUAAAAUUAGGUUAUAAUGAUGUUUUGUGACCAACGUUAGUUAGCAAAGCUUACCAAAGUGAUAAACUAACAGACGUUUAAUAUGCGACACUGUACACAUAUUUUCCUUACCAACCCAUUUAUAUAUAUACACACACACCAUCACAACUCUACUUAUCGACAAUGAAUAUUAUGAUAUAUAAAUUUAAGAAACUAUAAUGUAAUAUAUUAAGUUUUUAAAGUUAUGUGAAUGUAAUAUUAUUUUCACUAUUCUUUACACAUGGAAUAUUAUUGUUCCUGUUAGAAAAACUGUAUAAUUUUUUAUUUACAUGAAAGAUCGUAUUUGAAAGCCGUAUAAAGGAUUUAAAUUUCGCCCUUUGAGCUACUUCAAUUUUGUGACACCACACGAUUUUGGUCUCUCUUUUAAUGGAUCACUCUAGGAACUUGAACUCAACUCAAGACAUCCUCUCUCUCUAUCUCUAGUAUGAAAUUAUCUUAAAUAAUGGAUUGAAUCAAAAACUUGAGCGAAUAGAUAAUGAUAAAUUUUAAUAUAUUAUAUCAUCUAGCACUUUAAAUUUUUGUUAGGAGAAUUAUUUUUAAGUAAAGUGUUUAAGAUCAGUUUGUGAGCUUUUGGAUUUAUUUGCAGUAGUUUUCCGUUAGGAAUGGAAGAACUUAAGGUUGUCUUGAGAACUCUGAAAUUAUAAUUUUGUUUAAUUAUUUAAUUUGAAAGGUUGGAUUGAAGAAAAUAUAUAUUUUUCCAAAUACUCCUUUUCAAAUCAAACAUUUAUGCAUAAUUCCUUUUGUGUUUAUGGGAGUGCAGAAAUAGUCUCCUCUCACACUUCUCUGGUAAGCAAACAAUUCCAUGGUUUGGGUAAAUAUAAGCUUUAUACUUUGCAAUAUAUAUAAUUUCUUUUUAGGCAGAAUUCAUUUAUUUUAAGUUCUUUCUAUUGAAAAUUUGUAAAAGAUAGCAAAAUCGACAAAACUUCAUAGAAAAGUAAGUAUAAUAAAUUUUUUGUCCUGGACUUUUUUGUUAUUUUUUUAAAAAUUCCUUCUUUAUUUUGUACUUAAACAAACAUACCCCAUUUGUUACCGUCUCUUAGGAAAAUAAUUAUAUGAGCCUCCAAAUAGAGAAUAAGUUCUCAAUCUUUGUAUUCUGCAGGUGUGUAUAUAUACUGUUUAAUGUACAUUGGCUCAACAAUUUGUCAUGGUUUCUUUAUUAUGAGUUCAAGUGAAUUAGUUAAUUUUUCUGUUUGAUGAAAUCUGAGUUAUGUAUAUUAAAGGAAUUGAUAUUUUAUUUUGUGCAUAUAUAUAUAUACAGGUAAAUGAAAAAAUAUUUCUAUUUUAUUUCUCACUCGUGUUUUUUCAAUAAGCAAAACGAUGACAAACAUUGUCUCUUACCAAAAAAAACAUUAAAAUGUAUGAAAGAUACAAAAGUAAAGGGUAAGAAGAGGCCAUAAUACAGAGAUAAUGGAUUAUAAGUUCAAAUUAAAAUGGUGAAUAUUGAUUGGGGCAGACAAUUGAAAUAUCAACGACUGCAAAUUAGCCUUUUAUUGGUUAAAGAAAAUGUUAAAUAUUUACCAGAAAUCAAACUUUUGGUUUCAAAUAAAUACUUUAAAGAUAAAUUUUUAAAGUUGGACAUCUUAAGUAAUUUUGAUGUGGCUGUCAUUUUAGAUUAAUAUAUUUGUUCUAAAUAAAUAAUCUGUAAAAGAUGUUUGUUUCAUUUGCAGGUGAUGUAUUGAUAAGAGGAAAAUGACCCUCUGGUGAAAAAAAUGUUUAGAAAUGAUAUUUUGUUACCUAUAAUAAAAUUAUUCAUGUAAAGGAAGAAACUACUAAAAAAAAUAUCCGUAAAAUAUAGUAGAAUUUGAGUAUAUAGUUUCUAUCAAAAUUUAUAGAAAGAUUAUAAAUAUUUGUAGAUAGACCCUAAUAGACACUCAAGAAAUUGAUAAAGAUAAGUCUAUCCAUAUUUAUAAUUAAAAGAGUCGAUUAUAUUUUAUAAAUAUUUUUAUUUAUAAAUGGUCUACAACAAAAAUGGUCUACAGCGAUUGUUAUUUUCUAUCUCGAACAAAAUCUUUGACAGUUAUUUACAGUUAUAGUAUCGACUGUUGUAGAAAGUCUUUUUAUGAUAGUUUUAAAAAAUUGUCACAAUAAGUUUUUUCAUAACAAAUAAUAAAUGUCAUUAAUUACUAUUUUAUGAUAACAAUUAACUGUCAUAUUUUAUUUUAUGACAAUAAAUAACUACCAUCAUUUGCAUAUUAACGACAGUUAUAAAAAUGUCAAUAAUUCGUUUAUUAUGACAUUUUUUAUCUGUCAGUGAUAUGUCAAUCGUGACAAUUUUUUAUAAAAAUAAAUGUCAUCUUUUCGAUAUUGACGACAGUUACAAAAAUGCCACGAAUUCGUAUAUUAUGACAUUUUUUUCCUGUCAAGGAUAUGCCAAUCGUGACAGUUUUUUUAUAAAAGCAAAUGUCAUUGUUUCGCUAUUGACAACAGCUACCAUUACACUAACCAUUUGUAUAACAAUAAUGUUCUAAUACAUCAUACCCAUAUAGAAAUAAAGAGUGAACACUUUAAUAUAUGUACGCUAUAAUACAUUUUGAAAUAUUCAUACAACCAUUGACUAAUAACCUUUUUUUUUUUUUUUUUGUUAAAAGGUAGUUUACAUACAAAAAGAAUAAACAUUAACAUCUUUAGGUACCAACAAACUUAAAAUCAAAACAUUGGAAUCAAGAUUUUUCUACUAACCAUACAAAAAGCUCUAUAUCAAUCCAUUGCUCCAUGUUGGCUUCACUACUCCAAUGGAUUCUUUCAAACAUAAUAAGAACACAAAAUCUCAUUUUAGAGUAUGACUAAAUAACAUAGUCUAAGCAAAUCAAUUCACAAGUAAACAAAAACAGUUAAAACGGACAAGGUAAAGAAAUGAUACACCACUACAAAUAAAAUGGCCUACUAUCACUUACUUGGUAACUUAGAAUUUGGAGGAAGUUUGAUAGAUUCAUGUUAUCAGUGUUGAUACAAUUGUCUACCAUCAUUUUAGAUUCAUGUUAUCAGUGUAGUAACAUAUUCCAAUUUCUAAGCCAAAAUAAAUAAAUAAGAUGCGUAAUUGGAGAUAUUGAUUUAAAGUUUUCAUCAACUUGAAGGUGCAGAAAAAACAAAAAUACAGCAAGCAUCAACAUAGUUUGUUUUAAGUCUUCAUAUCCAAUUGAAAACAAAGUGAGGACUAGCAAUCUUUAUAGAGAUAACCAACAUUCAAGUUUUCACAUUUCAUGCCAAUGUCUACAUAGAGCACCAACAUUCUAAGAUUUUGUAACACAGAUACAAAUAAAUACAUCUCUCCAAAUCAUAGAAGGAAAAUGGUGGCAUACCUCUGGAUGGGAACUCACAAAUUAUGAUUGCAUAUACUGGUAUUCCUUACUCUCUACUAGGACACCAAAAUUGAAAGAAAUAUGAAGUUCUAGCUUUAUGCAGCUGAUACGCUUAUCAAAGACCACAACUUUCUUAAACAUAAUUUCUUCCCUUAAAAUAAACUUCAAUUGAGACAAAUGACGGUAUGAAAACCUUCUGCAAUCAUAACCAUCAAUUUUAGAAUUAAAGAAAAGAGCUUAGAUACGAACUCCACCCUUUCAGAUUUAACUUCAUCAAUGUCACUUUGAGAAUACUUACGGGACUUAUAAGUACUUAUUUAGUUAAAAGAAAUCAAGUGUAACAUAUUUGGUCACCAUGUAAUGCAACUAAUAUGAAGGGAAGCAUACAUACAUAUAAAGUAUACAAAAUAAUUUGAUAAGUACUUUUUCCUAGCGAGUUAAUAUAUAUAUAUAUAUAUAUAUAUAUAUAUAUAUAUAUAUAUAUAUAUAUAUAUUUUUUUUUUUUUUUUUUUUUUUUUUGUUAUAUUAAGCAUAUAAAGGGAGGGACUUUAACUUAACAGUAAUUGACUAAGUGAUUAAAUCCUUCCUCUCUAUAUUUAGUAUACUGCAAAAAAAAAAUCCAAUUUCAACCUAAUUUUUACCAUACACAAACAAAUUCAAUGGUCAACUUUUAAUAACCAAUUUUUAGGGGAAAAAGCUAUUAGAUUUUGAGGUUUUUUUUUAAAGAACAAAAAAAAUAAACAAAAUACAUAUACAUCAUAACAAAACAAUCUCCUUUUUAAACAUAACAAAACUUAGACUCAUCCAAACUAACUUUGAUUUUGUUAUGCAAUUCACAUAAAAGCUAAAAUUACCAAACAAUCCAAUAGUUCACCAUCAAAAUAAAAGUCUCUCAAUAAUCAAUUUCAAGCUAAAAUCACCAAACAUUCCAAUAGUUCACAAUCAAAAUAAGAGUCUCUCAAUAAUCAACUUGUUUUUUCAGUUCAUUUUCCAAAGUAGAAUCAAAUUCUCCACAAUCUAACUCUAAAGAACCAGUAAGAAACACUAAAAUUCAUCCCAACUCCAUAUUCAUAUCCUUUCUCACACAGUUUAGAAAUUUGAGCAUCUACCAAUUGUAACUCAAAGAUCUCCAACCAUAAUAAAAAGAUUCUCUUCGGAAGUCUAACAACCAAAUUCUACUUAUACCAUCUAUCUAUCUUCAAAUCAGAGGUGAAAUAUAUAGAAAAUACCUAAAUCGAAGGCGGCGAAAGAGUUGGAUUUAUGAGAAACUCCACCAUAUGUAGCAAUCUAUUCUAAUUUAAAUAGUUUGCAUUAUGCAUUAACACAAUUUAGAGGAUCAUGAAAACUUCUAUAUAAUUAAUUAAUGACAUUAUGAGUUAACAUUCAUUACAUAGUCAAUAAUAACAAUCCUAAACCUCGUUGGCUAAUGUUUGCAUUAAUCCUAAACCAUUUUUCGUUAUAUGGAUUAAAGCUUUAUGAGAAUGUGAUGAGCAUGUUGAGUUCUAGAUUCAAAAGGACACUAAGAUGAAAGAAUCCUUCGUAGGAUCUGAGAGAGUAAAGUAAUUUAAAUGUGCCUCCUCUUUAAGGCUCACAAUUUAAAUUAUCUAGUUAAACACUGAAACCAUAUUUAGAAGUUCAAAUAAAAUAUAAAGAGAAAAGUCAUUCAAAUGCAAGAAACCAUAUAAUUUUUUGUUGCAAAUAAUAGUAGUAUAAUCAACAAACAAGAGAAUAACCCUAUAAAGUAUAAAAUUUAACCUUAUAUGAAUCAACAAAACAAUAAGCAGUAUCUAGAAAAGCAUGAUGAAUUAUUGUGGAUAACUGUAGUCAUACAAACAAGUCAAAAAGGGAGAGAGAAGAAGAAGAGAGGGGAAAAUAAAAAUGAAUCAAUGUAGAAAAUUCACCUGAUUGAAGAAAUCAACAGUUGAAAUAACCAAAUGAAUGUUUAAGUAUUGGAACAAUAAGCAAAUGAAUGUUUCACUUUAAAUUUCAAAUUAAAAUAAAGUGAAAUUUUAUUUAAUUUAUUAUUAUUUUAAAUAGAAAAUAAAAUUGACGAAACAAUCAAAGUUGAUUAAUAAAAAGGGUAAAUAUCUAAAAAUAUAUAUAAUCCAAUCUUGAAUUCAUAUAGUUGUAUCACUUAGCUUACUACCUCAAACUCAUAAUUGUGUUAAGUAAUUACAUUUUUACGGCUUUAUAAGUGAAUUAAUUAGACCAUCCAACAUGAAGAUUUUGUUUUAAAGCUAUUGUUGUCAUCUUCUCUUUUUUCCUAAAUCUAUUUAAAAAGAAUUAUACAAGGAUUUUUUUUCAAUAAAAAAAAUUACCUAUAUUGUGUGGACUUUUGGAAGAAGAAUAAUUUAAGUAAUUUUGAAUUGAUUUUAAAAUAAAUAAAAAAAACUAAUAGAAUUUUCUAGGUUGAAAUGACAUAUAUUCUGGCAUUUGAAAUAUGUGGGAAUUAUUAUGGAAUUUCUGUUUGAGAGGGAAAUUUCAUGGAAACUUUCAUUAUAUAAGAGGUAAUGUCCAUGAAACUAACCCUUCUCUCAUUUGAAAUUAUAGAUCAUAAAUAAUUGAGAAUCCAAAUAGACUAUGGACCUAUCCAAUUAGACGAUUUUGUGCCAUUUAAAAUUUGUGGAUCAACUUUUUGUUUUUUUUUUCUUAUUUUCACUUUCUUCUUUUUUUUUAAAUACAAUACAUACUUGGAGAUUUAAAUUGCAGACCUCUUGAUCGAUAACGUAUAUUAAUACGUCAAUAAAACUAUAUUUGCUUUGAUGGACUUAAAAUUCUACUAAUGUAUGGGAAAAAAAUAGAUCUUUGUUGGUGUAUUAGUGCUUUGUUUUUUUUAUUUAAUUUAUAGUAGUUAUGUAAAAUAAAAAAUGAGUUCACGUAUUUGAUAGCAGCAAAAAUGUGUUAUCUAAUCUCAAUUAAUUCGAGAUCGUUUUUGUGAUUUUUAUAUUUCAAUUUGAUUAUUUUAUAGGUUAAUCCGUGAGUUACAUAGGUAGAAUCGAGUAUAAAGGAGAAAAAAAUGAAGCUAAAAUGGACCAAUUUGGAGUCAUGGCAAAGAAAUUAGGCCAAAAGACUAAAAAAUUACACUAAAAGGGAUGCAAAAUUUUCGCUUUUGUGACAGUUUCUUGUACCUUGUGACGCUAUUGCACGCAUAUAAAUCUAUAACUUCGAUUUUUAGGUUAUAACUUUUGAUCUAAGGGGCUAUUUUGCAUGUAUGACCACUCACUUUGUUAGACCCGUACCUAAGUAAGGAGGUCAAUUUGGGACCAAGUGUUUUUGAAGAAGACGUUUUGAAAGAAAGAUGCGAUGAGAAGCUGGUGUUGAGUUUGUUCGUGAGAAAAUAAGGGAUGUGAUAGGACUUAUGGCAUUUCAAAUUUAGCCUCCCCUUUAUUCUCUUUGCAUUUUUUAAAAUAAUUUAUACCAAUUUUUUAGAUUUUCUUGUAGUUUCAACAUUUUUUGCCUCUAUUUGUUCUUUUUCAUUUAUUUUAAGAAUGUUUGGGUUUUUUUCAUUUGGUUCUAUUCUUCUAUUUAUACUCAUGGUUUACGUUUGAUUUUGUUAAUUCUAUUCAAUUUUUUAAAAUCACCAUUGGCAUGAGAUUUUUGGUUUCUAUAUAGUUAUUGAGUAUUUGACGAGUAUGAUGGAAUGUUUAAGUAAUCAAAUAAUAAUCAUAUUGUAGUUGGUAUUAGUAAUCAGCAAUGGACUUAUUAAAUUUUAUUUUUUAAAGAAACAAUAAACAGAAUUCACAAUCAAUAUCAAAUAUUAUUCAAAUAACAAUCGAAUAGUAAUCGAUAUCAUUGUCAAUCAAAUAAUUGCUAGUAUUAAAUAGCAAUUAGACAACAAUUAUGUAACAAAUAAGUAUUAUAAGCAAUCAAGAUAAGACCCGACAAGAAUAUGUAAAUUUGAAUUUACAAAUCAAAGAUAUAGUUGUUCUUUUAGUACUUUUUAGCAUAUUAAAACACAAAGGUUUGGUACUUAAAAAACCUAAUUUUUCAAGUCAAACAUUGAGAAUUGUCAUUUGACCUUCAAUGUUUCCCGAAAGAAAUAAAUUGAAGUCACAUGAAGUUAGAAAAAUAAAUAAAUAUAUAUAUAAUCGAUAUCAAAUAUCAAUCAAACAACUAUCAAAUAACAAAUAAAUAUAUAAUAACAAUUAGAUAACAAUCAAUAUCAAAUAACAAUUAGACGUGUCAAAUAAAAAAAACUAAUCAGAUGUCAAUUAGAAGGCAAUCAACUAAUAUAAAAAAGGUACUAUGAAAAAUAUAACAAUUGAAAAGUAACCAAAAGACUUCAUAAGCUAACUAAAAUUGAAAAAAAAAAAAUCAAAUGUUUAUCUUAGAAGGUUAGCUAAAAUUGAGAAGAAAAAAAAUAGAAAAUAAUCGGAUGACAAUCCAAAGGUAAUCAAAUGAUAAUCAGGCGGUAAUCAAAUGAUAAUCAGACGGUAAUCAAAUGACUAACCAAGUAUUUUGUUAUUAUGAUUAAGCUUCCUAUGGUCAUUUUUCAUAAUGGCAAUAGAUAGGAUGAUCAACAAUGUUAUGUAGAUUACAAAAAUAGAUGUUAAUCAGAAACUACUUAGUAAUUGCCCAAAUAAAUGUAAGGUAAUCAAAUGUCAAUCAUAAUGCAAUAAAAAAAAUUCUUACCCAAAAAUUCUUAAUCAAAUGUCAAUCAUAAUUGCCCAAAAAAAUGAAAGGUAAUCACAUGACAAUAUAAUGGUAAUUAGAAACUACUUAAUAAUUGGCAAAAGUUAGAAGAUAAUUAAAUGGUUAUCAAAAUCUACUUUAGUCAUUAUAAAAAAAAAUGUAAGGUCAUUGGAUAGUCAUUAGUAUCUCUUGUAAUUAAAUAACAACCAAUAUUCUAAUUAAAUAACAACUAGAUGGUAAGUCGAUAUCAUUAACAAUCAAAUAAUAGUGAGCAUCAAAUAUCAAUUAGACAGUAAACAAAAAAAACAAUCAAAUAGCAAUCAACAUCAUUGAUAACAAAUGUUAAUCAGAUGAAAAUCCGAUAUCAAUCAGACAAUAAUCAAAUAUAGUUUCACAUUUUUAACUAUAAGAGCAUUUUAGUCAUUCGACAGUUUCAAUUCGGUUGGACUUGUUAGUCAUAGGACGUUUCAAUUGGAUUGAGUUUGUUAAUUUGUCGUUUCUACAAACUUUAAAAUAUUAGAUCGUAAACUUAAUUUUCAUUUUAUAUUUUGUAACGAUAAUAAAUGCGUGUAAUCUUUUAAAUGUAUGUGCUUAUUGUUUUGUUACGACUACAUUAGUUAUACUUGCAUAUUUAAGGGACGGGUGAACAAAUGGCUAAAACAGAAUGAAAAUAUUUGCCUACUAUUUAAAAAUUAGCAAACAGACGAAAAUAUUUCUACCGUCAAAUCCCCGUAUACAUUAAGGGUGUGUUGGGGAGGGAAAGAAAAGGGUUAUCAUAAUCCUUCCUCAAUUCUGUCCAUCAUUCCUCAUUCCUUAUUCCUUACUCGAUUCUUUCUUAUUCCUUCUUAUUCUUUCCUUAAUCCAUAUCAAUCAUUUCUUAUUUAUAAUUUAUAAAUUCAAGUUUAAAUACUAUUUAAUCCAUUUUUUUUCAAAUGUACUUACGAGUUUGGUUAGUUUUAAUAUUUUUAUUUAAAAAACACAAUUUGUUUUUAAGUUAUGAAUUUGGUACAAUUACAUUAGUUUAAAAUUUUAAUUUCUUCUUUUAUUCUUGAAUUAGGUAAUUUGUUGUGAUUGCACAGUUUGACCCGUACUUUCUUUUUGCUCAUGCAUUAUGAAAACUAAGACGGUUUUGUAAAUUAAACAUACGAAAUUUGUGUUUUGGAUUUAGAAUAUGAAUUUUAAAAAAAUACAUCAUAAUACUACUGUCAUAAUUCUUUUCCCAAAUGCAUACAUUCGAACUAUUAUAAUACUAAGAUUAUCAUAACACUAAUCCUACCAUAAAUCAACCAUUCCCCCGACAUCUCCAAGUAUUUCUAACAAUCUAAAACAAGAUCUAGUGAACUAAAUUGCCAAUUGUGAAACGAAUGAAAAGAAAAACCUAAAACGGCCAAAAUCAAAUAGUAAAUCAAAUGGAACUUUUAGUCCUUAAACGAAUCUAAAAUAAUAUCACUAAAACAAAAUCGAUAUCAAAUGAAGUCGAUCUCAUACUACCUUCUGCAAAAGUAAAAAGCAACUUCAACUUUAGUAUGAUUACCUUAUAUUAACUAUAAUCUUUCUUCAUAUUUUAUCAUCCACCUAAGAACAACUUAAAUCCAGCUAAAAAACAAACAAACUUCAUCAAGUCAUUACAAAACGAAAAGUAUUUUAUUCCCAAAAUACUUUGAAGCAUAGGUUCCUUUUGCCAUUCUUCAAUAAUCUUCGAGGAUGCAUUUAAAUGGCCCAUGCUGGGAACUUCAACAAACCAAAUUAAAAACACUUCAAGAAAACAUUUUAUUAAUCAGUGUAAGCAGAUUCCAUAUUCUUCUUCAAAAUCCAUGCAAGUCAAAUUUGGUUAAAAGAAGAAAAUAACAGUUUAUUCUGCACAACAUUUGUUUAUGAGAAGAUAAAAAAAGGCAGAUGAUACAGUUUCAAGUCUCGAGCAUCGCCGCUUCCUUCUUUCUUCUAUAUAUUUGAACGACCAACUCGAACUUGAACCCUAUGCCAUGAGGUGUUGAGUAUACCUCUUAAAUUCCAUAUCUCUUCCACUGUUCCAGGUUGCACAUUUGCUGCUGAAUCAACCUGCAUUUCAUUUCGAAAUUCGACUAAAAGCUUUGCACACUUAUAAACAAACUUAGAUACAUCAGCAGCCCAACAACCAAUCACCCAUUUUUUUCAAUCAAAGAGACUUGCAGCUUCGCACUAGUUAAAUUUCUAGGCAUCAAAUAAGGGACUUACAGCUUUAGCAAUGAUUUCAGUGUUCCGUUGGACAUUGAGUGUGACCUCGAAAAACACCCAUGCCCACUUGUCACUGCUCGGACUAUCAGCGACGUAUGGGACACCAACCUUCUGAGAUCUGGAGGCUUCAAUCCAGUUUUUACCUCCAUCAACAGAUAUGUCUACUCUCUCUAUUCCCCGACCACCUCCUGACACUGCGUAACCACUAACUGUAACCUGACAUACAUUUGAAGAUCACCAUCACAUUUGCUUGUUUAAAGUAGCCACACGGCGCUAUAAAUUAACUUCAAGAGAGUAAGAUGAAAACUAUUUUUAUUAAACAAUGUAAAAGAGAUGAGAACGAGAUUAUAAAUAUGCAAGUAGAGCAAUAUUCUGCAGGAAUUUCUGAUUUACAUGUCCCAAAUUACGACUUAACCUGGACAGAGAAAGGCAGAAGAUUGGAGGCUCUUAGAUCUGAAAUAGGAAAUACUUUGCAUAGAUCAUCAUCUGUAUUUUAUAUAUUCGACUAUUCAUUGAAAUUACAGAAACAAACUAACCUUUCCAGGCUUUAUAUGAUCUACAUCCUCCAAAGAACAUAUGACACACUGCAAUUCAGUAAGUUCAACCGCAUUAGACUAGUCAGGUCAAUUUGGACAGUGACAACAGAGAAUCAAACCCUGAAAACUUUGUUGGGCGUAUGCUCAAAGUAAAUAAUGAGAGCAAAGUAAAUAAUGAGAGAGGGUGAUCCUUAAGGUUUGUUGGGUGUGCACGAUCUUGUGGAUUUUGUAGCAUAACUGGAAUAGUAGGGUGAUUUGGGGUGUGGAAAGAGACCAGGGUGAUUUGGGAUGUGGAAAGAGACCCUACAGAGAAGUUCCCUCAUUUGCUUUCUAGUCUCUUUGUGGGUCUCAAUUAUGAAUUUUUUUUGUAACCAUCCUAUAGUCACGAUUUCACAUAGUUGGAGUCCCUGUACGUGAAGGAUGCUCCCUACAUCUGUCGACUUGUCUUUUUGUUUGUCUGUCCCUACAUCUGUCGACUUGUCUUUUUGUUUGUCUGUGCAUUCUUUCAUUUCUUUUUCUCCAUUAAAGAAGUUGUUUUUAUAAUAAUAAUAUUUUAAAAAUAAAUAGAGUAAAUGACGAGGGAGAACUAUUUUCUAAUUUUCCUAAUCAACGCAAAAUUGAGGAGAAGGAAUAUAGUACAAACCUGAACAGGAAAAUCCAUUUGAGGCCUCCUGGUCGACCAAUCAAUAUUAUCCCAAUUUACGGAAGGCGGAAACAUUUUGUAGUCUUUUUGCAUAAAGAAACCCUGCAAGACAAUGCCAUGAACUCAAUUAUAAAGAACGCAAUUUCUUGAGGAAAAGAACCAAGUUUUAAAUUUCACAUUUCCUACCUGACAUUCCUCUGCAAUUAUGUUAAUAGAAUCGAUCCAUUUAACAGAGCGAGCACCGAUAACACCCGGGACAACCACACGUAAUGGAUACCCAUGAUCCCUGUUAAGAGUCUUUUGUGAAAGAGUAAAUAAUAUCAAGUAUAGUAGAGCGGCACAAUAAGCAACGUAACAGCAUGAGAUUUAGAAGUUAAACUUCUCCCACCCCUUCAACCUAUAUUUAUAAAAGCAACGAUGUGAUUACUCAACAUUAAAAGGAAUACUUGUAGAAAAGUUCCAACAAGCAUUAAUAAAAACUACAAUAACCAAAAAACAAGAAAAUUAAUUAAGGCAAUCCCAUUUGAUCAAAUUGAGUUCAUUCAUUGUUGUGUAAUCAUUCCUUUUACAAGUGCAUUGUUGUGCAAUCAUAUAUUUGAUAUAUUGUCUAUUAAGUAGGAGAGACGAGGAGUUUAACAUGGCAGGUAUUUCAAUACGUAAAAAUGUACUCCUAACUUGUUUAAAGCAAUAUAACUUACUUCUCCAUUCAUUUCGUAAGCCAGCAAAACAUCGGCUUCAGGAUCUGAAGCUUGGCUAAGUGGAAUUGAUCCCUUAUAUGGGCCUCCCUUUUCUUCCUGUACAUGAUAACCGUAGUAAUCAGAAUUAUUGGUCUAUAUCCAUACAUAAUUCCUUCAAACUAAAGCAAGUUAACUUUCAAUAACAUCAGUCAUAUCUUCUUCAAGACAUGCCCUGUUUUUUCCAUCUUCUUUUUGAAACGAGCAUCUAAAUUUGCCAUCGUUGUACCUUGCAUCUAUCAAUGCUCACAAACUCAACAUGUUUUCCACCUUUUUGUGUCCUAUAGCUGUACUUAGGUAUUCCAACAAGUUCAAGAACAUCAGCCAAUUUAGCACCACCCCAAACAGCUGUAAGAUUCAAAACAUUAUUUCCAAAAGGAUGAACUUUAUAACUAACACAUCUAAAACACUAGCUGGUUCAUGUCUUACCAUUUCCUAGAGCAGAAACAUCCCAGCCAACACCCUUCACUGUUUUGGUUUUGCUCAUUGCUGUCCUUCUAUUCCCUGCACACUAUGUCCAUAUAUGCCAAAUGGUGUUAAAUUAUAGUGAGAACUAUUCAUAAACCUCGUAGUUUUCAAUUAGCAUAUUGCAACCACAGGGCAAAGAAAAAUACUUGCAGCUAAUGCUUGGUAAUGAGAUACCUGUAAAGUGGCAGUGACAUUGUACUUUGGAAGCAUCCUGUUACAUUAUAAUAAUCUUAGCUGCUUUGUGAAGCACUUUAUUAUACAAAGUUUCGUCGUAUUGGUAUCUUCAUAAAGCGGAGGAAACGCUCUUUUAAAUCUAAAAUACUACAGCUCACCUGAUAUCUUUCAUGAACAGCUCUUUUGGGUUGUCUAUUAGGCCAUUUAUAGAAACAAAAUAUCUACAUUGUCAAAGAAAAGGUUUAGUAAUUGAAUUGGAGAUGGAAGUGAAAAGAACGUUUACAUUCAAAAAAGAAAAGAGAAAGGAGAAAGAAGGAAGAAGGAAACCUUUCAAUAUCAUUAACUAAUGGAAUAGGUCCAUGAUUUCUCUUGUAAAAGAAAUCUACAGGGGUGACAUAAGAUGAAAUCAGGGUUGAGCGUGGUGGCUCCGCAUUGAAGGGCUCCUAAGGCAGAGAUAUAAGAGGGAGAAGAUCAGCUAAAUAUUUAUUGCACAUCUGUAAUUGCUUCCCCUGUAGUUUGAUUCAUUCUAGACGCUGAGGAAAGGCAACCAGAGCAGGAAUAGCACACUUUGAUACAAAAUAUUCACGAUUCAGCACAUACGAUGGACAAAUUUAUCAACCACUAAAGCAUCGUUUGGUCUUUUUGUUUCUUUCUUAAAUUAAGCCUGUAGACACUCCUCUGAUUCUCCCACCUCUAAAUUUUUUAAUUUGUUCUCUUUUACCAAUGUUUUCAAAAGCUAAGAGUAAUUCGUACGACGAAAAGAUGGCAAUUUUUUAAAACAUAUUUUUGUUUUUGAAAUUUAGUUAAGAAUAACUCUACUAUUUAAAAAUAUAUAAAUCAUGGUAAAAAAAAGUUGAGUGGAAAUAUGCUUACUUUUCAAAAACAAAAAACAAAAUACGAAAAGAAUUACCAAACAAAGCCUAAUUGUUUCAACUUUGUCAUUUUCGUGUACCCAUCAAACAACAGCCCUUUUAAGGGUUCAUUAGGGACUGAUUCACUCUAAGUAAAAAAGGCAAAGCCAUUGUGUUUUUCACAUAAUGUUUUUUCUUUUUGUUUGAUAUUCAUGGUCAGCUUAUCCACAACUUAACUAAUCUAUCUGGAUAAUUCAUCUAACCCUACAACAUUUAAGUUUAACUCAUAUGAUAAAAUCGUAAGACAUCACCAACACCCUGGAUUAAACCCAUCCAACUUCAAACCUAGGUGUUUAUAAAUACCUAUUAGACAAAAACAUGAAACUUCUUGUACUAAACUUGUGAUCGAGCACACACUCCACCAUUCAAUAUACAAGGAAAUUCACAUAGAAAAUGAAACAAAAAUCACAAAAUAUAUCCUCAGAAGUAUAGUUUUCAACAAAAUUGACAAGCAAACGGAAAUGAAAGAAACCCAAAUCAUGAAGUUGAUUAUGACCCCUUAAUAAAUCAAAUGUUGAUGAAAAAAAGGAAUUGGAAUUCCGAGAAAUAACUUGCCUUGGCGUUGAUUCGGAGACAUGGGUGACGAAGUGGUUCUUGUGAAUAAUCUGAGGGUGCAAUCAAUCCAGGCAUUUUCUCAAUCUUUUGGGAGCAGAACACAAAUGUUCUCGAAAGCUGGAUGGCCACAGAUUUCGUGAGAGCGACGAAAUGUCGCAAUUCAAUGGGUAAUCUUAAUUUUGGUCACAGCCAAGCGAACCCCAAUUGAUGGAGAGGCUAAGCUAAGCCUGUGAUUAUUAUUAAAAUCGUCACUGGCGAGUGAUGAACUGACAACGAUGAAGCGUCGAAAGUAUCGAUGGCAAGUUGCCAACGCCCAAUACACACUUUCUUUUGUUUUUUAUGCAUCAUCAAAUUAAUUUCCAAUGUUUAAUAUUUGGUUAUGAGAUGGAAAGAUCAAAUGUUAAUUUAUUUAGGAAAUGGAAGAAAUUGGAAAUUUAUUAUGAGGUUUUUAUAAAAAGUACAUCAACCGGUGAAUACAAACAAUUUCAAAAACGGAAAGAGUAAACAAACCCAAAGUGAGAAAUACAAAAAAUAUUGCCGUCAACAUGGGAUUAAUCAGUGACACGAGUGUGUAUCACACCUCGUUCUAGGUUUUUGCUUCUAACAUAGAUCGUGAUGUGAAUCUACUCUUUAAAACAUUUUUUUUUCAAACGUAAGAUUGCUAAAAUACUUUUCAAAAUUUUCUAUAAAAAUUUUGGGAGAACCUCCCAAAAUAUGGGGUAGCCAAACCUAAAAAGAAUGAGGUUUUCACUUCUAUAAGUAUAUAAACAAACUUCAUAUUGCACAACACAACAAGUGUGGCUCACUACAUACAUAUCUAGACGAUUCCAGAGUUUAAUUUCAAGCAGAGUUAAAAUUCAAACUAGAUAUUACGUGGAAAAUGAUUUUCGUCUCAUAAGGGAUCUCUAAAAAACACUAGUCUUUGGCAUCACUUUCGCAACAUCUAACCACCCCAUGAUGCAAUACAAAAAGUUAAUUAUAUACGUAUGAAAAUGAAGAUCUACAAAUGGUGACGAGGGUUCAACCAAAUCUUGGUCCUUGAUCACUACUUGGGGGGAGAAAACAUUGCAAACAUAAACUGGAAACUCAGUGACUGACAAGUUUUUAGAAGUAAAAAUUUGUAAAAAUAUUGUCAAGAAUGUUUAUAUAUGACAUCAGUAAUGAAAUCAUAAUUAAAAUGUUAUAAAUACAUAAUACUAUAAAUCACAAGUCAAGCCAACAAACAUGUACCUAUUUCAACCAUGGCAAUGCGUCUAAAUAUACGACUAAGAAUAACUCACACAUGAUCAAAGAAUCAUGCGCCCAAACGUAACUCAUGCAUAUUUAGUACCCACCAUGAUAACAACCUCCAUCCAAUCUGACCAUGGUAGAAUACUAAAUACACGAUUGAGAAUAGCUCACAUUUGAUGCAUAUCCAAAAUAAAACACGCAGCAAAAUUGAGCUCAUACAUACUUAGUACCUACCACAAUAAGAACCUUUAUCCAAUCCCACCAUGAUAACAUACUAAAUCCACUAUCGAUAAUAGUUCACACAUGAUCCAUAUCCACAAGAAAACACAUGGUCAAUCUAAGCUCAGACAUACUUAGCAUCUACCAUAGUAACAAUCUCCAUAUCUGCACCUAUGUGCACAUAAAACCAUCCAUCAUGGGUUAAGCUAGGCUCGAAGCCAUAUUACAAUCCUCCAUCUAUAUCCUCACUUAGGCUCAGGUUCUCGGAUCUCAGGUCACGACGUCUUUCAACCCCAGAAUCCUGUCACAACUGUAGGUGACGCUACAGAAACACAUUCACGUAGCCUUAGGAAAAUCACCAUAAAAAUUGGAUAGUCACAUUUAAAAAAAUCAAUUACACUCAGAACUUGAAACAUAUUUUUAUAAAGUUCAAGUCAUACGCAUUCUUAAAAUCGUGAUGAGUAAACACAUCGUUUAAACAUAAAUGAAACACAAUCAUAAAAAGUUUAAGUCAUGGUAGUAUCCAAGCAAUAUCAUAAAAUAACAUGUAUAAAUUCAAAGAAAGCUUGAAAACGAGUCACUCACUGUUAAUAACUCGAUCCCCUAGAAUUAUAUGCUUUUCUCACUGCAAUUUGGCCUGAAACAAUUAUCAAUGUCCCUCAGUUAUCUUUACAUAUCAAGAUGUCACAACUAACUCUAAAAUACUUCAUUAUGACAACUUAAGCUAUUUAUGGUUCAAUGGGUCGAAUUCUCAUUUUCCUUAUUAAAUUUAUAUCAUUCCACACAUGCUUUAAUUUAGGCAGGAAAUUUACUUUUGGACCCUUAACUUCAAACUUAACUCUUAGCACCUUAAGCAUCUUAGUGGGAAAACAUUUGGGGUAAAUUUUAGAGAUUCGAGGUGUAAUGGUAAAAAAAGAACAAAGUUAAUUGCCAUGCGACUUCAAAAUAAUGACGAAUGAUGACUAGGUGUUGGAGUAACUUGACUGGUGACCAAAUCCUUGAGGAACUUGGACAUAACGACACAUAUCAAACCCACAACUUCAGAUCUGUGUGACCUUCGAAAGGUUCUGCGUGGGGUUGUUGCGUCCGGCGAGACGAGCGAUGAACGAUUGCUGGUGGUGUCGGCAUGACAGAGUGAGAGAAAGAGGCAUGACAUGACAACGACUGGAUGUAACCUAUACCAACAAGGUGCACCUUCUUUUUCGAUAGCUCGAUCAUAGGAACUUCAAAGUUAAACGUGCUUAGCUUGAAGUAAUUCUAUGUUGGAUGACCUCCUGAGAAUUUUUCCUAGGAUGCAUGUAUACUUAAUUAUUUUGAAUCUAAUUGUUAUAAUUGCAACCUUAAAAUUAUACAUGUCUUGAUUAGUUGAUUUUUAUUUCAUUACAAAAAUGUUUAUUCUCCCUCGUAUUUUUCUUUUUCUAAAUAAGAAUUUGAAUAUGUUAAGUUUGCAAUUCAUAUUCUAUUUUAUAUUUUCAGCUUUAUUGAGUUAGUGAAGAUACGGGGUGUAAACGAGUUGGGUUGGGUUGGGUUGAGAGAUAUUCUCAGUCCAAUCCAUAUUUUCGGGUUGGUUGGGUUAGCAACCCGAAUAACCCAGAUUAAUUUCUCAACCCAACUCGUAAAAUAUGGGUUGGGUUAUCGGGUUGUAUUGUUUUUUUUUCAAUUCUCAACCCGACAAUUGUUUAGCUUUUAAACGAUCAUUUACUUCUUACAGAAUCUACUAACUUUCCAUAUGAUCAUUUAACUUCCUACAUGAUCAUUUAAAAAAAUACUCAUAACUUUACAUUUAUUAAAUAAAUAAUAAAAAAUAUAUAAGAAAUAUAUUAAUUUGGAUUGGGUUAGGUUGGACAGUCCGAGUUAUCAAAUUAUUCGGCCUAAAUUUAUACCCCUAGAAGAUAUAUAUUUGACAAACAUCAUAAAUUCUGUUAUAAUUGUUAUUUUUGGAUGGUGUGAUUUAAACCAUGUAAGUUCUCAAAUACAAGGGCGGAUUCAUUAAGGGGUCAGGGGCAUGUGCCCCACUCACAUUAUCGGUUUUUGUAUUUUAAUAUUAAUUUUAAAGUGUUAGAUUACAAUAUAUAUUAAAUUUAGCUUCAUUUUGCCUAAAUUUCUCAACCUCUUGGUUGUGACUUCAAAUCAAGAAUUAUUACAAAAUAGUUUUUCUUCCAAAUAUCAAUAAUUUUUUUCCUUAAAUAUCAAAUUUCUUUCUAAAUUAUUACAAAAUAUAUUUUAUUCAAAACAUCAACCAAUUACUUUUCUCAAAUAUCAAUAAUUUUCUUUCUCUAAAUAUCAAAUUUCUUUCUAAAUUUUAAUGAUUUCUUAAAAGGAAGAUAUUAAUUUUCUUCCUAAAUUUCAACGAUUUUUCAAAAGGAAGAUAAUUUGAUUUCCUAAAAGACUAAAAGAAAUAUAAUUUUUUAAAAAGUGAAAAAAAAAACUCAUAUAUAACCCUAACUUAUUUCCUAUACCUCAUUUGUUAUCUAAAAAAAAAAAUGCAACAAAAGCGAUGAUCCAAACUUUCACUCCCUCAAUAAUAUUCCAUGAAAAAUGUAUUAUUCUUUCUUUUUUUCUUUUUUUUUGUAUGCAAAUUUUAAAUUCACAUGUUUACAUUUAAAAAAAUCAUGUAAAAUGAUUGUCUUUUUUUUAUUGCUACAAAUGUAGUGAAUGUUAUUGGAGCAUCAGUGAAACGUCGAAAUAUUUUUUUAAACAUUUUUAGUGUGUUUAUUAUAUAGUGCCCGAUGCCCCCUAUGUAAAAUUUCUGGAUUCGCCACUUCUCAAAUAUGAUAUACUUUUGUGUUUUUUUCAUCUACCAAAAUUAAAUUCUAAAAUUAAAAUGUAAAAUUAUAUUAAACAAAAUAAAAAUAUUUAAAAUAGUAUGUGAUAUUAUAAAUCCAAUUCAAUUCUUUUAAAAUUAAGAUGCGUAUCAAGUAAUGAAUGAUAAAUUAAAUUAGGUUAAAUUCCAAGUUUCCAUCCCUAUGGUUAAAGUUAAAAGCUAGGCCAUAUGAUUUUAAAAUUCUAAAAUUUAGAAUUUAAUCCACAUAGUUUAUAUAUUUUUCAUUUACAGUCCCUAUAGUUUGUUAAAUUCUUUUAAUGGUUCCUACCAAAAAGAUUAUUUAUUAUGAAGCUUUUGUCAAACUAUAGGGGUAGAAUUUAAUUAUAAACUAUAAGACCUAAAUUUUAAUUACUUCAAUUGAAGGUAUCAAAAAUUUAUUUAUUUUUCUUUAAAUUAUAUUAAAAUUACAAAAGAAUAAUUAUACAAAUUUUUAACAUAAAAUGUUCAAUAAAUUAUUAAUAAAAUUAACAAUGAUUUAUUGUCAACUAAUAUCAAAUAAGUAGCUAGGACUAGUUUACAGUAAUUUAAAUCAGAAUCUAAUUUCUGAAUUCGUAGUUCUUUGUUUGAAGCAUUUCUUUUAAAUAUAAAUUCAAAUUAUACAAUUUCUUUUGAAGCAUCAUUUGAUUUAAAUUUAUACAUAAAAAAUAUUGAGAAGGAGCAUUAAUGUCGAGACUCGAGACACUUAAAAAUAAGAUCUUGUCAUCUACUCAACAUUAAUAAUGAUACUUUGUACUAAGAAACAAGUAUAAUAAUGUAAUGGCUAUAUUAGAUACUAAUUAAGAUCUAGUAAUUGAUUGUGUUUACUGUUUACUUGCUUGUCCACCCCCUCGUUCCCUUCGUUUAGUUCCAUUUAGUUGAUAUUUUGCUAAUUGUGUCAUGAAAGAAAGUUAUUUGACACUUAAUUUGAUAUAACAUAGUUACACGUUACAACAAUCCCAAUAAUAAAUAGUAAGAUGCAAGUGAAAAUAUUAUUGAAAAGCAAAAUGAGUUACACGCCAACUCUACAUCUCACAAUCACUCCUCUCUAACUCUAAAUCCCUCUCUCAACACUCCAUGUGCAAUAAAACACCUUCCUAACCACACAUUCAUUAUCUGUUCUAUGUGACUACGUCUACAACUUUUACUGAGGCCUCAAAAUAUGUUGAAAUGGAGAUUUGUUAUGCAUGAAGAAUUCAAUGCUCUUCAACAACAACCUAUUGUGCUUUAGAAUUAGUGUCCUAAAUAUCUCAUGUAUAUUGUGGUUUAUAGUUUUCUAACACAAAUUAUUUAUCUAACAAAAUAGGAGGUAGUUUAUUAAUUUAAUCUAAUAAUAACUAAGAUCCAACGUUAUAUUAUGUUACUUGAAUUGUAUGUAGUUGAUGUCCAAGCUAUAACCUAAUAGGUCUGCAGUAAAUGGAUAGAGGUUGGAUGUCUUAUGGUAACAUUGUAGGAUAUGACAUACUUUGUAAUUGUUACGUGAGAUAUUAAUGUUGCAAAGAAUAUGAGUCAUAUAUUGUUCAUCUGAAUACAUGUGAGUGCAAGUAUCUCGUAUAAAAGAGUUUAUACAUUUUUGUAAUUGUAGGGUCCAUGUCACUACAUUUUCUAAAUUGGAAAAAUAGCAAAUUUAAAAGUGAAUAGCCUACUGAUACCCAUUUGAUAGUCAUCUAAUAACCGUUUAAUAUAUCUAAUUACUUGUCAUAUUUGUCAUAUAUGCAAAAGAAAAAAUGUUAGGGGCUGCUUUUAUCUAAAUUUUUUUUGUUAUCGGAUGUAAUUUUCUAUUUUUUUUAAAUAUUCCAUGGUUUACCUUUCCUUUUCAUGGUCUUUCUUCUCUUUCUCUUCUGCAAUUUUUUUUCUUUCCAUCUUUUUUUCUCUUCUUUUUACAGUUUUUCUUUCAUUUUUUUAAAGGGAUAGUUGCAAAUUUAGAAAUUAAAUUCAAAAUAAUUAAGUAUAUAGCAACGUUUUAAAUUUUUUUGCAAAUAUAUCAAAAUUUGUCAAAUUCUAUCAAUGAUAAAGUCUAUCACUGAUAGAUCAUGUUGUAAAAAUUGGUCUAUCACCGAUAGAUCUACGAGUCUAUCAGUGAUACAAGUUUAUCAGCGAUAGUUUUGCUAUAUUUGCAAUUUUUUUUAAAUGUUGUUAUAUCCUUAAUUAUUAUUCCUCAAAUGGUCAUCCAUUACAAUUACCCUUUUUUAAAAUUGUUAUUUGGUUGUUCCAAAUAUAAAAUAUCGUGAAAAAAAUUGUUGGGAUAUUGGAUAGCCAAAUCUAAACGAUUGUGUACCAAAUAGUCAAAUAUAAACAACUGUGUUCCAAAUAUAAACGAUUGUGUAUCAAAUCUAAACAAUCAUUUUCUAAAUAUAAACGAUCGUUUUCCAAAUAUAAACGAUUGUUUUAUAAAACGAUCGUUUUAUAAAUAUAAACGAUCAUGUUCAAAAUAAAUGAUCAUGUACCAAAAAAUAUUGAAAAAAAUCGUUGAUAUUUGACUAGUCAAAUUUAAAUGAUCAAAUUUAAGUGAUCGUGUACAAAAAAAAAAAAAAUUAAAAAUCGUUUAGAUUUAACUAUCAAAUAUAAACAAUUGUGUACCAAAAAAGUCAUGAAAAAAAUCAUUUAGAUUUGCAUAAUCUAAAUGAUAAAAUCUAAACUAUCGUUUCCAAAUAUAUUACGUGCACUAGAUGCCAAUUAAUCAUAAACAUUUUUUGUAUUUUUUAUUGUUUUUCAUUUUUUAAAUUGUUAUUUACGGUGUAAAUAUUUUUUCAGUUUGUUAUAUUUUUAAAAGGACCCUUUAUUUUAAAUAUAUUCUUUUAAUAAAACAUUGGCUUCAAAUACGAGACUUCUUUUGAAAUAAACACUAGAAGAAAAUAUGUCUAUUAUGACAGUUAUAUAUCUCACAAAAUGGGAGGGAGAAGAAAAAACUGUCACAAAAUAGAAAAUUUCGCGUUUUUGGCGGGAAAAGACGGAAUUUUUCGGAUAACACUUUCCGCGACAGUUAUUUGAUGUCAUAGAAUGUUACCAUUAAAAAAUUUAUUAUUUUAUAUUUAAAAAAUUAAAAUUACAAGUUUAUAUUUAAAAAAAAAAACACAAUUUCCCCUUCUAAACCCUUAAUUUUUCUCCAAUUGCUUCCUCGCAUAUGUGUUUCUCCCCUAAAUUUUCUCCAUUCCUCAUGUGCGCGUUUCUUCCCAUUUCGGCCAUCUUAAGUCUCGUCGCCACCACUUUCCCCCUCGUGCCCGUCCGUCCAAACCUCCUCCUCAUCGUCACCAACACCCCGUCGCCACCACCCCCGUCUUCUCCAAACCUCUGCAAUCAACUUGAAGCUUCAAAUCGUGGACAUCGGUCGUCACCCCUCCGCCGGUAAGCUUCUCUUCGUUAUCUCUUUCUCUCUCUCUCUAUGAAGUUCUUCUUUGUUGUGGUUACUCUUAACAAAUAUUUUGUAGACCUCAAAGAUAGGCCCACACAUAUUCUAACACAAGUAUUUUCCAGUACAUUACUGCAUGCAUGCAACUACUAAAAUCACUUUUGAGUAAACUCAUGUGAAAAAAAAUUAAAUCCUUUUUAUUUAUAAAGUUUUGAAUUUUUUUUAAUAAAAUAAUAAAUCAAUUAGCAAUUAACAAUUAUCAAAUCCAAUUCAAGUUACCCGGUCCGAUUCUAAAUGAAAUAGAACAAUUAAAUAAAACGUAAAUGUUUUCUCUAAUUAAAAUCAAAACAUGACAAAUAUGAUCCUAAGUGCGAAAGCUAACACUGUUCUCAUGGCUCGCCUACGAACCCUUGUUGUCAUUUGGUGUCUUGUCUUGGUUCUUACUUGAAAAAUGUAACAUAGAUAUACUAAAAAGUUGAGUAUAAAUAUACUAAAAGUUGAGUAUAAAUAUACUAAAUAGUUGAGUAUAAAUAUACUCAGUAAGUAACUCCUACUGUUGCAGUUAAACUAAGCAUUAACUUUCUUAAAAUGCAUUGUACUAAUAAUCACGAAGGAAACACAAACUGAUGAAUCUAGUGGGAAACAAAAACUGGUGAAUCCCAAAGAAAAGCAUAGGCUGGUGAAUCUCGAAGGAAAAUACAAACUGGGACCAGUGAAUUUCGAAUAAGACUGGUGAAUCUCAAAGAAAACACAGAUUGGGACCGAUGAAUUCCAUCUCGAAGGAAACAUUGACGGGGAUCGGUGAAUCCCAAAGGAAACGCAUACAGGCUGGGACUAUUGAAUCCCGAAGGAAACAUAAACUGGUGGGAAACACAUCGUUACAAGCUAGGGGCAACAACUAGUAAGCCAUAACAUCAUACACAACGUCGAGUAGCAGUCACAGAAAUAGUCAAUCAUCUCAACCAUUGACUCACUUAUAAUUUUAUUUCACUCGCAUGCUAAAUUCAAUCAUAUACUAUCAUCCAAUUAUGAGCUUCAUCAUAGUCACAUACGCAAAAUAAACUCAGUACCAUUCAUGCCACAUCCUAAAUUCAUUCUAGGUAGCCUAGCUCAAGGACGGUUCUAAUAGUAAGUUACUUGUCUCAACUAGUUUAAUUCAAAAAAUAAACAACCACAACCUAUAAAACGAAAGAUUAAAUCACCACCUACACAACAACUCAGUUAUCAGCAUAAGUUACGCGUCCUGAUCAUAUUCUUAUGUGUUUUACCUCAUUAUUCUAAUAGAAAGGACUAUAAUAAUAGAUGUUUAUGCACGUUAUCAUGAGGCUUGACAAUAGUAACCCACUUUGUGCUCCAAACGCCCCUUAAUAUUUCACAUCAAUAGAGCAUAUUAAUUCACAUAUUUGAAAAAAAUGUCAAUUAAUCCUCUACUUAAGUCAUAAAAACACAAGAGUAUGAAAUUUGCUUUCAAAAUAUAAGUAUCACCCUCAGUAUGAAUUUAGUGUUGCUCUCGCUAGUAAUGCACUAUUGAUGUGAUUAUGUUUCAGAGUAUGAAUGAUUUGACAAAUUUUCUAAAAUGAACCCAACUAAUCACCUCAAAAUAGUAACCCAAAAGUGGUUGCCCAAAACCUAACGAGAAAUUUGAAACAUUAGAGGAUUUGCAAGGAAUUUUUAGCAGCAGGUUGGGUUUUUUGGUUUUAGUAUGCAAAAGGUUAGAUUGCAAGAGAUAUUGCUAAUCAUAGCACAAGAUGAUCAAUAGACAAUUGGAGGUGGUUUUUGGUGAGAUCACUUCACAUGAAAUAGAUCUUCUACAACUGUUGUUGAUGGCAAAGAGGUCUUGCUCGAGGAGGUCAUAAAUGGUGAAAUGGGUACUUGACAGUGUCACUACCUAGUGAUGAUGGACUCAGAGGGAGUUGUUUCCUGGUAUACAUGUGGCAAUUUUAGUGAACUUAUCCCUGAGUUACAUGUGUACCAAUGUAUUAAAUAUCACUAUAUACAACAAGAUAGUAUUCUGUGUCAAUGCUAGCACAGUAGGCCAUUAUCAUGUACUUAUAUAUCAUUUCAACGUAACAAUAUAUAUGAUCUCUCAUUUUAUGGGUCAAUAGCAGUACAGAUGUAGAUCAUUGAAUUGGAUUACCAAUUCUUGACGUUUUGAUUAUUAUUUUUACUAUCGAUUACUUUUGUUACUCCAAUUAAUUAUUAACUCAAGUGUUAACUUAAGUCAUCGUCAAGUGAAUCAUGACUUCCUUUUUCAAUUUAACAUUUUAGAUAGGAAAAUGGUCAUCUCUCUCAUUAGUUGUUAUAAGCACCAAACUCUGACAUAUUAAUUAGUUUCCUAUAAGACAAAUCGUGAAACUAUACCAACAGAAAAGAAAAAGAAACAGUGACCCUGACAUGAUAUAACUAAAAUCGUUGAAAGAAUGAUAGUGUAUACGAUAAAUAAAUUAGUCUUUUCUUAUGAAUGUUUUGAAUUGCAUAUAUACUUGUAACUUAUUUCUACAUACAAAAAUUAGGUAAAGCUCUCAGUACAGAUAUUUAAGUUCUCUGCCACUGUUUUUAAAUGUUAUGAAAUCUCACAUUUUACUUCUUGUAAUAUAUGAACAACUAAAGGACCAUUGGUUUAAUUUAUUACUUGGUAAGACUUGCAAACUUCCAAUUGUACUUCAUUAAACCUAAGAAUAUUCAUUUGCCUAACUUUUUAUUUACUCCGAAACCUCUAGCUAAAAUAGAUGUAGUGGUGGAAGAAGUUACUUCAAAUCUUUAAUUUAGAGUUCUAUAUGUUCACGCAUCAAAUUUUGGGUUUUUAUAAAUAGCCAAUUUCUUGGUUUCGAAUCUUCACAUAGCAUAACCCAUCUUGUCUUCCUUGGUUAUACUAUAUUCAAAGAUAUAUUUAAGUAACAAACUUGGAAGUUUUGACAUGACCAAGCUCUCUUUUCAUCUGUUGUUUUGCUCAAUUUUUUAUGCUUUAGUACUUUUGCUUUCAAGGCCUGCAGUUUCUCAAGAAGUUGGUAAGAAAAUUCCUUGUUUCGUUUGUAUAUGAUUUGACUUUUCGUGUUCUUCCGUUCAUUCUUAAAUUGAAUGCAAUGUUCUAUAUUCGUCUCUUUGUCACUUUUCUUAAAGAAAAAAAAAGCAUUUUUGAUUAUAUUACUUAAAUUUAGGAGGGAAAGUUAAAAUUUAAGGGAACAUGUUAUGAAAACUUAAGUUCAUAGAAACUAAAAAAUAGUUUACAACAAAUAAAUCUAGAUAAUGGAUUCUUAUUAAUCAGGAGUGCAAGUCAAGUAAUAACUAAAAAGGCAAAUCAAGUCAACUAAUAAGACACUAUCAUUUCAUUUUAGCCUUACCAACGAGCUAAGAACUAAUUUGAUUGGCUAAAUAAAACUUCUUUUAAGAUUCUCGUUAGAUGGUGAAAAAUAUUUUUUUAAAAAAAACAUAAAGUAUAUAUAGAACGUAACAUUCAACUUAAUCCAUCUUCCAAAACUAUUUUAUAAAGUAUACGUGUAAAUUCAAAAAUUGUAAAUAUGAAAAAAUGGGCAUUCUAAAAUCAAAUCAAUAUUAGAAUACAAAGAAAUCAAUUUAAUCAACCAAUUGCUUGCCGUUCCAUUGUUUUCCAUGUUGAUGUAGAUAAUGAGAGUGGGUUUAAUUAUAACGAAGAUGGAAACAAAGGGCCAUCUCAUUGGGGAGAACUUAAACAAGAAUGGCAUGAAUGCAAAACUGGAAAAAUGCAAUCUCCUAUUGAUCUAUCCCACCAGAGAGUUCAAAUUGUACACAAGUUUGUGGACUCCAAAAUUGCUUAUAAUCCUACCAAUGCAACUCUUAUGAACAGAGGUCAUGAUAUAAUGGUAUGUACAAAAUACUGUUUGCUAAAUUCUAAAUUUUAUCCUCAUAAUUUAAAAGAAAGAAAAGAAAAGCUUGAAUUUAGUCUUCUGUGAUUUGUAAUCAUAAUUUAAUUCUUAUAUAGUUUGAUAAAACUCUAUCUCUAAAUUAAAUAUUUAUUAUACAAACAUACACUAAUCGUAAGAAUCUUAUUAAAUUAUGUAGACUAAAUUCUAAUUAUUAAAACCACCGGAAGUAAACGUGUAUGAUUAGAUGUGAUAGUUAAAAAUCAUUUUUAUUGUAUUUAAAAUCAUUUUGACAAACUCUUAUACUUUUAGAUGCAUUUUUAUUACUACUAAACUUGAUUUUGAUGGGUUAAAAGCAUUUUAGAAUAUAAUUUUAAAAAUAACUAAAAGUGAUUUUGAUCGUAUUAGAAAGAUAAUAAUUAGGUGCAACAUUGAAAUACCAAACAAAUUGUCAUGUAGCACAUCAUCAAUCAUUGAAAGCUGACUAUGCUGCAUGAAGUUGCAGUUAAUCUUUAUUAAUCACUUUAAACAUGCCAUAAGUACUUCUGGUUUUAUUUGAAUUUGUAAUAUCAAUCCAAUGUUCUUAUUGUUUCGAAUGAUGAAUAGUUUGUCUGAUACUGAAAUAUAUAUUUAACCUAAAUUUAAGAAUAUUUUGUUAUGGUUAAAUCUGUAGCUAAAAUGGAGUGAUGAUGCUGGAUAUAUUGAAAUAAAUGGAACACGAUAUUUUCUCAAACAAUGUCACUGGCACUCUCCUUCCGAGCAUACUAUUAAUGGUGAAAAAUUCGCAUUAGAAGCUCAUUUAGUGCAUCAAAGCCACAAUGGAAAUAUUGCUGUCAUUGGAAUUCUUUAUGAUAUUGGACAUUCUGACUAUUUCUUAUCCACAGUAUGUAUCAUCUAACUCGUAACUGUUGUUUUAAUAUAAUAAAAUCUAUCAUUCAUACACAACACACAACAUACAUAGUUUAUCAUAAUAGUUUAUUCUAAAUUUUGUGUUAUAUUUGUCAAUUACAUUGGAUUAUAUUAAAUUAUAUAGUAUGGGUCAAUUCUUAGAUUAACUUAAGAUUAAUAUUGAAAAAAUAAACUUAAUCUUAAGUUAAUCUAAGAUAAUUUAUUUUUCGAAGCUACAAAAAUUCAAAUAAAUAAAAUUGUUUUGACAGAUCAAAGAGCAUUUGGAAGAAAUUUCAGAGACAAAUGAAUAUAUUGAAUUGAAUGAUAUCGAUCCAUCAUUGGUGGAAAUGAAAAGUAGUAUAUAUUAUCAAUACUAUGGCUCUUUAACGGUUCCUCCAUGCACUCAAAAUGUACUUUGGAUUAUCGUUAAAAAGGUAAGAUUUUAA